UCUGAGGCUCGCGUGCGACCGGCCCAAGUUUAUUAACAAACCAUACGAGCAAACACAAGUCACAUAUACUCGGACACCACAGCAUCACGCUAACGAGCACAGAACGACACAAACAUAAGUCACAUACACAGAUACCACACCAUCACACAGCUAAUUAAUGAAGACAAACUCGCGCUAAGUAAGCACCACAACUGAUCGAACGAGACGGCAGCUAGUUGUGUUCGUGGAUCUGCUUGACGAGUCCGAGGUUGAUGAUGCCCCAGGCGGAGCGCGGACAUUGUUUCUCCUUGGCCUUGUCCCUCAUCACCCUCCCCCGUGACACCCACCCCUCCCACGACAUCCUCUUGUCCCAGCUGCUGCCCCACUCCAGCACCAGCCUCAGCCCCUCCGCCGCCGCCGCCUCCGCCUCCUCCCACCUCCCUCCGCCGUUCAGCAGCACCUGAGCCAGCACCAGCCACGGCUCCCCCACGUACGGGUUCUUCGCGAUGCACCGCCGCAGCAGCGACUCCACACCUUCCUUGCCGUCGCUGCAGAUCGCCUCCCAGUACAGGUCCCUCGCCGCGAUCUGUUCGCCGGGGUCCCAUCCUCCAUGUGGCGGAGCUGCUCGUCGGUGGCGAUGAGGCGGUACAGCGCGGCGAGCCUGGACAUGGCGCUCAUCCACAGCCCGGGCUUUCCGGUCCCCGGCCAGAGCGCGGUCCAGUUGUCGCCGGCGAACUCCAGGCGCCCGUCGUCGUUGCGGAACAGCUUGUCCUGGUAGUCCGUGUACUGGUCGCUCAAGUCGGCGACGGUCAUCAGCACGAACACCGCCAGCACGCGCCGCGACAGCGCCACCGGCUCCCCCGUCCGGAUGUGCGGCACCACCACGCCCUCCUCCGGCACCACGGACCGCAGCUUCACGCGCCACGGCUCCACCUUGUCCCCCGGCUGCCCCCGCCGGAGUGCGCGGCCUGGAGGGAGGCAUCGGCGGCGGCGAGGUGGUCCGGAGCUCGGCGUCGGUGUAGCGGAGGUGGAGGUCGUCGUGCAUGAGCGCGUGGCGCGGGGCGACGCAGAAGAGGUGCACGAGCCGCUCGGCGGCGGCCCCGACGAUGCCGCGGACGCGGGCGCGGCUGACGUCGGGCUCGAAGAUGGCGAGGUUGACGUAGGAGUUGGAGUAGGAGGAGUGGAAGAGGCCGCAGCGGGCGACGGCGUCGGGCGCGCCCCAGAGGCGAAGGAUCCGGUAGACGUCGAGGAGGUGGGCGAGGAAGGUGCCGUGCUUGUGGUAGCACUCGCCGGCGCCGGCGGACACGAGGACGGAGACGAGCGAGGGGAGCUCGGGGUCGACGGCCGCGAGGUCGCCGCGGAGGAACGGGCGCGCGGCGGCGAGGAUCGACUGGAGCGCGUCGUUCGUCGAUGGGCCUCUGCCGUUGCUGAUGCCGGUCGCCAUUUCGAUCGAUGAUCCCGGCGGGUGUAGUAUGUGUGAUGUGUGUCUUACUCUCACUCCUGAUUAUUACCGUGAUUGUGUUCUGUUCACCCUCUGCCGUUGCUGAUUACUAGUAUUACCGUGAGUGAAAUGUUGGUUGCGUUGCGUAGCAAAAUGAAUAAUUCAGUGGCCGCAUGCAAUUCAGGUGUACUAAAGGACGUGCGCGUGAUACAUGCACGGUGCUAGGAUGGUCAGGUAGGAGCUAGGGCUAUGAUGCGAGCUGUUGUCGUCCUGUGAACGUGGAUGGAAUGUGUCCAAGUUCGCUUUCCAGUGCCGUGUCUGGAACAAUAAUCCUACCUUUACUCUUUCACGGGAUCUUUUCAACCAACUGACCUGCCCCCUUGUUUUCAAUGAAGUGGGUCCCGCCUCAUCUCUAACUACCAAUCCAAGUCCCCACGUUGGCCAGUCCAUUGAUCUCGUGAAAAAAUCGUCCGUCAAAAAAUCCUAUGUCUGGCGUGCACCGAUGAACUUUUCUUUUUUUGCGAUGGCCUGCACCGAUGAACACGUACGUACAUGCAGGCAAAGGCAGUAUUCGAUGCGUCCGUUUCAGGUGACAUCGGUUUUUGUUGCUUUGCCAGCUUUGGAGGCAGUAUUCCCACUCAUGUGUGUACAUACAGUACAGGAGAUGAGGAAAUCAGAUCCCACCCAUUCACUCAGGGUGCGUUUGGUUGCAAGGGCGGUCAUGAAUGGGUUGGGAUCGUUCAAAAAAUAGACAUGUUUGGUUAUAAAGCACAUGAAUGGUUCGAGCCAAAAAAAGAGAAUAUGUCAUGAAGAUGCUGAACCGUUCCACCCAACCAAAUCGGUCGAAUCAAAUGGCCACCCUUUGCAUGCAUGACUAUGUGAGCAUGACUGGUGGUCCCGUCCUAAAUAAUUAGCUCACCACUUAUAUUCAGUCAAACACAUGAAUUGAAUGGUUCAAUCCCAAAAAAAUUGAACGGUCCCAACCCAUUCAUACGACACCUUCAACCAAACGCAUCCAGUCGCCUUUUGCAUACACUGGGUAACGGUGGAACAAAAGGGCCGCGCGGCAAUGUCCCGCUUCGUGCGAGGCAGUAGCUCGCCUCGCUGCAGGCAGCAGGUUCGCGGGCAGGCCCAUUUGCCGGGAUGAAGUCAUGAUGACGUUGCACAUAUUCACAUUUUUUGUUUGUAUUUUCUGUGUUUAUUUUUUUCUCAUUUUUUACUUCUGUUUCAUUGUUUUCCAUUGUAGGUUUUUAAAGUAUUCAUUGCACUUUAGAAAUAUGUUAUUCGUAUAUUUAAAAAAAAUAAAAGUGUAUAACUAGAUGUUUCUGACAGGAAAAACGUACAAUGUGUAUGAAAAAAAAUAGUGAUCAAAACAUGUAUAUGAAAAAAGUAAUCAUGUCUUUAAUUAAUUUUAAACGUGUAUAAAAGAUGGUUCAGCUGUAUAUGAAAAUUGUACAAUGUGUGUGAAAAAGUAGACAUCAAAACAUAUGUUUCAAGAAAUGUACAAUGUGUCUGAAAAAUGUUUGACAUGUACAAAAGGAUGUUUCAUAUGUAUAUAGAUAAUAUACAAUAUUUAGAAAAAAAAACCAGGCAUCAAAACUAGACAUUAUUCUAACUCUGGGCCACCGCCAGAGGCUUGCUACCCCAACCAAAAUUCUAAAAGUACCUAAAGCAAGAACGUGAUCCCUCCGGUCAGCGGGAGCACCUUGGUCCAUAGCACCUCCAAGGCCCAAAUACCAUUGGACACAAGGUGUAUCGCCAGAGGUAGCGACAAGAGGACAAAUACCUUAAUCUCCUUCUGUGUCCUGUGCUCCAAUGAUAACAAUAGACACGACUCCAUAAAAAAGUAAUACGACCAUCCAUAGAUCUUUCGUCUCUCAAAUCAAACAAUCCAGAAGAUGGUUCAUCUCUACUGUCAUACCACGCCAAGAUUAAGGACCUGCGAUGAGGGUCAUCCAAAGUUAAUUCACAACCGCAUGAUCGAAAUUGCAAAAAUAAUAUUGAAAAGUUGUUGGUAUGGAGGACACCCGAGAAUUCGCUAGCCAUGACUUGUGUUUGUUGGUGGAGGGGAGUAAACUUUACUUUUUCCUCUUGGGAACCGCCGCUAAUUUGUUUAGCAUGGAAAAUAUUGAAAACUCGUGGUCGCGACGUUGACAGGAAAGCAUACCUCUCAAAAUUAUAUUUAUCUCUGUUUUAAGCUUUGGCACCUCUAUAAAUCCCUACUUCCUUCUAUGAAGGGCCCAUCCAUUUACUUUUAUGUUAUUUUACUUUUAUUGUGAGUCACCACCCUCUCAUUUAAGCACCAACUAGGGAGCGCUAUUGUCAUUCUUAUGCAUUGAGUAUAAUUAAUGUUGGGUGUGACGUGACUGGAUCUUUUUUACCAUGAAUACAAUGUUUAAUUUAGUCGUUGUUUCAACUUCAGAGGUGCUCUGCAUUUAUAUUUUACGGUCUCAGAAAGGGCUAGCAAGAUACCAUGUUAUCAUAUUAUAUCAUGAUUAUUUUGACAAAUUGUUGGCAUCUGAGAUAUCUUAUUAUUGAUCGCUAGUUGGUUAUGUCAUUGAUAUGAGUAAAUAUGAGACCUAAAUGUUAUCAUGAAUAUGGUUAGUUUAUAAUCCUUGCUGAAAACUUGAGCAUUUAUACAAUAACAAGAACAAAAAGAGUUUGUCAACUGAAUUGCUUGAGGACAAGCAAUGGGUUAAGUUUGGGGGAGUUGAUACGCCCCAAAUGUAUCUACUUUUCCAAACGCUUUUGCUCUUCUUUUGGACUCUAAUUUGCAUGAUUUGAAUGCAACUAACUCAGAAUGACGCUGCUUUCAGCAGAAUUGCAUGGUGUUGUUUUUGUGCAGAAAUAAAAGUUCUCAGAUUGAGUUGAAAAUUUAUGGAGAAUUAUUUGGUGGGGGGCACCGCACACGGCUAAACAAUGUCAACUUUUGUGUUCUAGGGUGCCCCUGCCCCCGUAUAUAAAGGAGCAAGGGGGGAGGCCGGCCGGCCCUUGGGGCGCGCCAAGGAGGGGAGGAGUCCUCCUCCUAGUAGGAGUAGGACUCCUCCUUUCCUAGUCCAACUAGGAGGGGGAAGGGGGAAGGAAGGAGAAGGAGAGGGAGAGGGAAAGAGGGGCCGCACCCCCCUCCCCUAGUCCAAUUCGGACUCCCCUUUGGGGGGGAGAGCCACCUCCUGGGUUGCUGCCCUCUCUCUCCCCUAAGGCCCACUAAGGCCCAAUACUUCCUCGGGGGGUUUCGGUAACCCCUCCGUCACUCCGGUUUUCUCCGAAAUCACCCGGAACACUUCCUGUGUCCGAAUAUAGCCGUCCAAUAUAUCAAUCUUUAUGUCUCAACCAUUUCCAGACUCCUUGUCAUGCCCGUGUUCACAUCCGGGACUCUGAACUACCUUCGGUACAUCAAAACACAUAAACUCAUAAUACCGAUCGUCAUCGAGCAUUAAGCGUGCGGACCCUACGGGUUCGAAAACUAUGUAGACAUGACCGAGACACGUCUCCGGUCAAUAACCAAUAGCGGAACCUGGAUGCUCAUAUUGGCUCCUACAUAUUAUACGAAGAUCUUUAUCGGUCAAACCGCAUAACAACGUACGUUGUUCCCUUUGUCAUGUGUAUGUUACUUGCCCGAGAUUCGGUCAUCAAUAUCACAAUACCUAGUUCAAUCCCGUUACUGGCAAGUCUCUUUACUCGUUCCGUAAUACUGCAUCCCGCAACUAACUCAUUAGUCACAAUGCUUGCAAGGCUUAUAGUGAUGAGUAUUAUCGAGAGGGCCCAGAGAUACCUCUCUGAAACACGGAGUGACAAAUCCUAAUCUCGAUCUAUGCCAACCCAACAAACACCUUCAGAGACACCUAUAGAGCACCUUUAUAAUCACCCUUUUAUGUUGUGACGUUUGGUAGCACACAAAGUGUUCCUCCGGUAUUCGGGAGUUUCAUAAUCUCAUAGUCUGAGGAACUUGUAUAAGUCAUGAAGAAAGCAGUAGCAAUGAAACUAACAUGAUCAUAAUGCUAAGCUAACAGAUGGGUCAUGUCCAUCACAUCAUUCUUCUAAUGAUGUGAUCCUGUUCAUCAAAUGACAACACAUGUCUAUGGUUAGGAAACUUAACCAUCUUUGAUUAACGAGCUAGUCAAGUAGAGGCAUACUAGGGACUAUAGGUUUUGUCUAUGUAUUCACACAUGUACUAAGUUUCUGGUUAAUACAAUUCUAGCAUGAAUAAUAAACAUUUAUCAUGAAUUAAGGAAAUAAAUAAUAACUUUAUUGUUGCAUCUAUGGCAUAUUUCCUCAAGUCUCCCACUUGCACUAGAGUCAAUAAUCUAGAUUACAUAGUAAUGAUUCUAACACCCAUGGAGCUUUGGUGUUGAUCAUGUUUUGCUCGAGGCUUAGUCAACUGGUCUACAACAUUCAGAUCCGUGUGUAUCUCUAUGUCCCCUUCCGACACUUGAUGACGGAUGGAAUUGAAGCGUCUCUUAAUGUGCUUGGUUCUCUUGUGAAAUCUGGAUUCCUUUGCCAAGACAAUUGCACCAGUAUUGUCACAAAAGAUUUUCAUUGGACCCGAUGCACUAGGUAUGACACCUAGAUCGGAUAUGAACUCCUUCAUCCAAACUCCUUCAUUUGCUGCUUCCUAAGCAGCAAUGUACUCCGCUUCACACAUAGAUCCCACCACGACGCUCUGCUUGGAACUGCACCAACCGACAGCUCCUCCUACGUAUCUGGUUUGCGACUUAGAGUCAUCUGGAUCAGUGUCAAAGCUUGCAUCGACGUAAUCAUUUACGCGAGCUCUUUUUCACCUCCAUAAACGAGAAACAUAUCCUUAGUCCUUUUUAGGUAUUUCAGGAUGUUCUUGACCGUUGUCCAGUGCUCCACUUUUGGAUUACUUUGGUACCUCCCUGCUAUGCUUAUAGCAAGACAUACAUCAGGUCUGGUACACAACAUUGCAUACAUGAUAGAACCUAUGGCUGAAGCAUAGGGAAUUAGUUUCAUUUUUUCUCUAUCUUCUGCGAUGGUCGGGCUUUGAGUCUGACUCAACUUCACACCUUGUAACACAGGCAAGAACCCUUUCUUUGACUGAUCCAUUUUGAACUUCUUCAAAACUUUAUCAAGGUAUGUCCUUUGUGAAAGUCCAAUUAAGCGUCUUGAUCCAUCUCUAUAGAUCUUGAUGCCCAAUAUGUAAGCAGCUUCUCCAAGGUCUUCAAUAGAAAAACUCUUAUUCAGGUAUCCCUUUAUGCUAUCUAGAAAUUCUAUAUCAUUUCCAAUCAAUAAUAUGUCAUCUACAUAUAAGAUCAGAAAUGCUACAGAGCUCCCACUCACUUUCUUGUAAAUACAGGCUUCUCCAAAAGUCUGUAUAAAACCAUAUGCUUUGAUCAUACUAUCAAAGCAUUUAUUCCAACUCUGAGAGGCUUGCACCAGUCCAUAAAUGGAUCGCUGGAGCUUGCACACUUUGCUAGCACCCUUUGGAUCGACAAAACCUUCCGGUUGCAUCAUAUACAACUCUUCUUCCAGAAAUCCAUUUAGGAAUGCAGUUUUGACAUGAUUCGGACAGACUGAAGCAUCGCUACAGGUGAGAAAGUCUCAUCGUAGUCAACUCCUUGAACUUGUCAAAAACCUUUCGCAACAAAUUGAGCUUUGUAAACAGUAACAUUACCGUCUGCGUCGGUCUUCUUCUUAAAAUCCAUUUAUUUUCUAUGGCUUGCCGAUCAUCGGGCAAGUGUACCAAUGUCCACAGUUUGUUCUCAUACAUGGAUCCCAUCUUAGAUUUCAUGGCCUCAAGCCAUUUCACGGAAUCUGGGCUCAUCAUCGCUUCCUCAUAGUUCGUAGGUUCAUCAUGGUCUAGUAACAUGACUUCCAGAACAAGAUUACUGUACCACUCUGGUGCAGAUCUUACUCUGGAAGACCUACGAGGUUUGGUAGUAACUUGAUCUGAAGCUUCAUGACCAUCAUCAUUAGCUUUCUCACUAUUUGGUGUAGGAAUCACAUGAACUGAUUUCUGCGAUGAACUACCUUCCAAUAAGGGAGCAAGUACAGUUACCUCAUCAAGUUGUACUUUCCUCCCACUCACUUCUUUUGAGAGAAACUCCUCCUCUAUAAAGGAUCCAUUCUUAGCAACAAAGAUUUUGCCUUCGGAUCUGUGAUAGAAGGUGUACCCAACAGUUUCCUCUGGGUAUCCUAUGAAGACGCACUUCUCCAAUUUGGGUUUGAGCUUAUCAGGUUGAAGCUUUUUCACAUAAGCAUCGCAGCCCCAAACUUUAAGAAAUGACAACUUUGGUUUCUUGCCAAACCACAGUUCAUAAGGCGUCGUCUCAACGGAUUUAGAUGGUGCCCUAUUUAAAGUGAAUGCAUCCGUUUCUAAAGCAUAACCCCAAAACGAUAGCGGUAAAUCAGUAAGAGACAUCAUAGAUCGCACCAUAUCUACUAAAGUAUGGUUACAACGUUCGGACACACCAUUUCGCUGUGGUGUUCUAGGUGGCGUUAAUUGUGAAACUAUCCCAUGUUGUUUCAAAUGAAGACCAAACUCGUAACUCAAAUAUUCUCCUCCAUGAUCAGAUCGUAGAAACUUUAUUUUCUUGUUAUGAUGAUUUUCCGCUUCACUCUGAAAUUCUUUGAGCUUUUCAAAUGUUUCAGUCUUAUGCUUCAUUAAGUAGAUAUAACCAUAUCUGCUUAAAUCCUCUGUGAAGGUAAGAAAAUAACGAUACCCACCACGAGCAUCAAUACUCAUUGGACCGCAUACAUUGGUAUGUAUUAUUUCCAACAAGUCAGUAGCUCGUUCCAUUGUUCCGGAGAACGGACUUUUAGUCAUCUUGCCCAUAAGGCACGGUUUGCAAGCACCAAGUGAUUCAUAAUCAAGUGAUUCCAAAAGUCCAUCAGUAUGGAGUUUCUUCAUGCGCUUUACACCGAUAUGACCCAAAUGGCAGUGCCACAAAUAAGUUGCACUAUCAUUAUUAAACUUCAAUCUUUUGGCUUCAACACUAUGAAUAUGUGUAUCACUACUAUCGAGAUUCAACAAAAAUAGACCACUCAGCUGGGGUGCAUGACCAUAAAAGAUAUUACUCAUAUAAAUAGAACAACCAUUAUUCUCUGAUUUAAAUGAAUAACCAUCUCGCAUCAAACAAGAUCCAGAUGUAAUGUUCAUGCUCAAAGCUGGCACCAAAUAACAAUUAUUCAGGUCUAAAACUAAUCCCAAUGGUAGAUGUAGAGGUAGCGUGCCGACCGUGAUCACAUCGACUUUGGAACCAUUCCCCACACGCAUCGUUACCUCAUCCUUAGCCAAUCUUCGCUUAAUCCGUAGCGAGUUGCAAAUAUGAGCAACAAAACCAGUAUCAAAUACCCAGGCGCUACUGCGAGCAUUAGUUAAGUACACAUCAAUAACAUGUGUAUCAAAUAUACCUUUCUCUUCGCCAUCCUUCUUAUCCGCUAGAUACUUGGGGCGGUUCCGCUUCCAAUGACCAGUCCCUUUGUAGUAGAAGCACUCAGUUUCAGGCUUAGGUCCAACUUGGGUUUCUUCUCUUGAGCAACAACCUUUUUGCCGUUCUUCUUGAAGUUCCCUUUCUUCCCUUUGCCCCUUUUCUUUAAACUAGUGGUCUUAUUAACCAUCAACACUUGAUGCUCCUUUUUUAUUUCUACCUCCGCGGCCUUUAGCAUCGCGAAGAGCUCGGGAAUAGUCUUUUCCAUCCAUUGCAUAUUAUAGUUCAUCAUGAAGCCUUUAUAGCUUGGUGGCAGUGAUUGAAGAACUCUAUCAAUGACACAAUCAACUGGAAGAUCAACUCCCAGCUGAGUCAAGUGAUUAUGAUACCCAGACAUUUUGAGUAUGUGUUCACUGACAGAACUAUUCUCCUCCAUUUUGCAGUUGUAGAACUUGUUGGAGACUUCAUAUCACUCAACUCGGGCAUUUGCUUGAAAUAUUAACUUCAACUCUUGGAACAUCACAUAUGCUCCAUGACGUUCAAAACGUCUUUGAAGUCUCGAUUCUAAGCCGUAAACCAUGGCACACUGAACUAUCGAGUAGUCAUCAACUUUGCUCUGCCAGACGUUCUUAAUGUCAUUAGUAGCUUUUGCAGCAGGCCUGGCACCUAGCGGUGCUUAUAAGACGUAAUUCUUCUGUGUAGCAAUGAGGAUAAUCCUCAAGUUACGGACCCAGUCCGUGUAGUUGCUGCCAUCAUCUUUCAACUUAGCUUUCUCUAGGAACGCAUUAAAAUUCAAAGGAACGGUAGCACGGGCCAUUGAUCUACAACAACGUAGACAUGCAAAAUACUAUCAGGUACUAAGUUCAUGAUAAAUUAAAGUUCAAUUAAUCAUAUUUUAAGAACUCCCACUUAGAUAGACAUCCCUCUAAUCAUCUAAGUGAUCACAUGAUCCAAAUCAACUAAACCAUGUCCGAUCAUCACGUGACAUGGAGUAGUUUUCAAUGGUGAACAUCACUAUGUUGAUCAUAUCUACUAUAUGAUUCACGCUCGAUCUUUCGGUCUUAGUGUUCCGAGGCCAUAUCUGCAUAUGCUAGGCUCGACAAGUUUAACCUGAGUAUUCUGUGUGUGCAAAACUGGCUUGCACCUGUUGUAUGUGAACGUAGAGCUUAUCACACCCGAUAAUCAUGUGGUGUCUCGGCACGACAAACUAUAGCAACGGUGCAUACUCAGGGAGAACACUUGUACCUUGAAAUUGAGUAAGGGAUCAUCUUAUAAUGCUACCAACGUUCUAAGCAAAAUAAGAUGCAUAAAGGAUAAACAUCACAUGCAAUCAAAAUAUGUGACAUGAUAUGGCCAUCAUCAUCUUGUGCUCAUGAUCUCCAUCACCGAAGCAUCGUCAUGAUCUCCAACGUCACCGGUGCAACACCUUGAUCUCCAUCGUAGAUCCGUUGUCAUCUCGCCACCUAUUGUUACUACGACUACCGCUACCGCUUAGUGAUAAAAUAAAACAAUUACAUGACGAUUGCAUUGCAUAAAAUAAAGCGACAACCAUAUGGCUCCUGCCAGUUGCCGAUAACUUUGUUACAAAACAUGAUCAUCUCAUACAACAAUUUAUAUCACAUCAUGCUUGACCAUAUCACAUCACAACAAGCCCUGCAAAAACAAGUUAGACGUCCUCUACUUUGUUGUUGCAAGUUUUACGUGGCUGCUACGGGCUUCUAGCAAGAACCGUUCUUACCUACGCAUCAAAACCACAAAGAUUUUUCGUCAAGAUUGCUGUUUUAACCUUCAACAACGACCGAGCGUAGCCACACUCGAUUCAACUAAAGUUAGAGAAACAGACACUCACCAGCCACCUAUGUGCAAAGCACGUCGGUAGAACCAGUCUCGUGUAAGCGUACGCGUAAUGUCGGUCUGAGCCGCUUCAUACAACAAUACCGUCGAAUCAAAGUAUGACAUGCUGGUAAGCAGUAUGACUAUUAUCGCCCACAACUCUUUGUGUUCUACUCGUGCAUAUAACAUCUACACAUAGACCUGGCUUUGAUACCACUGUUGGGGAAUGCGGUAAUUUCAAAAAAAUUCCUACGAUCACGCAAGAUCUAUCUAUGUGAUGCAUAGCAAUGAGAGGGGAGAGUGUUUUCACAUACCCUCGUAGACCGAAAGCGGAAGUGUUAUGACAACGCAGUUGAUGUAUUUAUAUGUCUUCAUGAUUCGACCGAUCUUAGCACCGAACGUACGGCACCUCCACGAUCAACACACGUUCAGCUCGGGGACGUCCUUCGUACUCUUGAUCCAGUUGAGGCCGAGGGAGAGUUUUGUCAGCACGACGGCAUGGUGACGGUGAUGAUGAAGUUACUGGCGCAGGGCUUCGCCUAAGCACUGCAACAAUAUGACCGAGGUGUGUAACUAUGGAGGGGGCACCGCACACGGCUAAACAAUGUCAACUUCUGCGUUCUAGGGUGCCCCUGCCCCCGUAUAUAAAGGAGCAAGGGGGAGGCCGGCCGGCCCUUGGGGCGCGCCAAGGAGGGGAAGAGUCCUCCUCCUAGUAGGAGUAGGACUCCUGCUUUCCUAGUCCAACUAGGAGGGGGAAGGGGGAAGGAAGGAGAGGGAGAGGGAGAGGGAAAGAGGGGCCGCGCCCCCUUCCCCUAGUCCAAUUCGGACUCCCCUUGGGGGGGGGGGCGUGUGUGAAAGUGCAACUAUCCCUAGGUGGUUUUGGUAAUUCAUUACAACAUGUAGCUCAUUGAGCUAAUGCUAUUCCAAGACUAUUAUUUCAGGAAAGCUCAAUGAAUGGCAUGGCAUGGAUGAUGAAAGUGGAUCCCUCAAAAUACUAAGGACAAAGGAUUGACUCAAGCUCAAAAGCUCAAGACUCUUCAUUUUACAUUUUACUGAUCCAAGAUCACAUUGAGUCUAUAGGAAAAGCCAAUACGAUCAAGGAGGGAUGAGGUGUUGCUUAAUGAGCCUCUUGCUUCAUGUGCUUAGUGAUAUGCUCCAAAACCCUCAGCUACUUUCUCACAUCCACAAAUGACCUAAACCCAAAGUCAAAAUCGGUCACACCGAUUCUUCCAACCCGGAGCCACCGAUUUCAAAUGUCAUAGCCACUGCCACAAACCCUAAGCAAAUCGGUCCUACUGAUAGGGAUCUCGGUCUCACCGAGAUGGGUUGUAAUCUCUCUGUUUCCCUUUGUAACAUUUCGAUCUAACCGAAGUGAGCGAUCGGUCCCACCGAGAUUGCAAUGUAAACUCUCUGUUUCCCUUUUGUAACAUUUCGGUCUCACCGAAAAGAGCAAAUCGGUCCCACCGAGUUUACCUGACCAACUCUCUGGAAAGCUUAUUACCAAAAUCGGUCUCACCAAGUUUGUCUAAUCGGUCUUACUAAGAUUACGUUAUGCCCUAACCCUAACCGAAUCGGUCUCACCGAGUUGCAUGUCAGUCCCACCGAACAUCACUAACGGUCACUAGGUUUACUAAAUCGGCCUGACCGAGUCUAUUGAAUCGGUCCCAUCGAGUUUGGUAAAUUGUGUGUAACGGUUAGAUUUUGUGUGGAGGCUAUAUAUACCCCUCCACCUCCUCUUCAUUCGUGGAGAGAGCCAUCAGACUAAACCUACACUUCCAACUUACCAUUUCUGAGAGAGAACCACCUACUCAUGUGUUGAGGCCAAGAUAUUCCAUUCCUACCAUAUGAAUCUUGAUCUCUAGCCUUUCCCAAGUUGCUUUCCACUCAAACCCUCUUCCCACCAGAUCCAAAUCCUAUGAGAGAGAGUUGAGUGUUGGGGAGACUAUCAUUUGAAGCAUAAGAGCAAGGAGUUCAUCAUCAACGCACCAUUUGUUACUUCUUGGAGAGUGGUGUCUCCUAGAUUGGCUAGGUGUCACUUGGGAGCCUCCGACAAGAUUGUGGAGUUGAACCAAGGAGUUUGUAAGGGCAAGGAGAUCGCCUACUUCGUGAAGAUCUACCGCUAGUGAGGUAAGUCCUUCGUGGGCGACGGCCAUGGUGGGAUAGACAAGGUUGCUUCUUCGUGGACCCUUCGUGGGUGGAGCCCUCCGUGGACUCGUGCAACCAUUACCCUUCGUGGGUUGAAGUCUCCAUCAACGUGGAUGUACGAUAGCACCACCUAUCGGAACCACGCCAAAAACAUCCAUGUCUCCAAUUGCGUUUGAAUCCUCCAAACCCUUCCCAUUACUUUCUUGCAAGUUGCAUGCUUUAAUUUCCGCUGCCUAUAUACUCUUUGCAUGCUUGCUUGAAUAGUGUGAUGAUUGCUUAACUUGUCCUAAGAUAGCUAAAAUCUGCAAAACUCUAAAAUUGGGAAAAGGUUGAGUUUUAAUUGGUCAAGUAGUCUAAUCACCCCCCUCUAGACAUACUUCAAGGUCCUACAAGUGGUAUCAGAGCUUUGGUCUCCAUUUGCUUUGAUUUCCAUAGCUUUUGAUGGUCAUAGCCUUGGUUUCACAACCUAGGAGAGUAUGGCGUCUAGCGAGGGAAAUUAUCACCGUAGAGGUCCUUACUUUGAUGGUACUAAUUUUGCUAGUUGGAAGCAUAAGAUGAAAAUGCAUAUUCUCGGACAUAACCCCGCCGUUUGGGCAAUUAUUUGUAUUAGCUUGCAAGGUGAAUUCUUUGAUGGGAGAGAGCUGAACCGUGAAGCUAAUGCGGAAGAAUUGAAGAUGCUGCAAUACAAUGCUCAAGCUUGUGAUAUCAUCUUCAACGGAUUGUGCCCCGAAGAAUUCAACAAAAUCAGUCAUCUUGAGAAUGCAAAGGAAAUUUGGGAUACUUUGAUUGAUAUGCACGAAGGUACUGAAUCCGUCAAGGAAUCCAAGUUGGAUGUGCUCCAAAGUCAGCUUGACAAGUUCAAAAUGAAGGAUGGUGAAGCUGUUGCUGAAAUGUACUCUAGGCUUGCACUUAUCACAAAUGAGAUUGCCGGCUUAGGGAGUGAAGAGAUGACCGACAGAUUCAUCAUCAAGAAGAUCCUAAGAGCAUUGGAUGGAAAGUAUGAUACCGUGUGAACAUUGAUCCAAAUGAUGCCAAACUACAAAGAUCUCAAGCCAACGGAAGUCAUUGGAAAAAUUGUUGCUCAUGAGAUGUCACUCAAGGAUAAGGAGGAACUUCACAACAAGUCAAGUGGUGCCUACAAAGCCUCAAGUGAAGCCCCCACAUCAUCAAGUGAGAAACAAACCUUCAAUGAAGAAUUGAGCUUAAUGGUGAAGAACUUCAACAAAUUCUACAAGAGCAGAAGCAAAGAAAGAAGCUCCAAGUCAAGGUCUUAUCAUGACAAAAGAUCUUCUAGUCGAGAGCGCAAUUGCUACAAUUGUGGAAGGCCUGGACACUACUCCAAUGAGUGUACGACACCCUACAAAAGAAGAGAAGAUUCUCCAAAAAGAAGAAGCAAAAGAGAAGAAUCACCACCAAGAGAGAGGAGGAGUAGAGAUGAUCGUUAUGAACGAAGACCCUCACGGAGAAGCAAGGAUUCGGAAAGGAAGGACAAGUCAUCAAGGAGCUACACAAAACAAAGACAUCAAGCUCAUGUUGGUGAAUGGGUAUCUGGCUCCGACUCCGACCAUCACUCCGAGAGAAGCUAUCACUCCGACUCCGAAUAUACUCAAGAUGAAGGUGUUGCCGGUCUAGCACUUGUGUCAACCAACUCCUAUGACAUAUUCGAUUCACCAAAUGAAGGAAUUGGAAGAUGCUUCAUGGCCAAAGGUCCAAAGGUAACACAUCCUGAGUAUGUUGAUUUCAAUAGUGAUGAAGAUGACUUGCUUGUGGAUGAUGAUUUACUUGUUGACAACUCUAGUGAUGAAUACUAUGAUGAAACUUCAAUUAAUCAUGCUAAUCAAACGAAUGACAAUGAUAAGGAGAAAAUUGAGCUUUUAACUAAAGAACUAAACACUUAAGGCUCAUGAAACUAUCUUUGAAGAUCAUCGAGAACUUUUAAGGGCUCAUGAGAAGUUACGCUUUGAAAAGCUCAAUCUUGAGCAAGAGCAUGAGUUCUUAAAAGCAAUCAAUGAUGAUCUCCAUUAGAAAAGUUCUUCUUACAUUGCCAAGCGUUUACUCCUAUCUACUUACAUGCCUCAAGUCAAGUCUAGUAACAAGUACAAGAAAGAUACUUCCUCUAGUAGUAACAAUAAUAAUGUCAAAUCCAAUAUUGUUCCUUCUAGUAGUUCUCUUAAUUCCACUAAUGAUUCUCUUAGCCAAGUUACACUUGAGCAAUAAAAUAGCUUAUUGAAGGGAAUUAUAGAGAAAGGUGUUUACAAGAGCCUUGCCGGGAGUAAGCAAUUCGAGGAAAUUGUACGCAAGCAAGGAAGACACCGGAAGAAUCAAGGUGUUGGUUUUGAACGAAAGUUCAAUGCCAAUGGAGUUGAGUGGGAAGAAGAUCAAUACCCCAAGACGAAGUUUGUUCCGCAACAAGAGAAGUAUGAUCAUACUUCCUUCAACGGAACACAAGCUCAAGAUGAUCUUCCACCACAAGACCACAAGAACAAAGGCAAGGACAAGCUUCAAGAAGAGAUUGAUGCAUUUGAAGAAGCACCUAAGGUCUCGGUCAAGUGGAUUCCCAAGACUACGUCAAGUUCUACUUCAUCAAGUACAACUACAAGUCCAAGGAUUCCCAUCAAGAUGAUGUGGAUCCCGAAGAAGAAGAACUAGAGAGUUCUUGAGGGUGACUCCGCCAACAUUCUUCACUCAUAUCAUUAUGGCAAUGACAAGUGCAAUCAACUUCCACAUCUUGCACUAGUUCAAGGAGUCACAAACCCUCAUGUUGGUAAGGCAAGGGACAAGGUAACCUUAUGUUUUCAUGGACACCAUCUUGUGUGUGCAUCACUCUGUGUCUUUGGAUAUUCUUGUUUGUUCCUUGUGGGACUAACCCAUGUAGGCAAGUUGAAAGUGCAACUCACUCCAAAGGAUUGCUCCAAAUGGUCUACAUCAACAUUGAGCAUCCACAUCUUCAACACCUACAUGAAGUCAUCAUCGACAAAACCCAAGGUUAGUUCAUCCCUCUAAAAGGGGAUCUCACAUCUAGGGGGAGCUUAACUCUAAGAAUUGAGUCAAAGCAACUCUAAUGGUGUGAACACAUCAAUGCAUUAUGUAAAAGUGGUAACCCCACUUGAGCUUAAACGAUGAGUAUGACCUAUGAUCAAAUGUUUAUUAUUUGACUCCUAAGUCAAUAUACUCAUAUAUAGAUGACCUAGUCAUCGCCAAUUGUUUGAUAGAUGCUAGAAUUGCUUGUGCAUGCUUAGCCACAUAUUUCAUUUGCUAUCUUAUUGUGUGAGCAUGUUGGUGCAUAUUUUACUCAUUCAAGGACAUCCACUUGUUGAUUUGAUUGUUUGGUUCUUUCUUCUUUUGGCCAAGUGGAUGGACAAGAAUGCCUAAGAACUUUCUCUAGCUAUCUAUGCUUUUCUCGUCUCAAACUCUAUUCAUGCUACAUCACAAAAUUUGAUCAAGUCAGAUUUGAACCACUCUGUGUGAGGAGCACUCAGAGUCCCCGAUUCGUCAUAGACUUAAACUUCCAAAACUUCUUUGUGAUUCUCGGUCUGACCGAUUCUUCCAUUUCGGUCCCACCGAGAUCACUAAGUUGAUCUAGGUUUUCAAUCUCGGUGCAACCGAUUUGAACUUUUCGGUCACACCGAGUUGCUGUAACUGAACACAGUUAUGCAUCUCGGUGCCACCGAGUUGUUCCACUCGGUCACACCGACAGGGUCGGGCUAUAUAUAGUCACGGGCAAAAAUUUGGAAAUUCUCCGAACCCCUUCGCCCGCGCAAUAGCUCGCUCUGCCUCCAAGGUCUCCGGAUCGUCUCCUCGUCGCCAGCCGCCUCCUGUCGCUGGUCUCCGCAGUCGUCAACGGAAUUCAACCCCGCCGUUGCCGCCGUAGCAAGUUCAUCGCCGAACUAGGGUAUGGACUCGAUCACAGUGCAAUCCAAUCCAGUCCAAUCCUCGUCCGAUUCCUAGCACAUUGUGUUCUUAUUGAUUCUUGCCAUGAUUGAAACACUCCAAUCCAGUCAAUGCAAUCCGUAGAUUAGAUGAGAUAUGAAAAUUUAGGGUUAGGUUUCCGCCGAAACCAUCUCGGACCCACCGAGUUGAAAAACUCGGUCCCACCGAUUUGGCUUAUGCCAUUGCACUAGUGACUCUCGGUCUGACCAGGAAUUGCUAAUUGGUGCGACCGAUUUUAGAACUUUGUGAAACCCUAGCAGUCUCGGUGCCACCGAACUGUGACUCGGUCCAACCGAGUUCAUCAGUUUAGGUUCCAAAACUGCUUCGAUAUCACUGAGUUUGAAAAUCGGUUGAUCCGAAAUGCUUUCUGUGGAAAACUGAAACUGAAUUUUUGAAUCAUUCUUUUGCAAAAAUCUUUGCAUUUUGUGAUGCUCAUCCACUCCAUCUCAUCUAUAACUCUUCACAGGGUCAGCAGUCAGUGUUUGCAGCAUGUCAGACCAGAGUGACAGCCAGAACAGGUCAGCAGAGCAGAUUCACAUGAGUGAGGGCACUAGUCCCUCCAGCACUUCAGAUGAAGGCAGCAAAAGUACUCCUAGCAACCUGCCUAAGGCUUCUACCAGGCAAGGGAAGAAGAGAACUUCAGACUCUGAAGAUGAGGACUAUAGAGCUGAAGAGGAUGAGGCUACCUCCAAGAAGGUAGUGCUCAAAAAGGAGUAUGGCCCAGCAAAGGAUACAAAGCCAGGCAUCAAGAUUAAAAGGCCUGCAGGAAGACAACCAAUGUCCAAGACUAGAGCAUCAACUCAACUGCCUAAAAAGCCUGAUCCCAAAGAGCCAGCUGCUGAAGGAAAGAAAAGGAAGGAAAGGGUCAACAAGACCAUGGCCAGAGUUGUUGGUCAACCUUCCAUGAUGGAAGAAGAAGAACUUGCUGCACCAGCACCAAAGGCACCAAAGCUUAUGGGAGAUGCCAUGAGAUCAGGGGCUGCAACAUCUAUGCCCAAGGAAGCACCCAAAGCUACCUCCAAGGCCAAGACUGCACCAAAGAGGAAUACCAGGAAUAUUCCAGCUGCUGAGAAGAACAAGGCCCCAGUGCAUGAGGUUGCUGAGGAAGAAGAUGAAGAAGGACAAGUUCUGAGGAAGCUCAAGCCUAAGAUACCAGACCACAAUGAUUCCCAUCUUGUGGCUGAGGACAUGAACAUCAGAAAAGACUCGGGAUUGAGGCUAUGGAGGAUGGCAGAUCCAUAUGCCACAAGGAGAAGGACUGCUGUUGAUUACAGGUUCCAUACAAAGGAACAACAGGACUUCUAUGAGACAAUUUUGUUGGAUAAGAAGCCUAUAGUUUGUGAUAUGAGGUGGGUCGACUGGAUCUGCAUAAAGGAAAAUGAAGAGCACUAUCCUGGAGUGCAAGACAACUUUGUUGCUUGUGGAGUUGCAGAUUUUGUUGGGCAAAAGCUCACGAACUGGAAUGAUGAACUUAUCAUGCAAUUCUACUCCACAUCACACUUCUAUCCAGAUGGGAGGAUAGUUUGGAUGUCUGAAGGUACAAGGUACCAGUCAACUGUUGAGGAGUGGGCAAAACUGAUAAAUUCCCCAAAGGAAAUGAUGAUGACCUGGAUGUAUAUGCCAAGAUCCUAAGGUACACUCUAUUGCCUAAGUCUGGUUACCACAACAUGAUCAGAGGGCAUGCAAUCAAUAUGUUGCAUUUAUUUGAUGUGCCACAAAAAUUCAAGGUCAUGAGCCUUAUAGUUGAAACCAUUAAGAGGACUGCAGCAGACCAGAAGAGGAGAUGUGGAUAUGCCCCCCAGAUUCAGGAGUUGAUUAACUCAAAGAUGGGCACAUGCAAAUAUCUAUUGGAUAGGGAACAUUUUCCACUCUAUCCAGCUUUUGAGGACAAUGAGGUUGUCAUGAAUGAGGAUGAUCCAUCAUCAGUUCAAGCUCAAGAGAAGAAGGAGAAGGCAAGGAAGGAGAAGGCUGCCAAGAUGCCAACUCAAGAGGAGGCAUCUGAGUACUUCUUGAAGAACAAGCAGGAGCAGCUUGGUUACUUGAUAGCAUCAUCUCUGAGGAUUGAGAAGGGAUUGGCCACCCUCACUCAAAAUCAGGAGAGCCUGGAGAGAAUCAUGGAACUCAAAUUUCAUGAUCUUGAUGUCAAGGUAACUGAGAUUCAGACAGUUGUGGAUCAACUGCAGGAUGACACGCAGGAGAGGAAGGGCAAGACUACCACUAAUGUCUUUGCCAGAGUGCCUAGAGCUUAGAGGUUAGCUGUUGUGCCCGUGCUAGACACCAGAGCAACAUCAUCUGCACCAGCUACAGCUCCUACAGUUCCAGUGCAACCAGCUCCAGCAUCAACUCUAGCACCCUCUACAUCAACUGAAGCCUUCGUCCAAGGAGCCAUCUCUACACCACCAACUGAAGAUCAAGCCUGAAAGUCGAUCUAGCACUAUGCAUUUUCUAUGAACUUUUUCGUAACUUGUUGCCAAAGGGGGAGAAAAAUGUAUAGAUCAUAGGCUUCGAGAGAGAGAGUGUUGCUUUUAUUCUCUCUUGCUUUGGUGGUUCAAACUUGUUUGCUUUUGAUUGCUUGAGAUAUUAUGCUAUUCUUGUGAGACAUUGAUGAUCAUGUGUUUGAUCAUAAGCUACACUCAUGCAUGUUUGAUGAUAUUAUCUUAUCUAUCCUAUGUGAUCAUUCACUUUGCUUGGUGAUGAGUGCAUGUAUUCAAUAUUUUCCUUUUGAGCGCUGCACCAAGAUGUAUGUGACAUGGAAGAGUAAGCCAUGAGCCUAAUUCCUUGUGCAUUUCCAGUCCAAAGCAAAUUUUAAACUAUGCACAAAUUUAGGGGGAGCUCUUGCUUAUCACAUACUUCUCAAAGCAACGAUGUUUUUACUCUUAUUAUCAUUUGUCGAAGCUUUGAUCUAUAGGUUGUCAUCAAUUACCAAAAAGGGGGAGAUUGAAAGUGCAACUAUCCCUAGGUGGUUUUGGUAAUUCAUAAGAACAUGUAGCUCAUUGAGCUAAUGCUAUUCCAAGACUAUUAUUUCAGGAAAGCUCAAUGAAUGGCAUGGCAUGGAUGAUGAAAGUGGAUCCCUCAAAAUACUAAGGACAAAGGAUUGGCUCAAGCUCAAAAGCUCAAGACUCUUCAUUUUACAUUUUAGUGAUCCAAGAUCACAUUGAGUCUAUAGGAAAAGCCAAUACUAUCAAGGAGGGAUGAGGUGUUGCUUAAUGAGCCUCUUGCUUCAUGUGCUUAGUGAUAUGCUCCAAAACCCUCAGCUACUUUCUCACAUCCACAAAUGACCUAAACCCAAAGUCAAAAUCGGUCACACCGAUUCUUCCAACCCAGAGCCACCGAUUUCAAAUGUCAUAGCCACUGCCACAAACCCUAAGCAAAUCGGUCCUACCGAUAGGGAUCUCGGUCUCACCGAGAUGGGAUUGUAAUCUCUCUGUUUCCCUUCGUAACAUUUUGGUCUAACCGAAGUGAGCGAUCGGUCCCACCGAGAUUGCAAUGUAAACUCUCUGUUUCCCUUUUGUAACAUUUCGGUCUCACCGAAAAGAGCAAAUCGGUCCCACCGAGUUUACCUGACCAACUCUCUGGAAAGCUUAUUACCAAAAUCGGUCUCACCGAGUUUGUGUAAUCGGUAUUACCGAGAUUAGGUUAUGCCCUAACCCUAACCGAAUCGGUCUCACCGAGUUGCAUGUCGGUCCCACCGAAAAUCACUAAUGGUCACAAGGUUUACUAAAUCGGUCUGACCGAGUCUGUUGAAUCGGUCCCACCGAGUUUGGUAAAUUGUGUGUAACGGUUAGAUCUUGUGUGGAGGCUAUUGUCGGUGUCAAAACCGGCGGAUCUCGGGUAGGGGGUCCCGAACUGUGCGUCUAGGCGGAUGGUAACAGGAGACAAGGGACACGAUGUUUUACCCAGGUUCGGGCCCUCUUGAUGGAGGUAAAACCCUACGUCUUGCUUGAUUAAUAUUGAUGAUGUGUGUUACAAGAGUAGAUCUACCACGAGAUCAAGGAGGCUAAACCCUAGAAGCUAGCCUAUGGUAUGAUUGUUGUUCGUCCUACGGACUAAAGCCAUCCGGUUUAUAUAGACACCGGAGAGGGCUAGGGUUACACAGAGUCGGUUACAAUGGUAGGAGAUCUAUAUAUCCGUAUCGCCAAGCUUGCCUUCCACGCCAAGGAAAGUCCCAUCCGGACACGGGACGAAGUCUUCAAUCUUGUAUCUUCAUAGUCUUGGAGUUCGGCCGAUGAUGAUAGUUCGGCUAUACGGACACCCCCUAGUCCAGGACUCCCUCAGUAGCCCCCGAACCAGGCUUCAAUGACGACGAGUCCGGUGCGUAUAUUGUCUUCGGCGUUGCAAGGCGGGUUCUCCUUCAAACUUCAUGUUCGUGUCGAAUAGUGUCCGGCUUCCUUAUAAAUGUUGCGCUCCUUAGCUUCUACGCCCAAUAAUGGCCUUCUUCCACGUGUCGUAUGAAUGCGAAAAGCUAGGGUAUUUUUACAUUUUUUUCCCUAGCCGUGCGAGCGAGCCGCCUAUAAGAGAGGCGAGGAUCUAGAUCCAACUCACACCAUCCUCCUUCCGCAAGUACUCAUCGAAGCGCCUCUGACAAAAAUCCAUUCUAUCAUGGAUAGUCGAUGCGGCUCCUCCUCUCGCGCUCCCAGCCCUAAGCCAGGAGAUUGGGGGAGAUGCUCAAUUCCACAUAGCGAGCUAGUGGCGCUCCAAACCGAGGGAUAUCUUCCCAAAGCCUUCAUGGUUCCGGUUCGAGCCGGACUGGCCACCUUCAGGGGUGGAAAGCAGGCGAAGAGCAUCCCCAACCCUUCCAAAGGAGAGCGGGUAUGCUUCGUCCCUUAUCUAAUAAGGGGACUCGGAUUUCCCAUACAUCCGUUUCUCCGGGGGCUCCUGGAGUUCUACGGACUCCAGCUUCACCACCUUACACCUGCCUCCAUUUUGCACAUCGCGGGCUUUGUAGCUCUUUGCGAGCUGUUCUUGGGCAUCGAGCCCCUUUUUCCGAUGUGGAAGAGAUUGUUUUGCCUCGUACCCCAUUCUCACGAGGGGUCGAUAUAUCAAGUGGGCGGAGCCGAAAUAUGGCGCAUCACCGGGACCGGAUAUCUAUCCGGCACCCCGAAGAAGGCGUCUGAAGACUGGCCUUCGGAAUGGUUCUACAUGGAGGACGCCCCUCUGCCGGAUCCAGUUCGGAUCGGCCUCCCGGAGUUCAGCAAUGCUCCCUUGAAGAAACGCCUGAGUUGGCGCCCGCGGAGCCCUCAACGGGAGGAUGAUGGGAGCAUCCAUUAUCUGAUGGGCCGGAUUAGGUUACUGGGCCACUCCGGAUUGACCAUGAUUGGAAUCAUGGCCACGUGCAUUAUGCGAGGGGUGCAGCCGCUCCAAUAUAGGGGCCACCCUAUGUGGGAUUUCAACGGGGAAGAUGACGCCACCCGUCAUGGCCGCAGAGGGCCGGGCUCGGCUGCCGAUCUGGUAAAGAUCCUGUCUGGCUUGUACAAGGGGGAGGAGGAGGACUUCCUCCGCACGAGUCCAUUGAAUGGAUUCUCCAUGAAUAACCCUCGGAGCUGGGUAAGCAGACGUUCAUCUAUCCGAUCCAUAUUUCCAAAGUCAAGUAUCUUACUUUGUGAUUUCGACGCAGGAGCUGUGCCGGGACGUGGAGGGCAUUCAAAGCCUAACUCCACAGCCCGAGGAUCCGGAACGAUCCCUGGAUCCGGACUCCAAAGAGGAUCUGGACAUAAAGGUGGAGCUGAUUGAUGGGGUGUUCCACCAACUUAGCAUGGACAAUGCUCUAGUCGCCAUUACGGCUGACUACCCCGGCUUAUCUCCGGCUUCUCAGGUAAUUAUGACCGGAGUUCUAAUACCAUUACUUCGUCCUUGCGUAUUCUUGAUCAACGUAUACUAACGGUGUCUUGCAGGAGGUGCCUUCAAGGUGAGAAGCCGAACCCGCGGCGGCUGACCAGCAAGGGUCAGUUCGGCCCAGCAGGCGGAAAAGGAGUGCGACACGAAUCGAAACGUCGCCGCAACGGUACGGCGCACCGCUGUUUUUAAGGGAAGGAUCCCUAGGAGGUAUAUUAAUGCUCAUAACCUUUCCAGGAGAAAGAGCGCUCGCCGGACAAUGUCCGGAGAGGUUGCUAAUCAAGCCUCCGCCAGCCAUGCUCCAACGCGUGGUCCGGAAGGGGAGGCGAACACAAGGCAUGAGCCGGAUGCUCCUCCAACGGAGGAUGCCGACAGGCUGUCCGCCACCCGGUCUGAGGUGGAGAGCACCAUGAAUCACAGGCGUCACCGGACAGUUCUUCGUGAUGCGUGUUUCUCCCCAGAGGCGUUGAAUGCGUUUGAUGCGGGAGACACGCACCUCUGUGCCACUCAAGAUGGUUUAACCAGAGCCACGGGGCAGUAUGUGAAGGACAUACGGGUAAGUAAUUUUAAUAGUUAUAUAUGCCAGUAGCCCCUGAGACUUAAAAUAGUUAAAAUAACUGAUUUAAGGAUCAUUUAUUAUGCAGGAUCUUACAGAGAAGAAUACCCACCUGUCCCAGGAGCUUCAAGAGUGCAAGGCCCAACUUGAGGCUGCACUGACCGCCGCAGGAGGAGACACAGAGACCCCCUCCGGUAACACAUAUUUGAAAAAUAUUUUAUGGCGUGCAGCGUGCGUAUAAAUCUGACAAUAAUAUUGCAGAUGUUGCCGGACUUGAUCCGGACAAGCAACAGCUACUGCGCCAGUUGAAGGCCGGCGAGAGGGUGCUUAUGAAGGUGCAGCAGGAGAGGAACAAACUCCAAGAUGCCCACACCCAGCUUGGAGAAGAGCUAAAAGGUGUUCGGGCCCAGCUGUCUGGCUCCUUGAAGGAGAAUCAGCAGCUUCGUUGCGGCAUCUAUAGUAAGUGCUUGAGCAAACUCUUUUGAAAAGAAGAGUUCGGCGAGGAAGUCGGUUGACAGAAAUAUGUCUGUAGGUGUGCUCACAGGUCGCCCUACGGAGGAAAUGCCCGGUUCAACGGGUGACCAACUUCCCGAGCUGGUGCAACUGCUCGAACGUGUUCGGUAGGCGAUGAGUGGCGUCGUUCAGGCCUUAUGGCCUUCCGUCUCCCUACCUGAGGGCCUUGGAGGGCUUGCUGAGAAGCUUCAGGGAGUACGGCGACGUCUCCAUCUGUGGAAGAUAUCGACCUGCCGUCAAGGCGCCAGGGAGGCCUGGGCCAUGGUGAAGACGCGGUACCCGAAGGCUGACCCAAACCACAUGGCCGAGGUCGGACCUGUGGGGCCUGAUGGGAAGGAGAUCCCUGUGAGCUUGAUAUAUGGCCAAGUAGAGCUGGCCGCGAAAUAUUCCCAACAGGACUGUAAAUUAGACAGCCUGUUAGAUGGGAUUGAAGAGGAGUACAAUCAGUCAGUUUGACGAUGUAAUUUUAAAAUGACAUAUAGAAUGCCUUCUAGCCGGAUUGUAGAUCGUUUGUCUUUGCGGACCUUUUCGCUUUAACCUCGGGACCCAACAGUCCGGAGUGUGUCCGAAUACCCUUACGGUUAUAAAAGAACCGGGGCGUGCAUGGAGACAAGGCGUAGGGGUCAUAAUUGCUUUAUCAGACAAGUGCCCAACUAGCUAUGUUAUAUUACAUGGUUAGUAAGAAACAUCUUCCAGGGAGAAUAGUUCCGUUAAGGGUUCCUUUCCCUGGGAGGCAUGCCCUAAACUGCAUGUCCGGACUGCGAAAAUAGCAGAAAAAGCAUCUGGGGGCAGAUAAAUAAGUAAGUAAUAAAUCAUCUUUCAGGUCACCGACCGAAUAUUCCCUUAAGAACGCUAGCCUUCGGCUUCACCCAGUCUGAGGUACACAUCCGGCUGACCCGGCAGUAACAAUCGCAGAGGUGCUCCCUUUACCUCCUAGCCGAACAAUUGGGAACGUAGGGGUAAGCACAGGAGCCAGGCAACCCGGCUUGGCCAAAACUUAAGUCAUAUCGAUGCAUAUAAUGGUGAUCAAAAGGUACAUGCGGAAGUAUGACACAUGUGUUGGGCAUGAAGCCCAUAAAAAUAAGCUUCUGUUAAAGAAGCCCCCAGGUAUAACGAGUGCGAGUAGCACAUCGAGUAAGUGCGAACAAAGCGCAGAUCAGCCCUCAAGGGGUUUGUACUGGAAGAGGGAGGAAAAAGGAGGGAAAACAAAGACAGCGAAAAUAAAAAUGAAAGGUGGGCGGAGGAAGGAGACGAACCCUGAGUCCGGCGCUAGGCGUAAAAUCUUCGGAGACGGGCUGCGUUCCAUGGGUUUGGCUCGAGUCGGUUGUCAGAUGCGUUGCGCAGACGGUAUGCACCGCUGGUAAAGACUUGGUCGAUGAUGAAGGGAUCUUCCCAUUUGGGCUUAAGUUUGUCCUUUUUCUUGUCCGGGAGGCAUAGAACUAGUUCGCCAACAUUGUAAGUUUUGGCCCGUACUUCUCUGCUUUGAUAUCUUCGAGCCUGCUGUUGAUAGAAUGCGGAACGGGAUUUUGCCACGUAGCGCUCCUCCUCCAAAGCGUCCAAACUGUCCUGCCGAUCCAGCUCGGCUUCCCUUUCCUCGUACAUGCGCACGCGAGGUGAGUCAUGAAUUAUAUCGCAGGGCAAAACUGCCUUAGCGCUGUAUACCAUAAAAAUGGUGUGAAUCCGGUUGUGCGGUUUGGCGUGGUCCGCAACCCCCAGAGUAUGGAGUGGAGCUCCUCUACCCAGUGCAUGUUAGAUUCCGUGAGGGACCGCACUAAUCUGGGUUUGAUGCCGCUCAUGAUUAGACCAUUUGCUCGUUCCACUUGACCAUUAGUUUGAGGGUGGUAGACUGAAGCGUAGUCGAGCUUGAUGCCCAUGUUUUUGCACCAGAGUUUAACCUCGUCAGCCGUGAAAUUUGUGCCGUUAUCAGUGAUGAUGCUGUGGGGGACGCCAAAACGGUGUACCACCCCGGAUAUGAAGUCUAUUACCGGUCCGGAUUCUGCCGUUUUAACCGGCUUGGCCUCUAUCCAUUUGGUGAAUUUGUCCACCAUGACCAAUAAGUAUUUGCUCUUGUGGGUUCCCCCUUUAAGGGGUCCAACCAUGUCAAGCCCCCAGACCGCGAACGGCCAAGUAAUGGGUAUAGUUUUGAGGGCAGUGGGUGGCAUGUGGCUCUGAUUAGCAAAGAGCCGGCAACCGACGCAUCGUUGGACUAAGUCCUGAGCAUCUGCCCGGGCGGUCGGCCAAUAAAAUCCUGUACGGGAGGCCUUGCCUACAAGGGCCCGGGCGGUGGCGUGGUGCCCGCCGAGUCCGGUGUGAAUUUCAGCCAGGAGAUUUCGCCCUUCCUCUUCGGAGAUACACCUUUGAAGGACUCCGGUUGUGCUUUUCUUAUAAAGUUCUCCCUCAUGGACCUUGUAGGCUUUAGAUCGCCGAACUAUGCAUCGGGCCUCAUUUUGGUCUUCUGAGAGUUCCUGCCUGAUUAAGUAGGCUAGGAAUGGUUCCGUCCACGGGGCAAUUACUGCCAGUAUUUCGUGGGCUGAAUCUGUUAUUUCAUUGGCUGAGCCACCGAUUGUGUCAGAAUGUUCUGCGUUAGGUGAUGCAGUUGGUUCCGGAUUGUUAUUUCCAGACUCCUCUUCCCAUAAUACGGAUGGCUUAAAGAGCCGCUCCAGGAAGAUGUUUGGAGGGACGGCGUCGCGUUUUGCGCCGAUGCGUGCCAACACGUCUGCUGCCUGGUUAUUAUCCCGGGCUACAUGGUGGAAUUCGAGUCUUUCGAACCGGGCUGACAUUUUUAGGACAGCGUUACGGUAGGCUGCCAUUUUCGGAUCCUUGGCGUCAAAGUCUCCAUUUACUUGGGAUAUUGCGAGGUUUGAAUCCCCGCGCACCUCUAGGCGUUGAAUACCCAUGGAGAUUGCCAUCCGGAGGCCAUGUAGGAGGGCCUCGUAUUCGGCUGUGUUGUUGGAGUCCGUGUACAUUAUUUGAAGCACGUAUUGGACUGUGUCUCCGGUUGGGGACGUCAAGACGACGCCAGCCCCCAAGCCAGCCAACAUUUUGGAGCCGUCAAAAUGCAUGAUCCAAUUGGAGUAUACGCCGUACUCUUUAGGGAGUUCGGCUUCAGUCCAUUCGGCGAUGAAGUCAGCCAGAACUUGCGACUUGAUAGCUCGCCGUGGUUUGAAGGUUAUAUCAAAUGGUAAGAGCUCAAUGGACCAUUUUGCAAUACUGCCUGUCGCAUUGCGAUUGUUUAUAAUGUCGUUGAGAGGUACUUCGGAGGCCACCGUUGUGGAAAACUCUUGAAAGUAGUGUCGCAGCUUCCGGGAUGCCAUGAACACCGCAUACGCUAUCUUUUGAUAGUGUGGGUACCGGGACUUGCAUGGGGUUAAGACAGUGGAUACGUAGUACACUGGUUUUUGGAGAGGGAAUUUGUGCCCUUCUAUUUCUCGUUCGACGACGAGUACCGCGCUGACAACUUGAUGUGUUGUUGCGAUAUAUAAUAACAUAGGUUCGCCCAGGUUGGGCAUGGCCAGGACCGGAUUUGUCGCCAGUAUGGCCUUGAUUUCUUCGAGUACGGCCGUGGCAGCAUCCGUCCAUUCGAAGUGUUCGGUGCAUCGGGGGAGGCGAUAGAGGGGCAGUGCCUUUUCUCCCAAACAGGAGAUGAAGCGGCUUAGAGCCGCUACGCAUCCAGUUAGUUUUUGUAUUUCCUUGAGGUCUUUUGGGAUAUCCAAUUGUGACAGAGCUCGGAUCUUGGCUGGGUUUGCUUCAAUUCCUCUACCGGAUACAAUGAAGCCCAAGAGCUUUCCAGCUGGUACUCCGAAGACACAUUUUUCCGGGUUGAGCUUAAUGUCAUAUGCUUGGAGGUUGUCGAAUGUCACCCUCAAGUCGUCUACUAGAGUUUCGACGUGUUUGGUCUUGACAACCACAUCAUCUACGUAUGCCUCUACUGUUUUGCCUAUCAGGGUAGCCAGACAUGUCUGAAUCAUGCGCUGAUAUGUUGCGCCGGCGUUUUUGAGUCCGAAGGGCAUUGUGUUGAAGCAAAAUGGCCCAUAUGGAGUAAUGAAUGCCGUUGCGGCCUGGUCUUUUUCCGCCAUCUUGAUUUGAUGGUAUCCGGAGUAUGCGUCAAGGAAGCACAAUGAAUCGUGCCCUGCGGUAGCAUCGAUGAUUUGGUCGAUGCGAGGGAGAGGGAAAGGGUCCUUUGGACAGGCCUUGUUAAGGUCUUUGAAAUCGACGCAAAGGCGCCAGGAUUUGUCCUUUUUUGGUACCAUUACUAGGUUGGCUAGCCAAUCCGGAUGUUUUAUAUCUCUGAUGAAUCCGGCUUCUAAGAGUUUGGCUAGCUCCUCUCCCAUUGCCUGUCUUUUGGGUUCGGAAAAUCGCCGAAGAGCUUGUUUGACUGGCUUGAAUCCUUUUAGGAUAUUUAGGCUGUGCUCUGCCAGCCUGCGUGGGAUUCCUGGCAUGUCUGAAGGGUGCCAGGCAAAAAUGUCCCAAUUUUCCCGAAGGAAUUCUCGUAGUGCGGCUUCUACAUCAGGAUUUAAUUGUACCCCAAUGGAGGCCGUCUUUGUGGGGUCCGUUGGAUGGACCUGGAAUUUGACUAUUUCGUCUGCUGGUUUAAAAGAGGUGGACUUGGACCUCUUAUCGAGUAUCACAUCGUCCCUAUCCACCGUGGAGCGCAGCGCAGUUAGUUCCUCUGCCGCUAGGGCUUCGGAUAAUGCCUCUAGGGCCUGUGCGGCUGUCUUAUUUUUAGCGCGGAGUGCUGUAUCUGGAUCACUGGCGAGAGUGAGUAUUCCAUUGGGUCCGGGCAUUUUGAGCUUCAUAUACCCGUAAUGGGGUAUAGCUUGGAAGAUUGUGAAUGCCUCUCGCCCUAACAAGGCAUGAGAUCCGCUACCGAAUGGGGCCACUUGGAACGUGACCUCUUCGGACCUGUAAUUGUCCGGCGAGCCGAACACUACAUCUAGUGUGAUUUUUCCUGUGCAGCGUACUUUGCGACUAGGGAUUAUUCCCCUGAAGGUUGUGCUGCUUCACUUAAUGCGGCUCCAGUCAAUUUCCAUUUUUUGAAGGGUUUAUUCGUAGAUGAGGUUUAAUCCGCUGCCGCCAUCCAUGAGUACCUUGGUAAGACGAAAGCCGUCCACUAUCGGACUGAGGACCAAUGCGGCUGGUGCUCUAGCUGUUCGGAAUUUAGGUUUGUCACUGGCAUUGAAGGUGAUAGCCGUGUCGCUCCAUGGAUUUGUUGUUGCUACUUGGUAGACUUCGGCGAGGCUGCGGAUUGUUCGUUUCCGCAUGUUAUUUGAUGCGAAAGUCUCGAAGACUGUUAAUACCGUACUGGUACUGUUGGGCUGGUUGCCCGGGGAUAAAAAGCCUUCGCCACUUUUGGCCACCUGCCGUAGUAUCCAACAUGCUCGAAGGCUAUGUGUUGGAGUGGUGCCCUCCGUACUGUGGAUUUUGCAGGGUCCGUUGAGCCAUCCCUCCAGUACGGUUCCGUACCCUUUAGGGUUUUUUUUCUUUUUGUUUUUUAACCCAGGUGCUUGAGUAUUACGCACCCUUUUAUUUCGGACUAGGGUUGUAUUCAGGGCCGGAUUGUCCCAAAACCUAGUUUUGGUUUUCCAGGCACUCUCCAUCACGCAGUAUUUUUGUACAAUGGUCGCUAGGUCGGCGAAGCGUGUAAGUUAGCAACGACUGAUGGCGUUUAUGAUUCCCUUGUCCGUGCAAUUGUUGCAGAAAAUUGAAAUCGCGCUUUCUUCACGGCAGUCCUUUAUCCUGUUCAUAACCAGGAGGAAUCUGGCCUAGUAAUGAUGUACUGUUUCAUCAGGCUCUUGCCGUAUUUGAGAUAGAUCGCUUAUGUUUGGGUGGGCGGGUGGAAUUAAGUUCGGAACCCCGCCCGAUCUGAGGCUCAAAGGCCAAGAAGCUUCCGGAUUUGGAAGCUUGGUUUGUUGGAUGCUUUCCAACGAAUCUGGUCUGAUGCCUGACUUUAGGUUCAGUAUUUGAUUGGCGUCCGUCCCUCCGCGGGAAUCCGACAUGGAGGGAUCGGGAAUCCGGACAUAGUUGGUUUUUAACAUAGAAGAAGAGUCGCUGCAUUGUUCCUCUACCACAACAAUGUGGUGGGUAACCUGGGGAGAGUUAAUUUCUCUCAGAUCGGUUUUAAGCCCAAUCUAAUCGUAGUCUGUAGCGACCCCCAGGGUGGCGAUGCGAUCCAAGAGCUCGUUUACGGAGGAGAGCUCAAUCGGAUCUAGCUGCUCGGCGAAUUCCGAGCUGACGUGAAGAUCGCUUUUAAUGACCUGAGAGGUCAUUGUCGGAGCGGUGGCCGAACAGGCGGUCAUAAGAAAACCGCUUAGCCGGAUAGUCUGGCCAGCGGCCAAAGCUCCCUUGACGACGGCGCCGUCUUUAAAGACGGGAAAAGGCAUCCUUCCUGAUGGUGACGACACAGAGGAACUCUCAAUGAAAGCACCAAUGUCGGUGUCAAAACCGACGGAUCUCGGGUAGGGGGUCCCGAACUAUGCAUCUAGGCGGAUGGUAAUAGGAGACAAGGGACACGAUGUUUUACCCAGGUUCGGGCCCUCUUGAUGGAGGUAAAACCCUACGUCCUGCUUGAUUAAUAUUGAUGAUGUGUGUUACAAGAGUAGAUCUACCACGAGAUCAAGGAGGCUAAACCCUAGAAGCUAUCCUAUGGUAUGAUUGUUGUUCGUCCUACGGACUAAAGCCAUCCGGUUUAUAUAGACACCGGAGAGGGCUAGGGUUACACAGAGUCGGUUACAAUGGUAGGAGAUCUACAUAUCCGUAUCGCCAAGCUUGCCUUCCACGCCAAGGAAAGUCCCAUCCGGACACGGGACGAAGUCUUCAAUCUUGUAUCUUCAUAGUCUUGGAGUCCGGCCGAUGAUGAUAGUUCCGCUAUCCGGACACCCCCUAGUCCAGGACUCCCUCAGCUAUAUAUACCCCUCCACCUCCUCUUCAUUCGUGGAGCGAGCCAUCAGACUAAACCUACACUUCCAACUUACCAUUUCUGAGAGAGAACCACCUACUCAUGUGUUGAGGCCAAGAUAUUCCAUUCCUACCAUAUGAAUCUUGAUCUCUAGCCUUUCCCAAGUUGCUUUCCACUCAAACCCUCUUUCCACCAGAUCCAAAUCCUAUGAGAGAGAGUUGAGUGUUGGGGAGACUAUCAUUUGAAGCACAAGAGCAAGGAGUUCAUCAUCAAUGCACCAUUUGUUACUUCUUGGAGAGUGGUGUCUCCUAGAUUGGCUAGGUGUCACUUGGGAGCCUCCGACAAGAUUGUGGAGUUGAACCAAGGAGUUUGUAAGGGCAAGGAGAUCGCCUACUUCGUGAAGAUCUACCGCUAGUGAGACAAGUCCUUCGUGGGCGACGGCCAUGGUGGGAUUGACAAGGUUGAUUCUUCGUGGACCCUUCGUGGGUGGAGCCCUCCGUGGACUCGCGCAACCGUUACCCUUCGUGGGUUGAAGUCUCCAUCAAUGUGGAUGUACGAUAGCACCAUCUAUCGGAACCAUGCCAAAAACAUCCGUGUCUCCAAUUGCGUUUGAAUCCUCCAAACCCUUCCCUUUACUUUCUUGCAAAUUGCAUGCUUUAAUUUCCGCUGCCUAUAUACUCUUUGCAUGCUUGCUUGAAUAGUGUGAUGAUUGCUUGACUUGUCCUAAGAUAGCUAAAAUCUGCAAAACUCUAAAACUGGGAAAAGGUUAAGUUUUAAUUGGUCAAGUAGUCUAAUAACCCCCCCCCUCUAGACAUACUUCAAGGUCUUACAGUGUGACACCCCGAUAAUUAAGCUACAGUAACCUCUGCUAAUGAUGCCACGUCACCGCGUUUACUGUUGUUCAAACUCGCGUAGGUUCGAAUCCGGUCCAAAUUCAAAAUUUAAAAUAAAGUAAAACACAUUAUUUCUUAAGCAGUAAACUAAAAUGUUCAUCUUGUGCCAAACAAUCCAUAAUGAAAAUUUGUGAUGAACCUAUUUUUUAAGUAUUUAAAUGGCCUUAGCUAUUUGAAACUGAUGCUUAAGAAAAAGAAAAGGGGGGGAAAGAGAGAGAGAGAGAGCAACCGCCUCCCUGGACCGAACCCACCUGGGCCGGCCCACCUAACCCACCCGAGCCAGCCUUGUUGCCCCCCUCGCAUCGGUNNNNNNNNNNNNNNNNNNNNNNNNNNNNNNNNNNNNNNNNNNNNNNNNNNNNNNNNNNNNNNNNNNNNNNNNNNNNNNNNNNNNNNNNNNNNNNNNNNNNNNNNNNNNNNNNNNNNNNNNNNNNNNNNNNNNNNNNNNNNNNNNNNNNNNNNNNNNNNNNNNNNNNNNNNNNNNNNNNNNNNNNNNNNNNNNNNNNNNNNNNNNNNNNNNNNNNNNNNNNNNNNNNNNNNNNNNNNNNNNNNNNNNNNGGAGGAUAAGGACGCCAGCGUUGACCCCCUGCCUCCCGAGAGAUCUUCCCCCCCUUCCCCACGAGUUGCUACUUGCCCUCUCCACCUCUCCCAAUCCCCACCACAUCCGAACGCCACCGUGGCCCCGCCGCCAUAAUGCACACAGUCCCCAACACCGCUUCGCCUCGCCUCCGCGCCAAGAAGGACCGCCUCGACCUCCUCUUCCUCCCCGACGAAUCACCCGAGCAGGAGCGCCCCUGCAUCGUCCCCUACGUCGCCGUUUUCCUCCUCUGCUCCGACGAGCUUCGCCGUUGAAUCCGCCACACUGAGCCCUCCCCGAUCCCACUUGAGCACACCUACAGGACCAACGUGAGCAUGCGCCUCUUUCCCCUCGCUUCCCCGCGUGUUUCCACCGUCGUAGCUCCUCCUCCCUGUUGUGCCCGAACGCGGCUCCGCCUGAGCUCGUCGUCGGUGAUGCUCCAGCGAUCAAAUGGCCUCGGCCCCGUGCGCAACUCUCUCGCCACUUCGCCUAGAUCCCAAUGCGCACACGCGCGCGGCUCGCCGUGCCCCGCAGCCCCCUGUUCGCCGCUCACCGAAAACCCACCACCACCUGACUCACCGCCGGCGACGUUCCCGACCACGCCACCACCUCCAUUCGACGCUGUGUGGACUGGCUGUUCGAAUGGACCAAACCACAGCCCCGGAGAUGCCCUGUGGGCGAAACUCGAAGCUCACCCGCGCCUCGCCGCCACGUUGGAGCUCGCCGGAGCAACUCCUACGAGGCCAGCCGACGUGGCCGGCCUGGGGCCACCCCCUGGGUCGCUGACCCGUGGGCCCAAGGGGCCCGACCGGCCUGUUGACCCGGUCCACCAUGCUAACUGGACCUGCCCGUGCAACUGACAGAUGGGGCCCACCGCCCCCUAAUUAACGAAAUUAACUAAGCUAAUUUAGUUAACAUAAUUAGAAACUAACAUGUGGGCCUAGUAGUUUAACUAACUAUGUUUAGAUUAGUUUUUUUAACUCUGUUUAACCCACUGUCUAUGACUCUUGGGACCCAGCCGCCACGUUUGACCUGGACUGGCUGGGUUGACUGCUGACGUCGUGAUGACGUCAGGCUGACGUCAUGAUUCCAAUUUUGAAUUAAUAAUAAAUUUCAGAAUAUUAUUAAAACUUUGAAAAAUCAUAUAAAAUAAAUCGUAGCUCGGAUGAAAAACUUUUCUACAUGAAAGUUGCUCAAAACGACGAGGCGAAUCCGAAUAUGCGGUUCGUUCAUCUAUCAUAUGCCCCUAUCAUAGCAAACAUGCAACCUUUCCCUUCUGUUUCAUUUGUCCGAAAAUGCCUAACUCUGGGAAAACUUCCCGGAUGUUAUCACCCUUCGCUGGUAUUGUGUAGCACCGCGUUAGAACACAUCUAGCUCUGCCUGUUGUCCUGUUAUGCUCUUGCUUGCUAUGUAUUUACUGUUUUCUCCCCCUCUUCUCUCCGGUAGACCCCGAGACCACUGCUGAUGCCCCUGUGAUCGACUAUGUCGACGACGACCCUCCUUCUCGUCCGAGCAAUCAGGCAAGCCCCCCCCCUUUGAUCAUCCCGAUAUCGCCCAUUCUAUACUCUCAUGCUUGCAUUAGAUUUUGCUAUUGUUAUUGUUUGCUCCUAUUCUCAUGCAUAGCCUGCUUUUGUACUUGCUGUUGUACCUUACCUGCUUAUCCUAAACUGCUUAGUAUAGGUUGGUUAGUGAUCCAUCAGUGACCCCCACCUUGUCCUUGUUGCCCCUGCUUCAUGAUCAAUGACUCGAUCAACGUGAUCGACGACCAGAUCCCGACACCUCACAUCACAUCACGCCCCUUUUGUUGCUCGACUCUGCAGAGCUACUAUCGAGUGCCGAGGGUGAUCCCUCAUAACGCACUCUUCAUGAUAAUUCUGUAGUGUAGCUAUUCGGUCGUGGUCAUCGAGGGUGAUUUCCUCUUUCACCAUUCCUGACACGGCUCUGUCAUUCAACACCUCAAGUGUGAACCUCGAGGGUGGUCCCUCUUACGUUCACCUUGAUGAUUACCUUGAGUGGAAUCCACCGGGGGUGAUUCCUCGGGUUUUCCUCUUGAUGUUUGGACACACGGUUACCUUGACUUACUUGAAACCAUUGUUGAAGUCGGGUCGACCCUGAGGGGUACCUGCGAGUUGAUGUGAAAGUCGGGCGGGCCCGUAGAGCACCCGCGAGUUUUCCACAUGGCAUGGCCGGGCAGUCUGGGCCCUUGUCGUAAGUCCACGAGACGGGGCAACGGGGUCACAUUAUCGCGAGUCUCUGCUUGUUUCCGUGAGCCCCUAAUGAACUAACAGGUUUGGGUAUUUGUUCUGAGUUGGCCUCUGGCCUUUACGCACUAACCACCACGCGAUAAUAGAUAUGGGCCUCGACGUCGUGGUAUCAGCCGAAGCUUUGUCAGACGUCCAGUUCAACAGUGAGGCACGGCUGGGCCGGCACCAUCCUGUAGUGGUGGAGCCUGGUCCGCCCUGCUCGCAAUGACCUGGAGUGCAACGGGCGAUGGGCCUAGACCCCAGAGUGCUUAGGAGGUAGACCGGCGGGGACCUCUCUGCUGAGCCUAGGUAGGGCUGCGAUGUGUUGAUCUUCCGAGGCCGGGCAUUGACCCCAGAAAGGUGUGUCCGGACAGAGUGAUCGAGCGUGUUGGGUAAUAUGGUGCACCCCUGCAGGGAAGAUAUAUAUUCGAAUACCGUGUCCACGGUAAUGGACGUUCAGACUUGUAUCCGGAUCUUAUAUAACUAGAAAUGGGUACUUGAGAUAUGUGAUGGAUAUGUGGCUCUGAGAUUGCUUUCUCGCAGGCAGUCGAUGAAAGGAUCUCUGGGCGUUGUUGUUACAACAUGCUUGUUAAUUAAAAUGCUAUUCUUUACUCUUCUACAUGUUGUAAGAUGCUUGGAGCUGCGUGAAGAUGCUAGUAUUCGAUAGACUAGGCCUUCCCACUCUAUUCUGGCAUUCUGCAGUUCAGUCCAUAGAUACAAACCUUCCAUUUGAUACCAAUGCAUACUUAGUAUAGAUCUGAUGCUUGCGAGUACUUUGGAUGAGUACUCACGGUUGCUUUGCUACCCCUUUUCCCCUUUCUUUCUUCUUUCCGGUUGAUGCAACUAGAUGGUGGAUCCCUGGAGCCAGAUGCCAUCGCCGAUGGAUACUACUACAUGGAGGCCACCGAAGACCUGGAGUAGUUAGGAGGUCCCAGGCAGGAGGCCUUGCGUCUUCGAUCGUGUUGCUUUUGUGCUAGCCUUCUUAAAGCAUCCUUGUUUAACUUAUGUAUGUACUCAGAUAUUGUUGCUUCCGCUGACUCUUGUGUAUCAAGCUUGUAUUCGAGCCCUCGAGGCCCCUGGCUUGUAAUAUAAAGCUCGUAUUAUUUUGAUUUGUGUCUAGAGUUGUGUUGUGAUAUCUUCCCGUGAGUCCCUGAUCUUGAUCGUACACAUCUGCGUGUAUGAUUAGUGUACGAUUGAGUUAGGGGCGUCACAAGUUGGUAUCAGAGCCGACUGCCUGUAGGAAUCCCCUUUCCAACUCCUUGGGCGAAGUUGAGUCUAGUCUUUGAAAAAUUGAUUUACUAACAUGGAUCUGUGGCCUACGGGCCCACGUCGCCAUUGGGUGGUAUUAGGAUCUUUUAUUCCUCGUCCUUACUCUGGGAAUCUGAUCUCUCUUCUAUUCGGGUUAAAUGAUUUUGCUAACAACUCUAGGUUCUCGUAAAUACUUUCUCUCGGAGAGCCCUCACUCCAGAUGAUUACUUGGUGCACCAGAAGAUUCUGAAGAUACUCUCCGAAGAUUUCUAGAGACCCUUGUGCCCUUCGCUGUUGCGAUCCCUACCAUCGAGAAAUCCUUAUGGGUAACUACGUACAUUGUCGUUCAUACCUUCAUCCCCAAUUGCUCUUGUUAUUACAAGAUGCCCUGAAAAACUAUUUGAUCUUCCGAAAAUGCUCAAUAGCCUAUUACUCUUGUUCCUCCUUAACGGCUUGCAUUAUGGUUACUUCCAUAUGUCUAGCAAUACUCAUUAGCAUCCUUUGUCAUCGUAAUUUCGAGCAUUUGAUUGAUAAGUUUGUGAAUGCUCGCGAUCGUCGGUCCUAAUUAGAAUUCUUCCCUUGACUCAGACGUCACUCCAGACGUAAGCUGGUGUUCGACAAUUCAAACCUUGAUUGAUUAUCGAUCUAUGUCUAUCCAGCUUACUUGUCUUUGAUCAAAGCCUCUGCUUCCGAUCCCUUGAAUUGGAAAUCAGAAUUCCAUUGCGUUGAGCUUUGAAUUAGUCAUUUGUUUCUAUAACCCGAUCUCCUUGCAUCCUUUCUUCUUCUGGUUGAGUACUGUUGCUCACAUCAGAUCCCUUGUGGACCACCAGGUCCUUUGUUGGGUUCUAUCCCACAGCGUCCUUCUUUUUCAGUAACUUUGUGAGAUUUUCCUUGGAUACAUAAUGCCUUUGGUAAAUUAUAUCCCCUGCUUUUGUCAACCAUGCUCUACUUCCGAGCUUGAGUUAUUUAUUCCUAAGUUCAUGGUAUAUGCUCCUAAGAUGCCUCGAUGGGUUGAAUCUAUGUCUUCCCUAAAUCCGUGUGAACUCGAAAGUUAUGCGGGUUACACUCUACUGGCUGUUCGUCAGGUAAAAUUUCAAUGUUACAACUUCUUCGAAUGCGAGACGUGAAUGGAAAGUUGUGUUGGUGAACGUAGUAAUUUGAAAAAAAAUCCUACGCACACGCAAGAUCAUGGUGAUGCAUAGCAACGAGAGGGGAGAGUGUUGUCCACGUACCCUCAUAGACUGAAAGCGGAAGCGUUAGAACAACACGGUUGAUGUAGUCGUACGUCUUCACGGCCCGACCGAUCAAGCACCGAAACUACGGCACCUCCGAGUUCUAGCACACAUUCAGCUCGAUGACGAUCCCCGUACUCUGAUCCAGCAGAAUGUCGGGGAAGAGUUCCGUCAGCACGACGGCGUGGUGACGAUCUUGAUGUUCUACCGCUGCAGGGCUUCGCCUAAGCACCAAUACAAUAUUAUCGAGGACUAUGGUGGAGGGGGGCACCGCACACGGCUAAGAGAUCAAAAGAUCAAUUGUUGUCUCUAGAGGUGCCCCCUGCCCCCGUAUAUAAAGGAGCCAAGGGGGAGGGGGCGGCCGACCAAGGAGGGGCGCGCCAAGGGGAGUCCUACUCCCACCGGGAGUAGGACUCCCUCCUUUCCUUGUUGGACUAGGAGAAGGGGGAAGGAUGAGGGAGAGAGGAAGGAAAGGGGGUUGCCGCCCCCCUCUCCUUGUCCUAUUCGGACUAGGGGGGAGGGGCGUGCGGCCCAGCCCUUGCCUCCUCUCCUCUUCUCCACUAAGGCCCAUGUAGGCCUAAUAAGCCCCUGGGAGGUUCCGGUAAUCUCCCGGUACUCCGGUAAAAUCCUGAUUUCACCCGGAACACUUCCGACAUCCAAAUAUAGGCUUCCAAUAUAUCAAUCUUCAUGUCUCGACCAUUUCGAGACUCCUCGUCAUGUCCGUAAUCACAUCCGGGACUCCGAACAAACUUUGGUAUAUCGAAACUCAUAAACUCAUAAUAUAACUAUCAUCGAAACCUUAAGCGUGCGGACCCUACGGGUUCGAGAACUAUGUAGACAUGACCGAGAACCAUUUCGGGUCAAUAACCAAUAGCGGAACCUAGAUGCUCAUAUUGGCUCCUACAUAUUCUACGAAGAUCUUUAUCCGUCAAACUGCAUAACAACAUACGUUGUGCCCUUUGUCAUCGGCAUGUUACUUGCCCGAGAUUCGAUCGUCGGUAUCCAAUACCUAGUUCAAUCUCGUUGCCGGCAAGUCUCUUUACUUGUUACAUAAUGCAUCAUUCCGUAACUAACUCAUUAGUUACAUUGCUUGCAAGGCUUAUAUUGAUGUGCAUUACCGAGAGGGCCCAGAGAUACCUCUCCGACAAUCGGAGUGACAAAACCUAAUCUCGAAAUACGCCAACUCAACAUGUACCUUUGGAUACACCUGUAGAGCUCCUUUAUAAUCACCCAGUUACAUUGUGACGUUUGGUAGCACACAAAGUGUUCCUCCGGUAAACGGGAGUUGCAUAAUCCCAUAGUUAUAGGAACUUGCAUAAGCCAUGAAGAAAGCAAUAGCAACAUACUAAACGAUCAAGUGCUAAGCUAAUGGAAUGGUUCAAGUCAAUCACAUCAUUCUCCUAAUGAUGUGAUCCCGUUAAUCAAAUGACAACACAUGUCUAUGGUUAGGAAACAUAACCAUCUUUGAUUAAUGAGCUAGUCAAGUAGAGGCAUACUAGUGACAUUAAGUUUGUCUAUGAAUUCACACAUGUAUCUUGUUUUCGGUUAAUACAAUUCUAGCAUGAAUAAUAAACAUUUAUCAUGAUAUGAGGAAAUAACUAAUAACUUUAUUAUUUCCUCUAGGGCAUAUUUCCUUCGGUCUCCCACUUGCGCUAGAGUCAAUAAUCUAGAUUACACAGCAAUGAUUCUAACACCCAUGGAGUCUUGGUGUUGAUCAUGUUUUUCUCGCGGAAGAGGCUUAGUCAACGGGUCUACAACAUUCAGAUCCAUAUGUAUCUUGCAAAUCUCUAUGUCUCCCACCUGGAUUUGGUCCCGGAUGGAAUUGAAGUGUCUCUUGAUGUGCUUGGUCCUCUUGUGAAAUCUGGAUUCCUUUGCCAAGGCAAUUGCACCAGUAUUGUCACAGAAGAUCUUCAUUGGUCCCGAUGCACUAGGUAUGACACCUAGAUCAGAAAUGAUCUCUUUCAUCCAGACUCCCUCAUUUGUUGCUUCCGAAGCAGCUAUGUACUCUGCUUCGCAUGUAGAUCCCGCCACGACGCUUUGUUUAGAAUUGCACCAACUGACAGCUCCACCGUUCAAUAUAAACACGUAUCCGGUUUGCGAUUUAGAAUCGUCCGGAUCAGUGUCAAAGCAUGCAUCGACGUAACCAUUUAUGACUAGCUCUUUGUCACCUCCAUAAAAGAUAAUCAUAUCCUUAGUCCUUUUCAGGUAUUUCAGGAUAUUCUUGACCGCUGUCCAGUGAUCCACUCCUGGAUUACUUUGGUACCUCCCUGCCAAACUUAUCGCUAAGCAUACGUCAGGUCUGGUACACAGCAUUGCAUACAUGAUAGACCCUAUGGCUGAAGCACAGGGAACAUCUUUCAUUUUCUCUCUAUCUUCUGAUGUGGUCGGGCAUUGAGUCUGACUCAACUUCACACCUUGUAAUACAGGCAAGAACCCUUUCUUUGCCUGAUCCAUUUUGAACUUUUUCAAAACUUUAUCAAGGUAUGUGCUUUGUGAAAGUCCAAUUAAGCGUCUUGAUCUAUCUCUAUAGAUCUUGAUGCCCAAUAUGUAAGCAGCUUCACCAAGGUCUUUCAUCGAAAAACUUUUAUUCAAGUAUCCCUUUAUGCUAUCCAGAAAUUCUAUAUCAUUUCCAAUUAAUAAUAUGUCAUCUACAUAUAAUAUCAGAAAUGCUACAGAGCUCCCACUCACUUUCUUGUAAAUACAGGCUUCUCCAAAAGUCUGUAUAAAACCAUAUGCUUUGAUCACUCUAUCAAAGCGUUUAUUCCAACUCCGAGAGGCUUGCACUAGUCCAUCAAUGGAUCGCUGGAGCUUGCACACUUUGUUAGCACCUUUUGGAUCGACAAAACCUUCCGCUUGCAUCAUAUACAACUCUUCUUCCAGAAAUCCAUUCAGGAAUGCAGUUUUGACAUCCAUUUGCCAUAUUGCAUAAUCAUAAAAUGCGGCAAUUGCUAACAUGAUUCGAACAAACUUAAGCAUCGCUACGGGUGAGAAAGUCUCAUCAUAGUCAACCCCUUGAACUUGUCGAAAACCUUUCGCAACAAGUCGAGCUUUGUAGACAGUUACAUUACCAUCAGCGUCAGUCUUCUUCUUGAAGAUCCAUUUAUUCUUGAUGGCUUGCCGAUCAUCGGGCAAGUCAACCAAAGUCCAUACUUUGUUCUCAUACAUGGAUCCCAUCUCAGAUUUCAUGGCCUCAAGCCAUUUUGCGGAAUCUGGGCUCAUCAUCGCUUCCUCAUAGUUCGUAGGUUCAAAAUGGUCAAGUAACAUGACUUCCAGAAUAGGAUUACCGUACCACUCUGUUGCGGAUCUCACUCUGGUUGACCUACGAGGUUCGGUAGUAACCUGAUCUGAAGUUUCAUGAUCAUUAUCAUUAGCUUACUCACUGAUUGGUGUAGUUGUCACAGGAACCGGUUCUUGUGAUGAACUACUUUCCAAUAAGGGAGUAGGUACAGUUACCUCAUCUAGUUCUACUUUCCUCCCACUCACUUCUUUCGAGAGAAACUCCUUCUCUAGAAAGGAUCCGAAUUUAGCAACAAAAAUCUUGCCCUCAGAUCUGUGAUAGAAGGUGUACCCAAUAGUCUCUUUUGGGUAUCCUAUGAAGACACAUUUCUCCGAUUUGGGUUCGAGCUUAUCUGGUUGAACUUUCUUCACAUAAGCGUCGCAGCCCCAAACUUUAAGAAACGACAACUUUGGUUUCUUGCCAAACCACAGUUCAUAAGGCGUUGUCUCAACAGAUUUUGAUGGUGCCCUAUUUAACGUGAAUGCGGCCAUCUCUAAAGCAUAACCCCAAAACGAUAGCGGUAAAUCAGUAAGAGACAUCAUAGAUCGCACCAUAUCUAGUAAAGUACGAUUACGACAUUCGGACACACCAUUUCGUUGUGGUGUUCCGGGUGACGUGAGUUGCGAAACUAUUACGCAUUGUUUCAAAUGUAAACCAAACUCGUAACUCAAAUAUUCUCCUCCACGAUCAGAUCGUAGAAACUUUAUUUUUUUGUUAUGAUGAUUUUCCACUUCACUCUAAAAUUCUUUGAACUUUUCAAAUGUUUCAGACUUGUGUUUCAUCAAGUAGAUAUACCCAUAUCUGCUCAAAUCAUCUUUGAAGGUGAGAAAAUAAUGAUACCCGCCGUGAGCCUCAAUAUUCAUUGGACCGCAUACAUCAGUAUGUAUGAUUUCCAACAAAUCAGUUGCUCGCUCCAUAGUUCCGGAGAACGGAGUUUUAGUCAUCUUGCCCAUGAGGCACGGUUCGCAAGUACCAAGUGAUUCAUAAUCAAGUGAUUCCAGAAGUCCAUCAGUAUGGAGUUUCUUCAUGCGCUUUACACCAAUAUGACCCAAACGGAAGUGCCAAAAAUAAGUUGCACUAUCAUUAUCAACUCUGCAUCUUUUGGCUUCAACAUUAUGAAUAUGUGUAUCACUACUAUGGAGAUUUAAUAAAAAUAGACCACUCUUCAAGGGUGCAUGACCAUAAAAGAUAUUACUCAUAUAAAUAGAACAACCAUUAUUCUCAGAUUUAAAUGAAUAACCGUCUCGCAUCAAACAAGAUCGAGAUAUAAUGUUCAUGCUUAACGCUGGCACCAAAUAACAAUUAUUCAUGUCUAAAACUAAUCCCGAAGGUAGAUGUAGAGGUAGUGAACCGACUGCGAUCACAUCGACUUUGGAACCAUUUCCCACGCGCAUCAUCACCUCAUCCUUAGCCAAUCUUCGCUUAAUCCGUAAUCCCUGUUUCGAGUUGCAAAUAUUAGCAACAGAACCAGUAUCAAAUACACAUCAAUAACAUGUAUAUCACAUAUACCUUUGUUCACCUUGCCAUCCUUCUUAUCCGCCAAAUACUUGGGGCAGUUCCGCUUCCAGUGACCAGUCUGCUUGCAGUAGAAGCACUCAGUUUCAGGCUUAGGUCCAGACUUGGGUUUCUUCUCUUAAGCAGCAACUUGUUUGCUGUUCUUCUUGAAGUUCCCCUUCUUCUUCCCUUUACCCUUUUUCUUGAAACUGGUGGUCUUAUUGACCAUCAACACUUGAUGCUCCUUCUUGAUUUCUACCUCUGUAGCUUUUAGCAUUGCGAAGAGCUCGGGAAUAGUCUUGUCCAUCCCUUGCAUAUUAUAGUUCAUCACGAAGCUCUUGUAGCUUGGUGGCUGUGAUUGAAGAAUUCUGUCAAUGACACUAUCAUCAGGAAGAUUAACUCCCAGUUGAAUCAAGUGAUUAUUAUACCCAGACAUUUUGAGUAUAUGUUCAUUGACAGAACUAUUCUCCUCCAUCUUACAGCUAUAGAACUUAUUGGAGACUUCAUAUCUCUCAAUCCGGGCAUUUGCUUGAAAUAUUAACUUCAACUCCUGGAACAUCUCACAUGCUCCAUGACAUUCAAAACGUCGAUGAAGACCUAGUUCCAAGCCGUAAAGCAUGGCACACUGAACUAUCGAGUAGUCAUCAGCUUUGCUCUGCCAGACGUUCUUAACAUCAUCAGUUGCAUCUGCAGCAGGCCUGGCACCCAGCGGUGCUUCCAGGACGUAAUUCUUCUGUGCAGCAAUGAGGAUAAUCCUCAAGUUACGGACCCAGUCUGUGUAAUUGCUACCAUCAUCUUCCAACUUAGCUUUCUCAAGGAACGCAUUAAAAUUCAACAGAACAACAACACGAGCCAUCUAUCUACAACAAACAUAGACAAGCAAAAUACUAUCAGGUACUAAGUUCAUGAUAAAUUUAAGUUCAAUUAAUCAUAUUACUUAAGAACUCCCACUUAGACAGACAUCUCUCUAGUCAUCUAAGUGAUCACGUGAUCCAAAUCAACUAAACCAUGUCCGAUCAUCACGUGAGAUGGAGUAGUUUCAAUGGUGAACAUCACUAUGUUGAUCAUAUCUACUAUAUGAUUCACAUUCGACCUUUCGGUCUCCGUGUUCCGAGGCCAUAUCUGUAUAUGCUAGGCUCGUCAAGUUUAACCUGAGUAUUCCGCGUGUACAACUAUUUUGCACCCGCUGUAUUUGAACAUAGAGCCUAUCACACCCGAUCAUCACGUGGUGUCUCAGCACGAAGAACUUUUGCAACGGUGCAUACUCAGGGAGAACACUUCUUGAUAAUUAGUGAGAGAUCAUCUUAAAAUGCUACCAUCAAUCAAAGCAAGAUAAGAUGCAUAAAGGGUAAACAUCACAUGCAAUCAAUAUAAGUGAUAUGCUAUGGCCAUCAUCAUCUUGUGCUUGUGCUCCAUCUCCGAACCACCGUCGUGAUCACCAUCGUCACCGGCGCGACACCUUGAUCUCCAUCGUAGCAUCGUUGUUGUUUACACCAUCUAUUGCUUCUACGACUAUCGCUACCGCUUAGUGAUAAAGUAAAGCAAUUACAGGGCGUUUGCAUUUCAUACAAUAAAGCGACAACCAUAUGGCUCCUGCCAGUUGCCGAUAACUUCGGUUACAAAACAUGAUCAUCUCAUACAAUAAAAUAUAGCAUCACGCCUUGACCAUAUCACAUCACAACAUGCCCUGCAAAAACAAGUUAGACGUCCUCUACUUUGUUGUUGCAAAUUUUACAUGGCUGCUACGGGCUGAGCAAGAACCGUUCUUACCUACGCAUCAAAACCACAACGAUAGUUCGUCAAGUUCGUGUUGUUUUAACCUUCGCAAGGACCAGGCGUAGCCACACUCGGUUCAACUAAAGUUGAAGAAACAGACACCCGCCAGCCACCUGUGUGCAAAGCACGUCGGUAGAACCAGUCUCGCGUAAGCGUACGCGUAAUGUCGGUCUGGGCCGCUUCAUCCAACAAUACCGCCGAACCAAAGUAUGACAUGUUGGUAAGCAGUAUGACUUGUAUCGCCCACAACUCACUUGUGUUCUACUCGUGCAUAUAACAUCUACGCAUAAAACCAGGCUCGGAUGCCACUGUUGGUGAACGUAGUAAUUUCAAAAAAAUUCCUACGCACACGCAAGAUCAUGGUGAUGCAUAGCAACGAGAGGGGAGAGUGAUGUCCACGUACCCUCAUAGACUGAAAGCGGAAGCGUUAGAACAACGUGGUUGAUGUAGUCGUACGUAUUCACGGCCCGACCGAUCAAGCACCUAAACUAUGGCACCUCUGAGUUCUAGCACACGUUCAGCUUGAUGACGAUCCCCGUACUCUGACCCAGCAGAAUGUCGGGGAAGAGUUCCGUCAGCACGACGGCGUGGUGAUGAUCUUGAUGUUCUACCGCCGCAGGGCUUGGCCUAAGCACCGCUACAAUAUUAUCGAGGACUAUGGUGGAGGGGGCACCGCACAUGGCUAAGAGAUCAAAAGAUCAAUCGUUGUCUCUAGAGGUGCCCCCUGCCCCCGUAUAUAAAGGAGCCAAGGGGUUGGGGGCGAGCGACCAAGGAGGGGUGCGCCAAGGGGAGUCCUACUCCCACCGGGAGUAGGACUCCCUCCUUUCCUUGUUGGACUAGGAGAAGGGGGGAAGGAGGAGGGAGAGAGGAAGGAAAGGGGGGGCCGCCCCCCUCUCCUUGUCCUAUUCGGACUAGGGGGGAGGGGCGUGCGGCCCAGCCCUUGCCUCCUCUCCUCUUCUCCACUAAGGCCCAUGUAGGCCUAAUAAGCCCCUGGGAGGUUCCGGUAACCUCCCGGUACUCCGGUAAAAUCCUGAUUUCACCCGGAACACUUCCGACAUCCAAAUAUAGGCUUCCAAUAUAUCAAUCUUCAUGUCUCGACCAUUUCGAGACUCCUCGUCAUGUUCGUAAUCACAUCCGGGACUUCGAACAAACUUCGGUACAUCAAAACUCAUAAACUCAUAAUAUAACUGUUAUCGAAACCUUAAGCGUGCGGACCCUAUGUCACAUCCCUAGCUUCUGGUUUGCUCUGAGCUAGCUAGUCAUGUGUUGCAUCAUGUUUAAAUUUCAGUUAAACCUGAAAUGGGGAUUGUUGAAACCCUAGCACCAAUUGAAUUCAACUAGGUUCAAUAAAAAUAUUUUCAAUGAACCCAAAAUGCCUUUGGAAAUGUUCAUGAUUUUUGAUAAAGGUGAAAACCUCUGCCAAAAAUGGUGAGCAUAUUUCUUGGACAUUUUUGGAUUUUUGAAUUAAAUCAUAAUGUAAUUGAGUUUGGGCAUUUAAAUACUAUAAAUAAUUUAAAUGCUCAAAUAAUUCUGAAACUAAAUGUGGGCUGUUGCAUAUAUUUCAGAAGGUGCCCACAAUUAUUUUCAGGAUUUUUAGAAGUGCCCUGGUAUUUUUAAUAAAGCCCUAAAACUACAGAAUAAUAGAAAACAGAAGCAAUAAAUAAAAGAGAAGGAACUUACCUGGCGCUCACCUGGCAGCCCAGCCGGCCCAGCUCCCGUUUCGGCCCAGCCCACCAGUGCCAUCUUGUCAUCUUCCUCCUCUGCCAGGAGGACAAACAGGUGCGUGGCGAGCGCCGACGCUGCCCUGGCCACCUCCUGCUUCCCCGGCCCCUCCUAGACGAUGCCACGGAGCGCCACGCAGCCCCUGGCUCUCUCUCACUCUCUCCCGACCCCUGCCCCCUUCUCUGCUCUCUCCCUCUCGCGUCCGAGCGCGCUCAUUGCCGCCGGUCGCUGCUGCCGUGGCCACAGCCACUGCCUCGCCUUGCCGUUGCGCCCAGAGGCUCCGCCUCGACCCCCUCUUCCUCUCCACCGAGCCACGAGGUCCCGGACGCGCUGCAACGCCGCCACCAUCACCGUUUCCGUCGCCGGCCACCGAAGCUCACCGCCGUCGAUUCACGACGUCUGGCGCGCCCCCGAGCCCACUGACUUUCUGCGCCGCCUCCCUGUGAGCUCCUCAUCUCUCCUCUUUGCCCGCCCCCUCCGUUCCCGUCCUCUAGUCGUCGUUCCGCAAGUGCCCGAAGCUCGCCGCCGACGGCCAUGUCGCUGUCGUGGCUACAGACGCCGUAGCUUGCCCCUGAGCACGUCAUCGUGCUCGUGCUACUCCCAGGAGACGAACGCACCUACUAGCUCACCUUCCCAUGCACCAUAGCAAGUAGCCGGUCCUGCCCGAGCUCCGGCCUCCGCCAGGAGCUCGAUUCUGGUGAACUCCGGCCACCCUGUGCCCUCCCGUCGGUCUCCCCGGAUGCGCACGGGCACGGGCUUCCUUCUGGUGCCCCUGGCGCGUCGACCCGUGGCCUCUAGCGAGUUCCGAGCGGGCUCCACCGUGGUUCAGGGUCAACGCCGGCUGAACUCCGGUGAGCCGACAUGGCCGCGUGAUUAGCGCUAAUCACGGCCAGCUAACCCUCCCCAGAGCCACUGACGUAUGGGCCCCACGCCCUUAAUUAAUCUUUGUUUAUUUUCUGUUAAGUUUUAACCUAACCACCGUGGGCCCACGCGUCAGCUUUGACCAAGCUGACGUGGCCGUUGACUGGGCUCACAUGUCAGCGACACAUACCAGCCUAAGACACUGAUCAGUGGACCCCACUGGUCAGGUUUAACCUGGACCGCACCCCGUUGACUCGCCUACGUCAUGCUGACGUAGUGCUGACGCAGUGAUGCAUUUUCUAGAAUUAGUUCAAUUCUAAAUAUUCAGGAAAUUCCAGAAAAUGUUUAAAACUUGUAAAAGUCAUAUAAAAUCAACCGUAACUCCAAAUGAAAUAAGUUAUAUAUGAAAAAUGAUCAGAAAAAUCCAAUCUAUCCAUCUGUACCAUUUUCAUGCAUGUUAGAACAACUUAUAGUUGCUGUUUAGCACAAAUCAUAUUAAAGGCAUUUAAAUAUCCACAUAUGGAGUUUGAAUUUGAAUCUUGGAUUCAAACCAACUUCAUUUAAUCUGGUUUUAGUUGCAUCAGCACAAAUCAACAGCAUAAUGCCAUGUCACAUUCAUGCAUCAUACUGUUGCAUUGCAUUGAUUGUGCUCUUCCUUGUUUGCCGGUGUUUGUCCCUCCCGCUAGACGUGGUUCCGACGAUGAGUUCGAUGACACCGAUGAAGAGCUAUAUUAUCUUCAGAAGUGCCAGGCAAGCAAAACCCCCUUGUUUAUUCUGAUACAAUCCCACUCUCUCGCUCCUGCUCUCUUUUACUGCAUUAGGACAACAACGAUUCAUCUGUUACUUGCUGCGGUAGCUGAACCCCUUUAUCCUUUGCAUGACCUGUCAUUGCCACAGUAAAUAGAUGAAACCCACUAGCAUGAGUAGGAGUUGUUUGAGCCCUGAUGUGCCUACUCAUUCAUGCUUGUUGUCAUGCCUGCUACUGCUUAGAGUUGAGUUAGGUCUGAUUCAUCGGGGAUGAAUUGGAGGUGUGUGAACAUGUCCUACUGUGUGAGAGCUAAGUGUGUGAACACGAUUUGGUAAAGGUAGCGGUGAGAGGCCAUGUAGGAGUACAUGGUGGGUUGUCUCAUUGCAACCGUCCUCAGGAACUGAGUUCUGUGUUUGUGAUCCAUGACCAGGUACUACCACGCAUUGGAAUGCUUAAGUGCCCCUCUCGACUUAUUAAUCAACUUGAUCUCUGUCCAGGAGUUGUAACUAGUUUCUGGUGUUUGUAGGUAGUGUUAGUAGUCUACCAAGUGGCACCCGGUACAGGUGGGCUUGGGACAGACUAGGCACAGUGGCCCGGUGUACCAAGUAGCACCCGGAUGGUGGACUUGGGAACCCUGCACACAUCGUUUGGGGCCGUGAGCGACACCCCGGCCGGAUCUCCUUGCGGAUGGAACCCGAAUAGGCGAUAAACCUGGACGAGAGACUUGUGUGGUUAGUCAGGUCGUGGACGACACCCUCGCUGGGCUUCCGCUUGAAGGUUGCCGAGUACAUGUCGUGUAAAUGGCGGUAAGUGGUGAGAGCGUGUGUGAAGAAGUACACCCCUGCAGGGUUAAUAUGAUCUAUUCGAAUAGCCAUGUCCGCGGUAAAGGACUUCUGGGUUGCCUGUACAGUUCAUAGACAAGUGAAAGUGGAUACUCUAAAAUACGCAAGAUAAGCAUGAGUGCUAUGGAUGGCGUUCUCGUAGGGAGACGGGAGCGGAUCCAUAGUGGUGUAUUGAUAUGGUGAAUAUGUGGACUCGUGUGCGCCACCUCAAAAGAGUUACUUGCAGUCGUAGUUCAGGUUAGCCACCGAGUCAAAGCUGGCUUGCUGCAGUUAAACCCCACCACUCCCUUUGUUGAUAAUGAUGCAUAUGUAGUUAGUUCUAAUGUAAGUCUUGCUGGGUACAUUUGUACUCACGUUGCUUAAUUUAUGUUUUUGCAGAGAGACUUCAGUCUCGCUAGUAGUUCCUCGUGGACUUCGACGUUUGGCUUGUUACCUCAGCUACGAUCUUGUGCCCUCGGCAGGAUCUGGUAGAUAGUCAGGCUUCUCAGCCUUUUUCAUUUGUAGAUGUCUGUACUCAGACAUGUUAAGCUUCCGCUUGUGCCUUGACUUGUAUGCCCUGAGUGUUGGGUCAUGAGACCCAUGUUUGUAAUAUCUCGCUCCUCGGAGCCUAUUGAAUAAAUACUUGAGUUGUAGAGUCAUGUUGUGAUGCCAUGUUGUAUUUGCACAUAUCGAGCAUAUUGUGUGUAUGUUAUUGAAAUGCUUGGUAUGUGUGGGAUCUGACUAUCUAGUUGUUUAUCCUUAGUAGCCUCUCUUACCGGGAAAUGUCUCCUAGUGCUUCCACUGAGCCAUGGUAGCUUGCUACUGCUCCGGAACACUUAGGCUAGCCGGCAUGUGUCCUUCUUCGUUCCUGUCUCUGUCCCCUCGGGGAAAUGUCACGCGAUGAAUUCCAGAGUCCUGUUAGCCCUCUACAGCCCGGUUCACCGGAGCCCUGCUAGCCCAGUGCUACAGCCUGGAUUCACUCGCUGAUGACCGACACGUUUGUUGUUGGGUCAUGUAUGCAUGUCCCUGUAAGUUAGUGCCACUUUGGGUUCACGACUAGCCAUGUCAGCCCGGGUUCUUUGUCAUAUGGAUGCUAGCGGCACUAUCAUAUACGUGAGCCAAAAGGCGCAAACGGUCCCAGGCCAGGUAAGGUGGCACCCGUGGGAAUACCGUGCGUGAGGCCGCAAAGUGAUAUGAUGUGUUACAUGCUAGAUCGGUGUGACUUAGGAUCGGGGUGCUGACAGCUUUGAUAGUGUUGCUAGUCCCUCUAGGAUAUUAGUAACCUUUGCAUUAGUCCUCGAGGUCCGUGGUAUUUCCUUCUUCCAAAUACUAUGAACCACUUAUGGCAGAAGUUUGUUGGAUCAAAAGAUCAUAACAGGAGUGCUCUCGAUGAGUUCUUCAUUUUAUAUUGUGACUCUGCCAGUUCUACUCUUCUGCAUGGGUUAUCCGGAAGAAACAUGUUGAACUUGUUCGACAUGCUAAACUAUGCAUCCACAACUCAGAAAAUCAUAUGUUCUUUUGAGUUGUCCCUCUUUAGUUGUUUUCUGGCCCUUGUCUAUCAAUUGAUAGUCAGGAGUGAUUAUGCAUUCGCCAAUGCCUAUUACUCUUGUGGUCCAUCGAGCCAUUCUAUUCCGGAAUGACUAGGAGAAACAAACUCCAGUACCUCAUCCCUAUCCAGGAUUGGGUCAAAGCAGUUGUGCUCCACAGAUCAAAUACUAAUCUAGCUUUUGUUCUGCUCCACCCUGGAGUAUUACCAUCUUUAUAUCAAAAAUAUCAUGGGAAUUGCACACCAUCCUAUGAACUCUUGAUACAGUGAUACUCUCUCCAUCAUUAUUCAUUUCUCGGUUCCCGUGUUGUUGCAACCGGAGUGUCGACAAGUGAAUCGUGAUGUGUGAAAUCAAUACUCCUAGCAACCUUGUUGCUUGGUAGUUAAAGGGCAAUAAUUUCGUUCUUAGCGUGUUGGUUUUUGAAUCAUCAUUCUAAGACUGAUUGUGCUACCUAGUCCUUAUUUCGGUGCACCCUUCGAUCGAUGAGUUAGGAUUUGGUCAAAUCCUCGCUCAUUGUUCAUAUCGUCUUGCCCUUAGAAGCAAGAUUGUUCCCGAGCUUAAUAAUAUAUUGGUGGUUCGUGAUUUUUCGAAUGUCUUCUCAAAAGUAUUACCAGGUUGUCACCUGACCGCUAUGUUGAGUUCGUGAUCAUGUUGGUUUUCUUCCAAACCACCCAUUCUCCAAGAUUCUGUGUUGGAUACCCCCGAGCUAGUUGGUUAAGCUAAACAACAACUUGGAGAGUUGGAAGAUGAAAGCUUGUCCGACUUAGUUCAUCACUAAGGGAUAUCCUUGAGUGUGAGUGUGUGUGUAUUGAAGAAAGAUGAUAUCUUCAUCGACUGAUCCUCGUGAUUAGUUGUUGAAUGUAUUGUCUUGUCCAAACCUUGAUUUGAGUGUGGGCUAUCGUCAAAUCAAGUUAGAACCAACAAUAUUCGUAAUGUUGUCUUACUCGUGGUUGGUUCCUCGAGCAUACACCAUUAUACUCGUUGGGUCUGACCAAUGCUAUCACCUUGUUCACAUGAUGGUGGAAGUCCAGUGAUAUGGAAAUUCCGAUGAGUUGCUGUUGAGCCCAUCAACAACAUUUUGUCUCCCCCAUGAGUCAUGUUGAACAUCGACCUAGUGUUGGAAACUUGUUUGAGCAUUUCUUCGUGUUUCGUUCAUGAAGCAUAUGUUUGGAUGAAAGUAGUGACUUCCUCUAAAUUCAUGUGCAUUUGGUGCAAGUUGUCGUGGAUUCGAGAAAGUUUGUUUUUGCUUCCUCUGGAAUCAUCCCAAGUCAGUCAUGCAUGUGCGAAGUAUUCUAUGGUCUGAUAGACUGAUCAUCUUCAUUCCAUAUGAAUUCCCUAGCACACCAAGCCAUUGAUGGAUUUGUUCAAGAAAAGGGAGUCUCAUGUGCUAAUCCUAGGUCAUGCACACGACUUCGUUAUCUUCGAUGAUGGUUCCCAACCAGAACUCGGUGGUGUUUUAUUGUAAGACUACUAUGUGGUCAUGCUUGUCUUGGAUAACGUGUUCACAUGUAUGUAGCAGAACCAGCUCAUGUUUCUGAGCUUGCUAUCAUAGUUCAUUCCCGAGAAUCUCGCAACGUCAUCCUGUCGGUUUGUGUUGCAAUCUUUCAUUGUUCUUCCUAGACUCGAUGAGUCUGGAUUAUUCUGACACCAACCAGAUCUGAAUCUCAGGCAGAUAUGAUGGUUGGAACAUUUCCCAAGAACUAUAAUAUUGGUCCCUCGAUAACCGGUAAAGUGGAUGUCGUGGCCAACACACCCAGCCGGAAGACCUAUUAUUGUAGUAUCUUGUUUGAAGAAGUUGGCCACCUCCUGAUAAGGAUUUCAUAGGAUUUACCUCCAUAAUUGUUCCUUAUGGAUUCUUGUGCUCCCGAAGUCCGACCUUUACUUGAUGUUCUAGAUAUCAAACCAUUUUUAUGAAUGGGUUAUGCUAGCACAUCAAGGAGAACAUUAGAAGCGGAGUGCUAAAUGUCUCUCGGUCGAUCAUCCAGAUUUUGUUUCCUUGGCCUCGCUAAGGUGAAAUCUGAGAAAGUGUUAUCUUCUUUCGCAUCGGCAUCCUCCGUUACCAUUCUUCAUGGUAGUAUGUUGUGUUGCCAGGAUCCUUGGCAUGGAUAUUGGUAAAACCAUGAUGAAUAUGGAAAUGCUCAAGUUCUGGAGAGCACGCGCAAGCGCUAGGUGUUAUCAUCGGCACUAACUGGGAUUGCUCUCAGUUUCCUCGGUUAUGCUAUAACUUUUCAAACAGUGGACCCACCCUCUACUGUUGAGCUUCUCCCCAGUUACUAAAAUUAUCAUUUGUGUUGUCUUCAACAAGGUAAUCCACAUCAUCCAUUCUAAUCCAAGCAUGUCAUUCUACCGACCCCCUCCAAACGAUCGCUCGAGAAUUGCCUUAGGCUGGUAUAAAGAGUUUCAAUGAUCUCUGAAUCAAAGGUAAUUCUUUUGCCACUUAAAGGGAUAUAUCUAAGAGUCACCAUCCCUAAGGUGUCUCGUUGUGGUAUCAUGGCAACUCAACUCCUCGCUACGUUGACAACCGUUCACCACCCUCUUAGGUGUGGAAUUGUUGUCUACCUAGUGAAUCCUCACCAUCCGUUCCACUCCAUCCCUCUAGAUGUAUGCUUCGUGUCUCAGCUCGGGAGAUGCUGCUAUGUCUCAUCCCAUGAGUUGAUCCUGAGUUGUUCGAUCUUCGAGAAGAUCGAUUCUUCUAGAGUUUUUCCUUUCUUCUCAUCGUCAUGUUGGAUGGAGUUCUCAGAGCAAGACGUCGAGACAAAGAUGGUGAUUGAAUCAACGUUCAUUUGAAGUGCAACCUAGAUCGAGAAGAUUGCGUUAGUUACGUUCCCCCUUCAUCUUACCCUAUGCUUGAAUCUCGGGACGAGAUUCUUGUUUAGUGGGGGCGAGUUGUCACAUCCCUAGCUUCUGGUUUGCUCUGAGCUAGCUAGUCAUGUGUUGCAUCAUGUUUAAAUUUCAGUUAAACCUGAAAUGGGGAUUGUUGAAACCCUAGCACCAAUUGAAUUCAACUAGGUUCAAUAAAAAUAUUUUCAAUGAACCCAAAAUGCCUUUGGAAAUGUUCAUGAUUUUUGAUAAAGGUGAAAACCUCUGCCAAAAAUGAUGAGCAUAUUUCUUGGCCAUUUUUGGAUUUUUGAAUUAAAUCAUAAUGUAAUUGAGUUUGGGCAUUUCAAUACUAUAAAUAAUUUAAAUGCUCAAAUAAUUCUGAAACUAAAUGUGGGCUGUUGCAUAUAUUUCAGAAGGUGCCCACAAUUAUUUUCAGGAUUUUUAGAAGUGCCCUGGUAUUUUUAAUAAAGCCCUAAAACUACAGAAUAAUAGAAAACAGAAGCAAUAAAUAAAAGAGAAGGAACUUACCUGGCGCUCACCUGGCAGCCCAGCCGGCCCAGCUCCCAUUCCGGCCCAGCCCACCAGCGCCCCCUUGUCAUCUUCCUCCUCUGCUAGGAGGACAAACAGGUGCGUGGCGAGCGCCGACGCUGCCCCGGCCACCUCCUGCUUCCCCGGCCACCUCCUGCUUCCCCGGCCCCUCCUAGACGACGCCACGGAGCGCCACGCAGCCCCUGGCUCUCUCUCACUCUCUCCCGAUCCCUUCCCCCUUCUCUGCUCUCUCCCUCUCACGUCCGAGCGCGCUCAUCGCCGCCGCUCGCUGCUGCCGUGGCCACAGCCACUGCCUCACCUUGCCGUUGCGCCCAGAGGCUCCGCCUCGACCCCCUCUUCCUCUCCACCGAGCCACGAGGUCCCGGACGCGCUGCAACGCCGCCACCAUCGCCGUUUCCGUCGCCGGCCACCGAAGCUCACCACCGUCGAUUCGCGACAUCUGGCCCGCCCCCGAGCCCACUGACUUUCUGCGCCGCCUCCCUGUGAGCUCCUCAUCUCUCCUCUUUGCGCGCCCCCUCCGUUCCCGUCCUCUAGCCGUCGUUCCGCAAGUGCCCGAAGCUCGCCGCCGACGGCCAUGUCGCUGUCGUGGCUACAGACGCCGUAGCUUGCCCCUGAGCACAUCAUCGUGCUCGUGCUACUCCCAGGAGACGAACGCACCUGCUAGCUCACCUUCCCAUGCACCAUAGCGAGUAGCCGGUCCUGCCCGAGCUCCGGCCGCCGCCAGGAGCUCGAUUCCGGUGAGCUCCGGCCACCUUGUGCCCUCCCGUCGGUCUCCCCGGAUGCGCACGGGCACGGGCUUCCUUCUGGUGCCCCUGGCGCGUUGACCCGUGGCCUCUGGCGAGUUCCGAGCGGGCUCCACCAUGGUUCGGGGUCGCCGCCGGCUGAACUCCGGCGAGCCGACGUGGCCGCGUGAUUAGCGCUAAUCACGGCCAGCUAACCCUCCCCAGAGCCACUGACGUAUGGGCCCCACACCCUUAAUUAAUCUUUGUUUAUUUUCUGUUAAGUUUUAACCUAACCACCAUGGGCCCACGCGUCAGCUUUGACCAAGCUGACGUGGCCGUUGACUGGGCCCACAUGUCAGCGACACAUACCAGCCUAAGACACUGAUCAGUGGACCCACUCGUCAGGUUUGACCUGGACCGCACCCCGUUGACUCGCCUACGUCAUGCUGACGUAGUGCUGACGCAGUGAUGCAUUUUCUGGAAUUAGUUCAAUUAUAAAUAUUCAGGAAAUUCCAGAAAAUGUUUAAAACUUGUAAAAGUCAUACAAAAUCAACCGUAACUCCAAAUGAAAUAAGUUAUAUAUGAAAAAUGAUUAGAAAAAUCCAAUCUAUCCAUCUGUACCAUUUUCAUGCAUGUUAGAACAACUUAUAGUUGCUUUUUAGCACAAAUCAUAUUAAAGGCAUUUAAAUAUCCACAUAUGGAGUUUGAAUUUGAAUCUUGGAUUCAAACCAACUUCAUUUAAUCUGGUUUUAGUUGCAUCAGCACAAAUCAACAGCAUAUUGCCAUGUCACAUUCAUGCAUCAUACUGUUGCAUUGCAUUGAUUGUGCUCUUCCUUGUUUGCCGGUGUUUGUCCCUCCCGCUAGACGUGGUUCCGACGAUGAGUUCGAUGACACCGAUGAAGAGCUAUAUUAUCUUCAGAAGUGCCAGGCAAGCAAAACCCCCUUGUUUAUUCUGAUACAAUCCCACUCUCUCGCUCCUGCUCUCUUUUAUUGCAUUAGGACAACAACAAUUCAUCUGUUACUUGCUGCGGUAGCUGAACCCCUUUAUCCUUUGCAUGACCUGUCAUUGCCACAGUAAAUAGAUGAAACCCACUAGCAUGAGUAGGAGUUGUUUGAGCCUUGAUGUGCCUACUCAUUCAUGCUUGUUGUCAUGCCUGCUACUGCUUAGAGUUGAGUCAGGUCUGAUUCAUCGGGGAUGAAUUGGAGGUGUGUGAACAUGUCCUACUGUGUGAGAGCUAAGUGUGUGAACACGAUUUGGUAAAGGUAGCAGUGAGAGGCCAUGUAGGAGUACAUGGUGGGUUGUCUCAUUGCAGCCGUCCUCAGGAACUGAGUUCUGUGUUUGUGAUCCAUGACCAGCUACUACCAUGCAUUGGAAUGCUUAAGUGCCCCUCUCGACUUAUUAAUCAACUUGAUCUCUGUCCAGGAGUUGUAACUAGUUUCUGGUGUUUGUAGGUAGUGUUAGUAGUCUACCAAGUGGCACCCGGUACAGGUGGGCUUGGGACAGGCUAGGCACAGUGGCCCGGUGUACCAAGUAGCACCCGGAUGGUGGACUUGGGAACCCUGUACACACCGUUUGGGGCCGUGAGCGGCACCCCGGCCGGAUCUCCUUGCGGAUGGAACCCGAAUAGGCGAUAAACCUGGACGAGAGACUUGUGUGGUUAGUCAGGUCGUGGCCGACACCCUCGCUGGGCUUCCGCUUGAAGGUUGCCAAGUACAUGUCGUGUAAACGGCGGUAAGUGGUGAGAGCGUGUGUGAAGAAGUACACCCCUGCAGGGUUAAUAUGAUCUAUUCGAAUAGCCAUGUCCGUGUUGGAAAUAUGCCCUAGAGGCAAUAAUAAAAGUAUUAUUAUUAUAUUUCCUUGUUCAUGAUAAUUGUCUUUUAUUCAUGCUAUAACUGUAUUAUCCGGAAAUCGUAAUACACGUGUGAAUACAUAGACCACAAUAUGUCCCUAGUGAGCCUCUAGUUGACUAGCUCGUUGUGAUCAACAGAUAGUCAUGGUUUCCUGGCUAUGGACAUUGGAUGUCGUUGAUAACGGGAUCACAUCAUUAGGAGAAUGAUGUGAUGGACAAGACCCAAUCCUAAGACUAGCACAAAAGAUCGUGUAGUUCAUUUGCUAGAGCUUUGCCAAUGUCAAGUAUCUCUUCCUUCGACCAUGAGAGCGUGUAACUCAUGGAUACCGUAGGAGUGCUUUCGGUGUAUCAAACGUCACAACGUAACUGGGUGACUAUAAAGGUGCACUACAGGUAUCUCCGAAAGUAUCUAUUGUUUUAUGCGGAUCGAGACUGGGAUUUGUCACUCCGUGUAAACGGAGAGGUAUCUCUGGGCCCACUCGGUAGGACAUCAUCAUAUGCGCAAUGUGACCAAGGAGUUGAUCACGGGAUGAUGUGUUACGGAACGAGUAAAGUGACUUGCCGGUAACGAGAUUGAACAAGGUAUUGGAUACCGACGAUCGAAUCUCGGGCAAGUAACAUACCGAUAGACAAAGGGAAUUGAAUACGGGAUUGAUUAAGUCCUUGACAUCGUGGUUCAUCCGAUGAGAUCAUCGUGGAACAUGUGGGAGCCAUCAUGGGUAUCCAGAUCCCGCUGCUGGUUAUUGACCGGAGAACGUCUCGGUCAUGUCUACAUGUCUCCCGAACCCGUAGGGUCUACACACUUAAGGUUCGAUGACGCUAGGGUUAUAAAGGAAGUUUGUAUGUGGUUACCGAAUGUUGUUCGGAGUCUCGGAUGAGAUCCCGGACGUCACGAGGAGUUCCGGAAUGGUCCGGAGGUAAAGAUUUAUAUAUGGGAAGUCCUAUUUUGGCCACCGGAAAAUGUUCGGGAUUUUUCGGUAUUGUACCGGGAAGGUUCUAGAAGGUUCCGGAGUGGGGCCCACCUGCAUGGGUAUGUAGAUGCAUUCUCUUUCUACUCGUUGCUGGUCUCUCUAUAGAUAGAUCUUGGUGACACGUAGGAAAAUUUUGAAUUUCUGCUACGUUCCCCAACAGUCCGCGGUAAAGGACUUCUGGGUUGCCUGUACAGUUCAUAGACAAGUGAAAGUGGAUACUCUGAAAUACGCAAGAUAAGCAUGAGUGCUAUAGAUGGCGUUCUUGUAGGGAGACGGGAGCGGAUCCAUAGUGGUGUAUUGAUAUGGUGAAUAUGUGGACUCGUGUGCGCCACCUCAAAAGAGUUACUUGCAUUCGUAGUUCAGGUUAGCCACCGAGUCAAAGCUGGCUUGCUGCAGUUAAACCCCACCACUCCCAUUGUUGAUAAUGAUGCAUAUGUAGUUAGUUCUGAUGUAAGUCUUGCUGGGUACAUUUGUACUCACAUUGCUUAAUUUAUGUUUUUGCAGAGAGACUUCAGCCUCGCUAGUAGUUCCUCGUGGACUUCGACGUUUAGCUUGUUACCUCAGCUACGAUCUUGUGCCCUCGGCAGGAUCUGGUAGAUAGUCAGGCUUCUCAGCCUUUUUCAUUUGUAGAUGUCUGUACUCAGACAUGUUAAGUUUCCGCUUGUGCCUUGACUUGUAUGCUCUGAGUGUUGGGUCAUGAAACCCAUGUUUGUAAUAUCUCGCUGCUCGGAGCCUAUUGAAUAAAUACUUGAGUUGUAGAGUCAUGUUGUGAUGCCAUGUUGUAUUUGCACAUAUCGAGCAUAUUGUGUGUAUGUUAUUGAAAUGCUUGGUAUGUGUGGGAUCUGACUAUCUAGUUGUUUAUCCUUAGUAGCCUCUCUUACCGGGAAAUGUCUCCUAGUGCUUCCACUGAGCCAUCGUAGCUUGCUACUGCUCCGGAACACUUAGGCUGGCCGGCAUGUGUCCUUCUUCGUUCCUGUGUCUGUCCCCUCGGGGAAAUGUCACGCGAUGAAUUCCGGAGUCCUGUUAGCCCGCUACAGCCCGGUUCACCGGAGCCCUGCUAGCCCAGUGCUACAGCCUGGAUUCACUCGCUGAUGACCGACACGUUUGUUGUUGGGUCAUGUAUGCCUGUCCCUGUAAGUUAGUGCCACUUUGGGUUCACGACUAGCCAUGUCAGCCCGGGUUCUUUGUCAUAUGGAUGCUAGCGGCACUAUCAUAUACGUGAGCCAAAAGGCGCAAACGGUCCCGGGCCAGGUAAGGUGGCACCCGUGGGAAUACCGUGCGUGAGGCCACAAAGUGAUAUGAUGUGUUACAUGCUAGAUCGGUGUGACUUAGGAUCGGGGUCCUGACACCCUACGGGUUUGAGAACUAUGUAGACAUGACCGAGAACCAUUUCGGGUCAAUAACCAAUAGCGAAACAUGGAUGCUCAUAUUGGCUCCUACAUAUUCUAUGAAGAUCUUUAUCGGUCAAACCGCAUAAUAACAUACAUUGUUCCCUUUGUCAUCGGUAUGUUACUUGCCCGAGAUUCGAUCGUCGGUAUCCAAUACCUAGUUCAAUAUCGUUACCGGCAAGUCUCUUUACUCAUUACGUAAUGCAUCAUUCCGUAACUAACUCAUUAGUUACAUUGCUUGACAGGCUUAUAUUCAUGUGCAUUACCAAGAGGGCCCAGAGAUACCUCUCCAACAAUCGGAGUGACAAAACCUAAUCUCGAAAUACGCCAACUCAACAUGUACCUUUGGAUACACCUGUAGAGCUCCUUUAUAAUCACCUAGUUACGUUGUGACGUUUGGUAGCACACAAAGUGUUCCUCCAGUAAACGGGAGUUGCAUUAUCUCAUAGUUAUAGGAACUUGUAUAAGUCAUGAAGAAAGCAAUAGCAACAUACUAAACGAUCAAGUGCUAAGCUAACGGAAUGGGUCAAGUCAAUCACAUCAUUCUCCUAAUGAUUUGAUCCCGUUAAUCAAAUGACAACACAUGUCUAUGGUUAGGAAACAUAACCAUCUUUGAUUAAUGAGCUAGUCAAGUAGAGGCAUACUAGUGACAUUAAGUUUGUCUAUGUAUUCACACAUGUAUCAUGUUUCCGGUUAAUACAAUUCUAGCAUGAAUAAUAAACAUUUAUCAUGAUAUGAGGAAAUAACUAAUAACUUUAAUAUUGCCUCUAGGGCAUAUUUCCUUCAAGUUGUGCAUUAGAGAAGUGGGAGUCGACCUUGAAUCUUUGUGUUCAUGCCCAUGGACCUGGUGUGGAACUUAUCAUGUAAGCUUCUUGUUAUAAUAAUAACCCCCUUGUGAUAAGUUCAUCUGUUAUCUAUAUUUGGUCCUUUCCAACUGUGGUUUCGACCAUAUUGUUCUUCUUUGAUCCCAUUUCUCGGACAAGUUAAAGUACUUGUCUUCUGUAGAUCAUUUCACUCGUCCAACCUAUGUUCUGCUAUAGCCUCGAGUAUUACCCUCUGGUAUCUCGAGAGUAUCUCAGAACUACAUUACUUAUUAUGAGUUCUUCAUCAACUAUUAUUCUCGUCGAUUCAAAAUUUCCACGUGUUCCAAGUUGUUACACACUCGAGAACACCGAUAACUGAUUUGAGUCUACACUCUGCUUUCCAUUGUUUUGUUUAACCUAUUCCCUGCUUAUGUAAACACCUCGCUGUACAAACUCUAUCAGUAAGACCUUGUUACUAUUGUUGAUGACAUUCUGGUAGCCACCGAUGGGGCGAGAACUUUGCCUAUUGGUUUGCCUCGUCUUAACGAGCAGAAAAAUGGUUCUCUUCGUCCCUCGCCCUUGGUACCAACAUUGUUGCUAACAUAACUGACAAGUUGUCCUUUGAACCGCCUUGCUAUCAUAACCGUGCAAAAUGUAACGCCUUCUUGCUUUUAACCCACAUGGUGGGUGAUACGUCUCCAACGUAUCUAUAAUUUAUGAAGCAUUCAUGCUAUUUUAUUAUCUGUUUUGAAUGAUUACGGGCUUUAUUAUACACUUCUAUAUUACUUUUGGGACUAACCUACUAACCGGAGGCCCAACCCAUAUUGUUGUUUUAUUGCCUGUUUUAGUAUUUUGAAGAAAAGAAAUAUCAAACGGAGUCCAAACGAAAUGAAACCUUCGGUAGCGUGAUUUUUUGGAAGAAUAUGAUCUUGGAGAAUUGGAGUUCAUGUCAGAAGAUCCUCGAGGAGGCCAGGAGAUAGGGGGCGCCCCCCCCCCUACUAGGCGCGCCCCCUGUCUCAUGGGCCCCUCGAGCACCCCCCGACCGACUUCUUUCACCUAUAUAGUCCCACGUACCCUAAAAACAUCCACAGAGAAGAUAGAUCGGGAGUUCCGCCGCUGCAAGCCUCUGUAGCCACCAAAAACCUCUCGGGAGCCUGUUCCGGCACCCUGCCGGAGGGGGAACCCAUCACCGGUGGCCAUCUUCAUCAUCCCGGCGCUCUCCAUGACGAGGAGGGAGUAGUUCACCCUCGGGGCUGAGGGUAUGUACCAGUAGCUAUAUGUUUGAUCUCUCUCUCUCUCUCUUGUGUUCUCUCUAUGGCACGAUCUUGAUGUAUCGCGAGCUUUGCUAUUAUAGUUGGAUCUUAUGAUGUUUCUCCCCCCCCCCCUACUCUCUUGUGAUGAAUUGAGUUUUCCUCUUGAAGUUAUCUUAUCGGAUUGAGUCUUUAAGGAUUUGAGAACACUUGAUGUAUGUCUUGCCAUGCUUAUCUAUGGUGACAAUGGGAUAUUCACGUGAUCCACUUCAUGUAUGUUUUGGUGAUCAACUUGCGGGUUCCGCCCAUGAACCUAUGCAUAGGGGUUGGCACACGUUUUCGUCUUGACUCUCCGGUAGAAACUUUGGGGCACUCUUUGAAGUACUUUGUGUUGGUUGAACAGAUGAAUCUGAGAUUGUGUGAUGCAUAUCGUAUAAUCAUGCCCACAGAUACUUGAGGUGACAAUGGAGUAUCUAGGUGACAUUAGGGUUUUUGUUGAUUUGUGUCUUAAGGUGUUAUUCUAGUACGAACUCUUGAAUAGAUCGAUCCGAAAGAAUAACUUUGAGGUGGUUUCGUACCCUACCAUAAUCUCUUUGUUUGUUCUUCGCUAUUAGUUGCUUCGGAGUGACUCUUUGUUGCAUGCUGAGGGAUUGUUAUAUGAUCUAUUUAUGUUAUUAUUGUUGAGAGAACUUGCACUAGUGAAAGUAUGAACCCUAGGCCUUGUUUCCUACCAUUGCAAUACCGUUUACGCUCACUUUUAUCAUUAGUUACCUUGUUGUUUUUAUAAUUUUAGAUUACAAAAACCUUUAUCUACUAUCCAUAUUGCACUUGUAUCACCAUCUCUUCGCCGAACUAGUGCACCUAUACAAUUUACCAUUGUAUUGGGUGUGUUGGGGACACAAGAGACUCUUUGUUAUUUGGUUGCAGGGUUGCUUGAGAGAGACCACAUCUUCAUCCUAUGCCUCCCACGGAUUGAUAAACCUUAGGUCAUCCACUUGAGGGAAAUUUGCUACUGUCCUACAAACCCGUGCACUUGCAGGCCCAACAACGUCUACAAGAAGAAGGUUGUGUAGUAGACAUCAAGCUAUUUUCUGGCGCCGUUGUCGGGGAGGUGAGUGCUUGAAGAUAUAUCUUUAGAUCUUGCAAUCGAAUCUUUUUGUUUCUUGUUUUAUCACUAGUUUAGUUUAUAAAAGAAAAUUACAAAAGAAUGGAGUUAAGCUUGUCUCAUACGCUUCGUCUUUUUAAUAUCUUUCGUGAGUAUGAUGGAAAGGAAAAUUGUGCUCAAGUGCUAGAAGAAGAAUGCAUUAAAAUGCUUAGUACUAAAUCUUUGAAUGAUGAGCAUGAUUGCAAUGUUGUUAGUAUGAACUCCUUGAAUAUCCAUAGUACUAAUGAUGAUUGCUCUAGUCAUGAUGAAAAUAUCUCUUAUAAGCAUGUCAGCUUUUGUGGAGUGCAUGUUUGCAUGAACAUUCCAAAUAGAGAAGAUAUAUAUUGCAAGAGUCAUAAGCACUUAGAAACUAAAUGGUUGCAAGAAAGGCUAAAUGUUAGUGCUGAAAAUUUGAAUUUCCUUUUCCGUACUUGUGAACUCUGCAAUGAACGUGGUCAUUUACAUCUCCUAUGCAAAUUGUUUCAUGAUCGAAUCGUGUCCAAAAAUUGUGAUGAUUUGAUCUCCCUUGCACAUUAUAAUGAACUUAGUUUGCUUUUGGGUUAUGAAGAGUUGAAACGUUUAACUAAGCAUAUUCCAGAAUUUAAUCUUGAGCAUUUCCUUGAUAUUGAUCUAGAGAAGAUUUAUUUGUAUUGUGCAGUGAAUUGCAUUGAAAAUCCUUAUAUUGCCAAUUACAUAAAGAAAAGAAAGCAAACAGAAGACGAAGAGAAUACUAAUGAAAGGGAAGAGACUUCCCAGUCUCCUCCUAUUAUUUCUUAUGAUGAAUCAUGUAACGAGGAGGAGCUUCCUAUUCAACCAAUAUCUUCAAUAAGGAGCUCAAAGAGGAAGGUUGAACCCACACAUAAUGUGAAGAAGAAAAAGAAAAGAAGGAGCAACAAAGGUAGAAAGGUAUCCCUCCCAAAUGAUGUUGCUCCUACUACUCAUUGUGAUGAUGAUAAUUGCUAUACUAUUGGUGCUAUCCAUAUUUUUAAUGAUGAGAGUGUGAUUAUGCUUAUGAUAUGAAAGGGCCCAAGCUUGGUGUAACAUCCCAAAUUUUCAAUUUGGCAUGUUAUACAUAGGUCGAAGAGAGUUGCAAUCCUCGAAAUCCUAAGCAACUCAAGGACCCUUGGAGAGAGUUGGGGAUUUUCCGAUUUUCAUAUUUGAUUUUUAUCAAAUAAUGAAGACGAGGAUUUUUAAUUUUAAUUAUUUUAUCUCCAUAAAAUAUUUCAUUUUAAAUAAAUAAAUGAGAGGAGAUAAUAUGACUUCUCCAAAAAUAAUUGAAAUAUCGGAGGAAAAAUGUUAAAAUCAUUAUUUGGUUUUUAUAUGUUUUUUUUGGAAUUUUAAUUGCCCUAGAAAAAUUUGCAUCUUUUAAAAAUUGCAUUUUAGGGGCCAAGAAAAGUUCAUCUCGUUCUAAAUAUUCCAUUUAGACGGAGAAAACUUGUUUUGGAAUUUUUAGAUUUUUAUUUAUUUUUCUAAGUCUGCGGAACAUUUAAAAAAAAAGAGGACCCGCGCCCGACUGGGCCAAGGGCCCAGCCGAGCAGGCAGGCCCAGCCGCCCGAGCCGCGCCGCCGCCUUCCCCGCGCCGCUGCCGCCGUGUUCGAUGCGGACACCGCCGCCGCCUUGCCCCUCCCCCAAGUCGGAGCCGCCGCUGAUGGAGUCAUGUACCUAGGGUAGGGUCACAGACCUGAUCUAAGUACCCUGCCCAAGGACACCCUUAGAAGAGAUCACCUUCCAGUCGACCUACGAGGGACUCACUCGACUGACUUGAAGGACUCGACCACGAAGACUCACUCGACCACCAGAAGGUCAAGAGGCACUCUGCACUGCAACGGUCUGUAAUUAAGUAGAUUUUAUGAUAGUAAAGACACUUUAUGUGGGGUGUUACCAGUAACGCCCCGGACUUAAUGUACCUUAAACCCUUCAUUACGUGGGUUGGCUGGGGUCCUGGCGCACUCUAUAUAAGCCACCCCCCUCCACAGGCAGAAGGGUUCGGCACCCUGUAAUCCAUAUACACAUAAUCCACUCGACCGCCUCCGGGCUCCGAGACGUAGGGCUUUUACUUCCUCCGAGAAGGGCCUGAACUCGUACAUCUCUUGUGCUUACAACCUCUCCAUAGCUAGGACCUUGCCUCUCCAUACCUACCCCCCACUCUACUGUCAGACUUAGAUCCACGACAGUUGGCGCCCACCAUGGGGCGGGUGUUUUAGCGAUUUUGUGGAGAAGUUGCGAUUCUUCCGAGUACUUUCAUCAUGGUAGCUGCUGGAGUUUUGGUCGAGGGUCGAGAGAUUCGUCUCGGUGCUCUCACCUUCGUCGCCGACGACUCCGCCUGGCUCCAGGAGGCUCCACUCGACGUCGAUGCGCUCCCCGUCCGCGGUGCGACGCAUUUUCGCGCAUGUGUCCGCGGUGUUCUGCUGCGGCAACCGUCGACCCCAUAUCGGUCGACUCCCCUAUCAACCACCCUCCCAGUCUCCCGCCAGCGCAAGCGCUCGGGUCGGUUGAGGCUUCAGCGGUGGGUGAGACACGCGGUGGUUCGCUAGACGGCCACCACCCAAGUUGCGGCAAUCGAGCCCGACGAAUCUCUCUACGGCCUGUUCGAUCUGUCGACUGGCUCCGUAGAGACUGCAUCCAAAUGCGAUAGUAGUGAUCCAGCGGCGGAAAUCUUGAUGGUCGACGGGCCUCGCAGCCCCCCUGGCUUCACCCGUGAUGGUGGGGCAGGCGACGGAGGCGACCCCGCACGAGACCACGAAGAGUACCAGCCCGAGCCACUCGACUCUCUGCAAAGAGAGGAACUUCGCCGCAGAAACAUGGAUGCCCUGCAUACUCCCAUCGCAGGAGAAACCCCCGAGGCUCGCGCCUUGGAGGAGGCACGUUUGGCCAAUUUGGCCGAACGCGCUCGCCUGGAGAAUCUUCAGUGAGCACUCGACGAGCGCGCGCGGCAACGAGUUCCCGACGCCAGUCGACAUCAACUCUUCCCGCCGACUCAGGUAUAUCGAACCCCAAUCCAGAAUUUAGCAGCUGCGACCCGUAUAGCAGAGUCCAUCCAGCCCUCUCAGUCGGAAGCUGGCAGAGGCUUGAUGCAGAUCAGGGAUCUGCUCCGGGCAGCAGGAGAUCAGAAUUCAGCCGUGUCGCAGUCGCGCAACAGAAUUCACAGUCGAUCCGUCGCUGCGAAUACGGUUCAGUCGGCUCACAGUCCCAGAUCGCCUUCGCGGCGUGAAGGGCGCGAGAAUCGGCGAGACCAAUAUGAAGACCGACACGACCGAGAUGAUAGGCGUCGAGUGCCCACUUCCCCUCUGAGGGGUGGGUCUUACGCUCCUCGGCAGCAAGAUGACAGGCGUCAGCUCAGUGCGGGGUGAAGAGUUCCAGUCGACCCCAGGGAACCAGGCUUCGACGCGCGAUCCAUUAUCGUGCAAGGCUUGGUCGACCGGAACAGAGCCCAUCGAGGUGGACUCGACAGAGAUGCGCCCAUGAACAGUCGAGUGCACAUUUCUGGUCCAGAAUGUUUCAGCAGAGCUAUCAGAGCCGCAGUGAUUCCUCCCAAUUUCAGGUUGGUAACAGGAGUCAGCAAGUUCACCGGUGAGUCUAAGCCCGAAACUUGGCUUGAGGACUACCGAGUGGCGGUCCAGAUUGGUGCUGGGAAUGACGAGGUGGCCAUGAAGCAUUUGCCCCUCAUGUUGGAAGGUUCUGCCAGAGCGUGGUUGAAUCAGUUACCUCCUAGCAGCAUUUACACUUGGGAAGAUUUGUCCUGAGUGUUCGUCAGAACGUUUGAAGGAACUUGCAAGCGACCGGCUGGAUUGACGGAGCUGCAAGUCUGCGUGCAGAAGACCAAUGAGACUCUCAGGGAGUAUAUUCAGAGAUGGAUCACUUUGCACCAUACUGUGGAGAAUGUGUCUGAUCAUCAGGCAGUCUGCGCCUUCAAGGAUGGUGUCAAGAACAGAGAAUUGAGUUUGAAAUUUGGUCGAACCGGAGACAUGACUUUGAGUCGGAUGAUGGAAAUUGCUACCAAGUACGCCAACGGCGAAGAAGAAGACCGACUCCGAAGCGGCAAGCACAAGUCGAGCCAGUCGGAGAAGGGAAACACCAGUCAGAAACAUAAGCGGGAGGCUGAACCGGCAGCUCCUGGAGAGGCUCUGGCCAUGGCUCAUGGAAAGUCUAAAGGGAAACCAAAAGGAUCCUGGAACCCUAAGAAGGUAAAGGAUAAAGAAGGGAACGACGUGAUGGAUAUGCCGUGUCACAUCCACACGAAGAAAGACGAAGAAGGGAAUAUCAUUUACCCAAAGCAUACCACUCGCCAAUGUCGACUCAUGAUCCAGCAGUUUCAAGGAAAACAGUCUAAGGACAAGGAAAAGGAGUCGGACAAGGCCGAAGACAAGGAGGACAGUGAGGAAGGAUAUCCGCAUGUCAACUCCACUCUGAUGAUCUUUGCAGAUGUGGAAAGCAAGAGUUGAUUGAAAGUCAUUAACCGCGAGGUGAACAUGGUUACCCCAGCAAAAGCAAAUUAUCUGAGAUGGUCCCAAACACCCAUCACAUUCGACCAAUCUGAUCACCCGACUCAUAUUGCCACCCCUGGGAGGCAAGCUUUGGUGGUCGAUCCAGUUGUCGAAGGCACUCGACUGACAAAAGUGUUGAUGGACGGUGGUAGCGGGCUGAAUUUGUUGUAUGCAGACACACUGAAAGGAAUGGGCAUUCCGAUGUCCCGACUGAGCACUAGUAACAUGAGCUUUCAUGGAGUUAUACCAGGGAAGAAAGCCGAGUCACUCGGCCAAAUAGCUUUGGACGUGGUGUUUGGUGAUUCGAAACAUUUUCGCAAAGAGAAGUUGACGUUUGAGGUCGUGGAUUUUCAGAGUGCAUAUCAUGCCAUUUUGGGGAGACCAGCUUAUGCACGGUUCAUGGCUCGACCAUGUUACGUGUACCUCAAAUUGAAGAUGCUCGGCCCCAAAGGAGUGAUCACUGUCACCGGUGAUCGGAAAAAGGCAGAAGAGUGCUUUCAGAAGGGCUCAAAGAUUGCUGAUUCCCAGGUGACAGCGGUCGAGUUUGAAGAAUACAAGCAAAACGCAGAUCCGAGUGAUUUGCUGCGAUCCAAGAAACCCGCCACAGAAUCUACAUUUCAGUCGUCCGGUGAGACGAAGCCUGUUCACAUUCACCCGACCGACCCCGAUGCAGCUCCGACCCACAUCUCCACAACACUCGACUCGAAAUAGGAAGAAGCGCUCAUCCAGUUCCUCCGUGAGAACUGGGACAUUUUUGCAUGGAAGCCCGCUGACAUGCCAGGUGUUCCCAGGGGACUGGCUGAGCAUCGCCUAAGAGUCGACUCAUCAGCAAAACCAGUCAAAGAGCAUCUUCGGCGGUCCGCCGUCCAGAAGAGAAAAGCCAUUGGUGAGGAAGUGGCUCGACUGUUGGCGGCAAGAUUUAUCCGAGAGAUAUACCACUCCGAGUGGCUCGCUAAUGUCGUCAUGGUUCCUAAGAAGGACAAAUCGCUCCGAAUGUGUAUUGAUUUCAAGCACAUCAACCGGGCCUGCCCGAAAGAUCAUUUUCCCCUCCCUCGCAUAGAUCAAAUUGUUGACUCGACCGCGGGAUGUGAGAGAUUGUCUUUUCUAGACGCUUACUCCGGGUACCACCAGAUCCGUCUGUACGGACCCGACGAGGUAAAAACAGCUUUCAUCACUCCAUUCGGGUGCUUCUGCUAUAUCACCAUGCCAUUCGGCCUCAAGAAUGCCGGAGCCACAUUUAUGCGAAUGAUUCAGAAGUGUCUACUCACUCAAAUCAGACGGAAUCUGGAAGCGUAUAUGGAUGAUAUCGUCGUCAAGUCACGAAAAGGUUCCGACCUGCUCGCUGACCUCGCCGAAACAUUUGCCAACCUCAGAAGGUAUGAUAUCAAGCUCAAUCCAUCAAAGUGCACAUUCGCAGUUCCUGGUGGCAAGUUACUCGGUUUUCUCGUUUCCGAGCCGGUGCUUGCUGCUCCAAUCAGCAAAGAGCCUCUGUUGCUUUAUAUCGCAGCCACAGGACAAGUCGUCAGUACUGUGCUUACGGUCGAGCGGGAAGAAGAAGGAAAAGCUUUCAAAGUUCAGCGCCCAGUGUAUUAUUUGUCUGAAGUCUUGACUCCAUCCAAGCAGAGAUAUCCUCAUUAUCAGAAGCUUGUGUAUGGAAUAUACAUGACCACAAAGAAGGUUGCUCAUUAUUUCUCUGAUCAUUCCAUCACAGUCGUCAGCGGCGCUCCACUAUCAGAGAUUUUGCACAACAGAGAUGCAACUGGUCGAGUGGCGAAAUGGGCGAUUGAACUUCUUCCCCUUGAUAUCAAGUUUGAGGCAAAGAAAGCCAUUAAGUCCCAGGCAAUAGAAGAUUUCCUCGCCGAGUGGAUUGAACAGCAGCAGCCGACUGAAGUUCACUCGGAGCAUUGGACCAUGUUUUUUGAUGGCUCUAAGAUGUUGAAUGGUUCCGGUGCUGGGGUUGUCCUGGUUUCCCCCAGAGGAGAUAAGCUCAGAUAUGUGCUCCAGAUUCACUUUGAUUCCUCUAACAAUGAGGCAGAGUAUGAGGCCCUCUUAUACGGAUUGCGCAUGGCCAUUUCACUCGGCGUCCGUCGCCUGAUGGUCUAUGGCGAUUCAGAUUUAGUGGUCAACCAAGUGAUGAAGGAGUGGGACGUGAGAAGCCCAGCCAUGACUGGAUACUGCAGUGCAGUGAGGAAGCUGGAAAAGAAGUUCGAGGGGUUGGAGCUCCAUCAUAUACCCCGACUGAAAAAUCAAGCAGCUGAUGAUCUAGCAAAGAUAGGUUCCAAGAGAGGAGCCAUUCCGAGUGGUGUGUUCUUGGAGCAUAUACACACUCCAUCAGUCAAAGAAGAUCCUUUCACCGAAGAAGCUCCACAGCCCAAGAGUGCCACAGAUCCGACUGAGGUUGAAGUCCUAGCAGUGGUCGACUUGGUCAUGGAGGUCUUGGUGGUCAUCCCCGACUGGACAGUUCCGUAUAUCGCGUAUAUCCUGAGAAAAGAGCUUCCGGAGGAUGAGGAAGAGGCUCGACAUAUCGUCCGUCGAUCUAAAGCCUUUACCGUAAUCAAAGGACAGUUAUAUAGAGAAAGCGCGACUGGAGUUGGUCAGAAGUGCAUAACACCAGAAGAAGGUCAAAUCAUCCUUAAUGAUAUCCACUCGGGAACCUGUGGUCAUCAUGCGUCCUCUCGGACCAUCGUGGCCAAAGCAUACCGAGCCGGAUUUUACUGGCCAAAAGCGAAUGAGAUGGCAAAGGAAAUAGUGGAUAAGUGCGAGGGAUGUCAGUUCUACUCGAAUAUGUCGCACAAGCCUGCAUCAGCUCUGAAGACCAUUCCACUCGUCUGGCCUUUCGCAGUAUGGGGGUUGGACAUGGUCGGCCCUUUGAGAACAGGUCGGAAUGGCUUCACGCACGUACUGGUGGCAGUCGACAAGUUCACCAAGUGGAUUGAGGCUAAACCAAUCAAGAACCUUGACGCCGGUACUGUUGUUAGCUUCAUCAGGGAACUGAUAUUCAGAUAUGGAGUCCCGCACAGCAUCAUUACGGAUAAUGGGUCGAACUUUGACUCGAAGGAAUUCAGGGAUUUCUGCAACUCUCAAGGCACACGAGUCGACUACGCUUCAGUCGCCCAUCCGCAGACGAAUGGACAAGCAGAGCCAAUGGCCUGAUUCUCAAGGGAUUGAAACCCCGACUGAUGCGUGAUCUCAAGCAUGCAGCUGGAGCUUGGGUCGACGAACUUCCCUCGGUGCUUUGGGGACUGCGGACCACACCUAAUCGGUCGACCGGAAGAACUCCAUUCUUCUUGGUCUACGAAGCUGAAGCAGUUUUGCUGAGUGAUCUUCUCCACAAUGCUCCUCGAGUUGAGAUCUACAACGAAGCAGAAGCUGAACAAGCGCGGCAGGACGCAGUCGACCUUUUAGAGGAAGAAAGGGAGAUGGCUCUGAUCCGAUCGACCAUCUACCAACAAGAUUUGCGUCGUUUCCACGCCAGAAAUGUGAGGGGUCGAGCCUUCCAGGAAGGAGAUUUAGUUCUCCGAGUGGAUCAGAAGAAACAUCACAAGCUUGCUCCUUCUUGGGAAGGACCCUUCAUCGUCACCAAAGUUCUCCACAACGGGGCGUACCGUCUUUACAACGUCGAACAUAAUAUCGACGAGCCCCGAGCUUGGAACGCGGAACUACUCCGCCCAUUUUACACUUAAGUUUAUCACUCGGAUGAGUUGCAAUAAAGUACUCCUGUAGUUCAUGGAUUUCAAAAUAAUAGUGUCAUAGUUCCUCCAUAAUUUUUGUCACUUUUUAUUUUGUCCAAUAAANNNNNNNNNNNNNNNNNNNNNNNNNNNNNNNNNNNNNNNNNNNNNNNNNNNNNNNNNNNNNNNNNNNNNNNNNNNNNNNNNNNNNNNNNNNNNNNNNNNNNNNNNNNNNNNNNNNNNNNNNNNNNNNNNNNNNNNNNNNNNNNNNNNNNNNNNNNNNNNNNNNNNNNNNNNNNNNNNNNNNNNNNNNNNNNNNNNNNNNNNNNNNNNNNNNNNNNNNNNNNNNNNNNNNNNNNNNNNNNNNNNNNNNNNNNNNNNNNNNNNNNNNNNNNNNNNNNNNNNNNNNNNNNNNNNNNNNNNNNNNNNNNNNNNNNNNNNNNNNNNNNNNNNNNNNNNNNNNNNNNNNNNNNNNNNNNNNNNNNNNNNNNNNNNNNNNNNNNNNNNNNNNNNNNNNNNNNNNNNNNNNNNNNNNNNNNNNNNNNNNNNNNNNNNNNNNNNNNNNNNNNNNNNNNNNNNNNNNNNNNNNNNNNNNNNNNNNNNNNNNNNNNNNNNNNNNNNNNNNNNNNNNNNNNNNNNNNNNNNNNNNNNNNNNNNNNNNNNNNNNNNNNNNNNNNNNNNNNNNNNNNNNNNNNNNNNNNNNNNNNNNNNNNNNNNNNNNNNNNNNNNNNNNNNNNNNNNNNNNNNNNNNNNNNNNNNNNNNNNNNNNNNNNNNNNNNNNNNNNNNNNNNNNNNNNNNNNNNNNNNNNNNNNNNNNNNNNNNNNNNNNNNNNNNNNNNNNNNNNNNNNNNNNNNNNNNNNNNNNNNNNNNNNNNNNNNNNNNNNNNNNNNNNNNNNNNNNNNNNNNNNNNNNNNNNNNNNNNNNNNNNNNNNNNNNNNNNNNNNNNNNNNNNNNNNNNNNNNNNNNNNNNNNNNNNNNNNNNNNNNNNNNNNNNNNNNNNNNNNNNNNNNNNNNNNNNNNNNNNNNNNNNNNNNNNNNNNNNNNNNNNNNNNNNNNNNNNNNNNNNNNNNNNNNNNNNNNNNNNNNNNNNNNNNNNNNNNNNNNNNNNNNNNNNNNNNNNNNNNNNNNNNNNNNNNNNNNNNNNNNNNNNNNNNNNNNNNNNNNNNNNNNNNNNNNNNNNNNNNNNNNNNNNNNNNNNNNNNNNNNNNNNNNNNNNNNNNNNNNNNNNNNNNNNNNNNNNNNNNNNNNNNNNNNNNNNNNNNNNNNNNNNNNNNNNNNNNNNNNNNNNNNNNNNNNNNNNNNNNNNNNNNNNNNNNNNNNNNNNNNNNNNNNNNNNNNNNNNNNNNNNNNNNNNNNNNNNNNNNNNNNNNNNNNNNNNNNNNNNNNNNNNNNNNNNNNNNNNNNNNNNNNNNNNNNNNNNNNNNNNNNNNNNNNNNNNNNNNNNNNNNNNNNNNNNNNNNNNNNNNNNNNNNNNNNNNNNNNNNNNNNNNNNNNNNNNNNNNNNNNNNNNNNNNNNNNNNNNNNNNNNNNNNNNNNNNNNAAAAAAUCCUAGCGAGUGAAGAGCAAACCUCUCACUCGGGGGCUUAGCUGCAGCCCAGUGCUCGCCUAAGAUAUAAAAAUCCUACCGAGUGAAGAGCAAACCUCUCACUCGGGGGCUUAGCUGCAGCCCAGUGCUCGCCUAAGAUAUAAAAAUCCUACCGAGUGAAAAGCAAAUCUCUCACUCAGGGACGUAGCCGCAGCCCAGUGCUCGCCUAAGAUAUAAAAAUCCUACUGAGUGAAGAGCAAACCUCUCACUCGGGGGCUUAGCUGCAGCCCAGCGCUCGCCUAAAUGGAUUAAGGAAUAAGUCGACUGCAGUGAGCGUCUUGCUUUGAACCUGCAAAAGACAUUUCAAGCCAAAAGCAAUCAUAUUCAAACAUCAAAUUCAAGUUUGGAACGAUACCUAAAGGAACCGAAAGUGCUCAGGCGCUAAGCCUGUUAAGGGUUAUCGGUUACAACUCCACUCGGCAUACCGAGGCAAAUUUAAAGCGUCGAGCUUAAAAGAAGUUUUUUACCCCUCCUGUGGAGGGCUGGAAGGUGCAACAAAUUCAUCAAGAUCAAUUCCAUCUGCGAUCCGAGUGGCAGCAGCAAUGAAAGUUUCCAUAAAGGACCUGAAGUCGUGUUUCUUGGUGUUGGCCACCCGGAGGGCCGCCAGCUUGUCUUCUCGCGCAUCUUUGCAGUGGACUCGGGCCAGACACAGAGCAACAUCUGCACCACACCGAGCCGAGGACUUUUUCCACUCCUGCACUCGACCAGGGACAGUGUUCAAGCGAGCCAUCAGCGACUCGAGGUCGUUCUGGAGUGUCUCCCUGGGCCAGAGCGUUGAGUCGAUGCGGGAUGUGGCGACCUUCAGCCUUGCAAGAUAGUCCACGACAGCUGCAACACGGGACUCCAGUCGGAAAACAUUCAUAGCAACUUCGUCAUUCACCGGAGAAUUGACGGGGUCAAGGUUUGGUUCCAGCCGGCUAGUCUCUUCUUCAAAGUCUUGACAAAAUUCUGCAAGGGCGAUCACCGAGUCAAGGCAAUGGUCGAAUGGAAAAAUCACAGUUGAAAAUGAUUGUUGAGCGUAAAGGUCUACCUUCAAGCAUAAGGAACAGCUUCUUGGCAAGACCACUCAGGAAGGCCUCCAGAUCAUUUUUCUUCCCAAGAGCAGCUUUCAGAUUGGUAUUUUCUUGUUCAAGCUUGGUGACUGAAGCUAACUUCUCGUCAGCAAGCUUGAUCUUCUCAGCUAGUUCAAGGUCUUUUUUCUGUUGGGCCUCCUUCACCUUACCUGCAAGUUACAGCAAGAUCAGAUUUUGAAACAAAUAAAGGAAAAAAGCAGUCGUCGAAGUCUCACCAAACAUACCUUUGGUCUCCUCCUUUGCCUUCGUCAGAUUCUCCUGAGCCAGCUUCAAAUCCAGCUCGAGCUGAAUGUGCUUGUUUUCCAGCUCAGUGUAGCGAGCCGCAAGGUCACAGGAUCUCUGCGAAGAAUCAAUCGACUAAAUGUCAAAGAUAAUUCACUUCCGAGUGGAAAAAGAAAAAUCAUGCGUUUCUAAGACUACAGCCGAAUACAAGCAUUCGACCGUAGUCUCGGGGACUACACCCAGUGGGUGCACUCAGCGUGCCCCCACUAAUCCUAUUGAAGACAAAGUCGACCAGUCGACCUCAAAAAAAAAGCCUAAGGCCGACUGCCAGCAGUCGACCUUAGCCUUGGGGACUACACCCAGUGGGUGCACUCAGCGUGCCCCCACCGGUUUGCGAAAUCCAUUCGCCAUAGUCGAAUGACGGAAAGACUGAACUUAUAAAGCCUAAGGCCGACUGCCAGCAGUCGACCUUAGCCUUGGGGACUACACCCAGCGGGUGCACUCAGCGUGCCCCCGCUAACACGGAGUUUAAAUCGACACACCCAGUGGGUGAUUACUAUAAAUUCUGAAAAGAAAAGUUUUUGAUAGCAUAUCCUAACAGAGCAAGCGGUGGUCGACUGACCUGAACAUUGCUUUGAAGGGCGGAACUGGCGUCGUAAGCUGCCUGGCUCGCAUCCCGGAUGGUCUUCAACUGCUCCAUCAUGAUCCCUGCCUGGCGUAUCCCUCCUUCGCGGCGCCAGCUUGGUCCUCUGGGACGUGGUGCGUCGUGAAGAGGGAGGGCUGCAGAGCACUCGUCAGUGGAUCUGCGAAGGACACAGUGUGUCGAGUGGUGUUCUCCUCCUCCGCAACCAGAGUCUCAGGAACCGUCACAUCCUGGGGCACCCUGCCGGCAGACGCUUUCCUACUCCUUCUGUGCUUCAGCGGUUCCUCAUCUUCAUCAUCAUCAGGGAGAGUGAUAACAACAUCGGAUGGAGCUACAGAAAAGAAUCAGAAUUAGAGAUCAUGAGUCAGUCGACUAGAAACGGUGUUAAGAGUAUAGUACCAGGUUUUGAGGUUGCUGCGUCCUCCAUCUCAUGGUCGUCAGCCCGGGCUGAGGUUUCAGAAGUAGCAGCACUGCAACUCCAAAGAAUCAGUCGACUAACUCCAGCGCCAACCAGAGAUAAAGUUCGCACAAAACAAGAAGACUUAAACAACAUGAUUACCCUGAUAUGGUGGGGAUGGACACCUUCAUCUUCGGCAGGAGCUUGGUCGGCUUUGACGGGGCCGCCAUGGGCUGCUUCGACGCCUUUUCAGUCGGCGCCGGAGAGGUGGUCCGAGGGCGCUUGGUUGACUGUGUAACAGUCGCAACCCCCUUGCCACGUUCAGUCGCAGGGUCAUGGACAAGCUUCGACCGCCUUUCCGAGCGCGGUGGUGCGACCUCCUCCUCCUCCUCUUCUUCGUCCUCAUCAUCAUCAUCAUCAUCAUCAUCAUCAUCGUCAUCGUCAUCAUCAUCAUCCUCGGCGGCGUUCGAGUCCCACUCCUCCUCCUGGCUCUCGCCCCCGCUCGCUUCUCCCUCCUCGGUCGGAGCCUGGGCUCCGUUGGGCAUCGAGUACAGCUCAGUGAGGGCCUGAUAGACAUCAAGACAAAGAUCAGUCGACCGAUCAGCAGAGAAAACAGAAAUAAAUGUGACGAGAAUACAAUGGGAAGUGGAGCAGACAUACCUUGUUUGGAUCACUGUGGCAGUCGAGUGGAGGAAUCCUUCUGGCUCCGCGAGGGUUAUCCUUGUUCCCAGUAACAGCAGCCAUCCACCUUUCCAGAGUGGCAUCGUCGACUGCUUCUGGAUUGACCCGAGUCACAUCCUCAGUCCCACAGUACAACCACAUGCAAUGGCUCCGGAACUGAAGAGGCUGGAUACGACGCCUAAGAAAAACCUCCAGGAGAUCCAUACCCGUCACUCCCUCCCGAACCAACUGAACUACACGCUCCAUCAGCAUCUUCACGUCAGCUUUCUCCUCCGGAAUCACCUUCAGAGAGGAGGGCUUGUUCACUCGGCCCAUGGUGAACUGAGGGAGUCCACUCGACUGCCCCGGCGUCGACUGAUCCUGGCAGUAGAACCAGGUCGACUGCCAGCCUCUGACUGACUCGGGAAAUGUCAUGGCUGGGAAGGUGCUCUUGUUCCUCACCUGGAUCCCCAGACCCCCACACAUUUGGAAAACUCGGGUUUUUUCAUCGCCUGGGCUCGCCUUCUUCACGGUCUGAGAGCGACACGUGAAUAUGUGCUUGAACAAACCCCAAUGCGGUCGACAACCCAGGAAACUCUCACACAUGGACACAAACGCGGCAAGAUAGGCGAUAGAAUUCGGGGUGAAGUGGUGGAGUUGCGCUCCAAAGAAGUUCAAGAAACCACGGAAGAAAAUGCUCGGCGGCAAAGAAAAUCCGCGGUCGACAUGGGUAGCCAGAAGCACGCACUCACCCUCUUUCGGCUGGGGCUGCCACUCUUUCCCCGGAAGCCUCGCAGCUCCAUGAGGGAUCAGGCCCUCGUUGGCCAUGUCGAGGAGAUCCUUCUCCGUGAUGGUCGACUGUAUCCAAUCUCCCUGGACCCAGCCUUUCGGCAGGCGAGAUCUAGACGAAGACCCGCCACGACUGGUGGAUCUCCCCUUCGCCUUCUCCAUCGCCGACGCCUUCUUCGCGCGUUCCAACGCCGCCGUCUUCUCCUUGACCAUGGCUGCCGGCGGGACGCGCGAGGAGAAGUUGUGCGGAGGCGAGAGCGAGCGCGUUGGGCGGAGACGAAGGGAACAGAGGGAGAAUGCUGAGGCACUAUUCAAAAAACCCUCGCCGGGCGCAUUUAUAAGAUCCCUUCCGAGUGGAUGACAGGUGGGCCCGGUCGAUCUAAUCAUAUCUUGAACAGUUACGCGGACGCGAUACGUGGCAAAAAAAGUGGCGUGGGGAUCGAGGCGUCUAUGCCCUGUCCCGUCCGAACACCGCGGUCCGCCCCGCUUCGCGCGCUUCCCCAAAUUUCGCAUCCCGCGGAAUCCGCGAACGGCAGAUCGGUCUGCCAAACGCGGGAUUUCCUGCGAUCCGUCGCUCGGAAAUCGGCGAAAUCCAAAAGAUCACUCGACGAAAGAAAAGAAUGGAUCGAGUCGACUGAAGAAAGGUUGCUCACUAUCAACAAAGAGGUUUUUUGGUUCAAAACAACGCACGAUCAAAACAACGCACGACCAGUAUGCGAAGGCUAAUCAGAAACAACAUCAACUCCUUCAUCACUCAAGCCUCAAUCCAUUCGGGGGCUAAUGAUGGAGUCAUGUACCUAGGGUAGGGUCACAGACCUGAUCUAAGUACCCUGCCCAAGGACACCCUUAGAAGAGAUCACCUUCCAGUCGACCUACGAGGGACUCACUCGACUGACUUGAAGGACUCGACCACGAAGACUCACUCGACCACCAGAAGGUCAAGAGGCACUCUGCACUGCAACGGUCGGUAAUUAAGUAGACUUUAUGAUAGUAAAGACACUUUAUGUGGGGUGUUACCAGUAACGCCCCGGACUUAAUGUACCUUAAACCCUUCAUUACGUGGGUUGGCUGGAGUCCUGGCGCACUCUAUAUAAGCCACCCCCCUCCACAGGCAGAAGGGUUCGGCACCCUGUAAUCCAUAUACACAUAAUCCACUCGACCGCCUCCGGGCUCCGAGACGUAGGGCUUUUACUUCCUCCGAGAAGGGCCUGAACUCGUACAUCUCUUGUGCUUACAACCUCUCCAUAGCUAGGACCUUGCCUCUCCAUACCUACCCCCCACUCUACUGUCAGACUUAGAUCCACGACANNNNNNNNNNNNNNNNNNNNNNNNNNNNNNNNNNNNNNNNNNNNNNNNNNNNNNNNNNNNNNNNNNNNNNNNNNNNNNNNNNNNNNNNNNNNNNNNNNNNNNNNNNNNNNNNNNNNNNNNNNNNNNNNNNNNNNNNNNNNNNNNNNNNNNNNNNNNNNNNNNNNNNNNNNNNNNNNNNNNNNNNNNNNNNNNNNNNNNNNNNNNNNNNNNNNNNNNNNNNNNNNNNNNNNNNNNNNNNNNNNNNNNNNNNNNNNNNNNNNNNNNNNNNNNNNNNNNNNNNNNNNNNNNNNNNNNNNNNNNNNNNNNNNNNNNNNNNNNNNNNNNNNNNNNNNNNNNNNNNNNNNNNNNNNNNNNNNNNNNNNNNNNNNNNNNNNNNNNNNNNNNNNNNNNNNNNNNNNNNNNNNNNNNNNNNNNNNNNNNNNNNNNNNNNNNUCGAGCCCCGCCGGAGCCGCCCGCCCCGCCGGACGACCUCGCCGGAGGUAGCCGCACCGCCGUCAUUUUUUUAUAAAAACCCCUUCGGUUUUUUUAAGAAAAACCCUAGUUCGUUUUUUUAGAUCGGCUUUAUUUUUCUGGUUUAUUUACUUAGCGAGCGUUCGCUCGUUCGUUCAUUUUAACGAACGUGUUCGUCAUUUAGUUUCUGCUAACGAACGUUCGUUCAUUUAGCCGUUCAUCGUUUUUCUUUUUAUCGGAUUUAUUCCGCGAUUAUUCUGAUCGCGAUUUCUGAUCCGAUGUUCGAACCAGUUUAACUUUUCGCUCGUUUAUCGGAAUCAGGCGAUUCAAGCGCCUGGAGUUUCAUCUCGAAACCCUCUUUCCGAAUAAUCAACUCAAACAAGUUUUUGUCUCGGUAAAUUUGACCCUAGUUCAGAUUAGUAAAUGGAUCUUGUUUCUUUUGCCGUUUGAGUUUCGUUGUUACGUUUGGUUUGUUUCUUUUUGUGAACCGGAGUUCUUAAGUUGAACUCUCCGGUCAACCUCUUUUAUUUGGAGCUUUACUUGUGCAUCUUGCUAGUUGCUUAUGUAAGUUAUUGUUUGUUUGCAAUAGAAUUCCCGGAGUGCGAAGCGUGUUACUACGAGUCUCUAGGAUUCACGGAUCGUCAGCAAGGCAAGUAACACUUUGAUCAUACUCUUUUCAUACCCAGUUUUUAUGCAUUAGUUUCAACCCUCAAACAUUGCAUGGUUAGGAUGUCAUUAACUUGUGGGUUGGGAAGUAGUUGCUGAGGUAGAACCUAUUGCCCUGUUCAUUAUCAAACCCUUGGGAGUUAUUUCUGCGCGUUGCUUAUAUUGGUAUGCUAUGCUUGUAGACGUGGAUUGGGUUUGAGUGUAUCCAUGACAGAUGUGAGUUUGUUAAUUAAUGGUUUAUUUAAGGUGGCAACUUUAAUACACAUCUAGGUGGAUUGAGGCACCUGGGGAAUCCAGUGUUGUCUGUUUUAUUUUUGGAAAUCCCAGGGUUACCGUGUGAUCUUCCUAUGGACCGCCACCCAGGCUCAAAGGGAACUGAGUCUAUUCAUGCUAGAAACUUUCGUGUGCAGCCACAAGCUAUUAUGGGCUCUAGCAUAGUUGAGUAAGUUACGUGAAGCUCUUGAAGAGGUAGAUCAGUAGGUAGUGGGUUUUGUAGGUUUGGUAUGGUCUACCUAGAGUAGAGAGUUAAUGUUUCUGAAAGACUGUGUCUUGGUCAUCCGUUUCUCAAACACCAUGCAGUGCGAGAAACCAACGGAGGCGAUCGAGUCUUGUGGGGAAAAGUGCGCAAACCUCUGCAGAGUGUACAAUCUAAUCAUGGUUAGCCGUGUCCCUGGUUAUGGAGAAUUCUGAGUAUCUAGUACUUGAGUAUUCACAUGUAUCUCAUCACUCUAAGUUAAUAUUGCUGGGUUGUUAAUUAUCUUAAUUGGGAUUGAGUUGGGGUUAUACCUUCUCAAUGAUGUUUCAACCACCAUGAUAGUUAAAUUAAAAAUAUAUUCCUUUGUUGUAGGGGAAAAUUGGCUUUUCGCAAAAACUGUAACCAUAGAGCUUUCCACCAGCCAAAUAUGCAUGUAGUGGUAGCAUUAUUCUGUUAUUGCUCUAUUGUGUUACAUUGCCAGCAUAUUCCAUGUGCUGACCCGUUCUCGGGCUGCAACGUAUUAUGUUGCAGACUUUUCAGACGAGAAGUAAGGUUCGGUAGGUCGUUGCCGUGCAGCUCAGCUAUGUCGUUGGAGUUGAUGGACUCACUUUAUCUUGCAAGCCUUCCGUUGUUAUCGUAUUAGAUGGCCUUAAGCCAUAUUUGUAACAAGUUCUAUUUUGAGACAUUCGAUGUAAUAAGUGUGUGAUUGCUACUCUGUUAUAAAUCCUUCGAGUACUGUGUGUGUUAGCAUUACCGAUCCAGGGAUGACACAGAAGCACAGAGACUUGACCAUCUGAGGUCGGGUCGCUACAAGAUGGUAUCAGAGCACAUGCUGAGUGUAGGACACGACCACUAAGAUAAACCCUAGGUCACUCUUCUCUACUCAUUUCUGACUCCUCUCCAUUUUCCACUCUUUAGGAUGACGGAGAAGAAGAACAAGUUCGCGCAACCAGAUGAAGACACACCUUUUGGACGCCACCUGAAGGAAGUCACUAGGUACUUGAAGAUUGGAAUACCAAGCUUCACCGGGACGUACAACGCCACUUUACCAGAAGAAGAGCGCUGGAUGAUUCAAGUAUGAGUUCCAGGAAGGACGUUCUCGCCAACUUCCAAACCCAUAGAGUUUUCUUUCGAAGCACCCACCUGGAGCCUUGGCAAGAGUAUGGCAGCUCAUAUUACCAUGGGACGCAUUGGAGAAGUCUACAACAGGGAGCUUAAGGACACCACAUAUCAAAUAUGUGGGCGCCGAGAUGAACAAUGGGAGAUGAUCAGCACCAGGAAGGAUAGAUCUUUCGCAGCUUUUAUCCAGGAGCUAAACCAGCACAUUCGAUGUCAGGAGAACCAGAUGUGCGCAGAUAUGAUGGAGAUGAAGAAGGCGAAAACUAGGAUCAUCGAGCUGGAGGAAGAACUCAAGUUUACACGUGAUGGAUAUGAGGAGGAAAUCAAGACCCUACUGGAGAAGAAUGACGACCUAGUCAAGAAGAUCGGAGUCUUCAUGGGAGGACCAGCCCCGAAAGAAGAGGAAGACAAUCCCACUUGUCCGGACAACUACAUCAUCAUCGACGACACCGAUUCCGAUCCAAGUGAUGAUGACUACAAAGAUGAAGCUGGAGCAGACAUCAUGGAGUCUUCCACCGAUCAAAAUUUCUAGAUGACCACCAUAUAAUAGUAGUAUUUCCCCCCAUGUAACUAGUAGUAGUUGAGCACCUUUGCGAUAGUCCUAGACCGUUUUGUAUGCCCUUGCUUGAUUGAUUGAAUGAAUGUUUGUGUUUGCCUCAUAUGCAUAUGGGUAGUGUUUCUCCCCUAGAUCUUUUUCUAUUCUAAUCUCUUCCAUCUAAACCCAUCAGAUGCCUCCGAGAAGAGACCCUGAUUUUGUUUUCCCGCCUGAGAUCACCCAGUUGAUCCAGCAGUAGAAUUCCUUGAUGCAAUUGCUAGUGAUAUGUGUUUUGCUUGGAGCAUCAUUUUCUUUUGUUAGUAUUUGCUUGCUGUUAUUUAGAUUAAUGUUUUGCAUCUUUAGUUUCAAUAAAGAAGUCAAGGAUAGCCUUUGCCAUGCUUAUUUUGCUAGUAUACAUGUUGCUAUUUGAAAACAGGAAGUUUACCGAUGUUGCAAAAAUUCCCUAGAAAAGUCAGAGAAUUGUAUAAUGUUAAAUUUUUUGCAUAAUGAGCUCUGAUAAAUUUACUACAGUGGGAAUUUUGUUUCAUAAUUUUUGGAGUUAGGGAAGUAUUGAUACCCUUGCAUUCUUUAUAGACUAUACUGUUUUGGCAUAUUGCUGUUAUGGUUGCAUUGUUUGCAUAUGUUUGCUUGUUUAAUGAUUCUAUUUGAGGAUAGGAGUAUUAAAUAUGCAGAGGCAUAGUAUUAAAUGUUGAAUAAUAAUUUUAGUGAUUUGUUACAGUAUAAAUUGAUAAGGUUUUGCAUUGGUUUAUACUAACCUAUCUCACGAGUUCUUGUUGAGUUUGUUGUGGAUGAAGCUUUUGAAAAAUAUAGAAACCACGAUAUGAGAGGAACUAAGGAGACACAAAAGUUCAAGCUUGGGGAUGCCCAAGGCACCCCAAGAUAAUAUUUCAAGAAGUCUCAAGCAUCUAAGCUUGGGGAUGCCCCGGUAGGCAUCCCAUCUUUCUUCUUCAACAACUAUCGGUUAGUAUCGGUUGAGCCUAAGUUUUUGCUUCUUCACAUGAGUUGUGCUAUCCUUGCAAUGUCUUUUUAUUUUGCUUUGCUUGCUAUUUGGAUACAAUACCAAGAUCUAAAAUUCCUUAAUGUUAGAGAGUCUUCACAUAGUUGCACAAUUAUUCGACUACUCAUUGAUCUUCACUUGUAUCUUUCGGAGUAGUUUGUCAUUUACUCGUGUGCUUCACUUAUAUCCUAUGAGUAAAUUGUUGAAUGAGUUGAAUGUCAUAAAUCUGAAAUUAUAUAUGCCUCAUUUGCUUAUCCAAUAGGGAGUAUUGACUCCACAUCUAAGAAUUAGAGGUUGUAAAUUUAUUUAAGGUUAGCAAGCGUUGUAUUGGUCAUUUGAACAAUUCAUGAAAGAAUAUUGAAGGAACAGAGAUUUCACAUAUAAAUACACUAUCCUAGACAUCUUUUAUAAUUGGGAGCACUCAUUAAGGAUGACAUGCUAAAGAGUUGAUGUUGGACAAGGAAGACAACAUAAUGGGUUAUGUUUUCCGACAUCUCAGUUAAAGUAUAUUGUCAUGGAUCAUUCAAACAUGUUGAGCUUGCCUUUCCCCCUCAUGCUAGCCAAAAUUCCUUGCACCAAGUAUAGAUACUACUUGUGCUUCCAAAUAUCCUUAAAACCCAGUUUUUGCCAUGAGAGUCCACCAUACCUACCUAUGGAUUGAGUAAGAUCCUUCAAGUAAGUUGUCAUCGGUGCAAGCAAUAAAAAUUGCUCUCUAAAUAUGCAUGACUUAUUAGUGCGGAGAAAAUAAGCUUUGUAUGAUCUUGUUAUUGAAGAAAUAAAAGCGACGGACUGCAUAAUAAAGGUCCAUAUACAAGUGGCAAUAUAAAGUGACGUUCUUUCGCAUUAAGAUUUUGUGUAUCCAACCCUAAAAGCGCAUGACAACCUCUGCUUCCCUCUGCGAAGGGCCUAUCUUUUACCUUAUGUCUUUUACUUUAUGCAAGAGUCAAGGUGAUCUUCACCUUUCCCUUUUUCAUUUUAUCCUUUGGCAAGCACCUCGUGUUGGGAAGAUCCUGAUAUAUAUAUCCAAUUGGAUGUAAGUUAGCAUGAAUUAUUAUUGUUGACAUCACCCAAAGGUGAAUACUUGGGAGGUAACACUAUAAGCCCCUAUCUUUCUCAGUGUCCGAUUGAAACUCCAUAACCAUUAGUAUUGCGUGAGUGUUAGCAAUUGUAGAAGACUAUAUGAUAGCUGAGUAUGUGGAGUUUGCUAUUCCUGAAAAUAAGAUGAAUUGCGAUUGUUUAAUGACUAAGAAUGAAGUUUGCUAGUUUUCAAGAAAGUUUAUGGUCUAUGCUUUAACAUGUGAAUUGUUUGUUACUUUAUUGUGAGAAGUUUUAUGAGAUGAACUACUGUUAUGACAUAUUAUCAUGCUAGAAAAGGUGAUUGAAAUUAUCAUUGAUCAAACUUGUGCACCUUCUAGAAUUCACACUUCAUAAAUUCUUUCUUUUAUCAUUUACCUACUCGAGGAUGAGUAGGAAUUAAGCUUGGGGAUGCUGAUACGUCUCCAACGUAUCCAUAAUUUAUGAAGCAUUCAUGCUAUUUUAUUAUCUGUUUUCAAUGAUUAUGGGCUUUAUUAUACACUUUUAUAUUACUUUUGGGACUAACCUACUAACCGGAGGCCCAGCCCAUAUUGUUGUUUUAUUGCCUGUUUUAGUAUUUCGAAGAAAAGGAAUAUCAAACGGAGUCCAAACCGAAUGAAACCUUUGGCAACGUGAUUUUUUGGAAGAAUAUGAUCCUAGAGACUAGGAGUUCACGUCAGAAGAUCCUCGAGGAGGCCAGGAGAUAGGGGGCGCCCCCCCCCCUACCGGGUGCGCCCCCCUGUCUCGUGGGCCCCUCGAGCACCCCCCGACCGACUUCUUUCGCCUAUAUAGUCCCACGUACCCUAAAAACAUCCACGGAGAAGAUAGAUUGGGAGUUCCGCUGCCGCAAGCCUCUAUAGCCACCAAAAACCUCUCGGGAGCCCGUUCCGGCACCUUGCCGGAGGGGAACCCAUCACCGGUGGCCAUCUUCAUCAUCCCGGCGCUCUCCAUGACGAGGAGGGAGUAGUUCACCCUCGGGGAUGAGGGUAUGUACCAGUAGCUAUAUGUUUGGUCUCUCUUUCUCUCGUAUUCUCUCUAUGGCACGAUCUUGAUGUAUCGCGAGCUUUGCUAUUAUAGUUGGAUCUUAUGAUGUUUCUCCCCCCCCCUCUACUCUCUUGUGAUGAAUUGAGUUUUCCUCUUGAAGUUAUCUUAUCGGAUUGAGUCUUUAAGGAUUUGAGAACACUUGAUGUAUGUCUUGUCGUGCUUAUCUGUGGUGACAAUGGGAUAUACACGUGAUCCACUUGAUGUAUGUUUUGGUGAUCAACCUGCGUGUUCCGCCCAUGAACCUAUGCAUAGGGGUUGGCAUACGUUUUCGUCUUGACUCUCCGGUAGAAACUUUGGGGCACUCUUUGAAGUACUUUGUGUUGGUUGAACAGAUGAAUCUGAGAUUGUGUGAUGCAUAUCGUAUAAUCAUGCCCACGGAUACUUGAGGUGACAAUGGAGUAUCUAAGUGACAUUAGGGUUUUUGUUGAUUUGUGUCUUAAGGUGUUAUUCUAGUACGAACUCUUGAAUAGAUCGAUCCGAAAGAAUAACUUUGAGGUGGUUUUGUACCCUACCAUAAUCUCUUCGUUUGUUCUCCGCUAUUAGUGGCUUUGGAGUGACUCUUUGUUGCAUGUUGAGGGAUUGUUAUAUGAUCUAUCUAUGUUAUUAUUGUUGAGAGAACUUGCACUAGUGAAAGUAUGAACCCUAGGCCUUGUUUCCUACCAUUUACGCUCACUUUUAUCAUUAGUUACCUUGCUGUUUUUAUAAUUUCAUAUUACAAAAACCUUUAUCUACUAUCCAUAUUGCACUUGUAUCACCAUAUUGCACUUGUAUGUAAUUCACGGGCCACGUUCCUUGUGAUCUGUUCUGGUAUCAAACACAAUACUUAUUCCCAUUGCUCUGAACCCCUUUCACCAUCUAUUUCAGGCAAUGAACGAUCGCCUACCCGGUUGAACCUUCUUAUUGCACCUUCUUACCUUGCUCUCGAUGACUUUCUUGAAUUUUAACUUGAGAGAUGCCUCUAUGCCACAUUCAAUGAGAUAGCCCCCAGGUACCUAUCAUGUGACGAGCUCCGUCCUUCCCGAGUCUUUCCCCUUACUCCACCCCUUGAAUCUCGGGACGAGAUUUCUUGUAGUGGAGGAGAAUUGUGACGCCCGGAUAGUUAAGCUACAGUAACCUCCGCUAAUGAUGCCACGUCACCGCGUUUACUGUUGUUAAAACUCGCGUUGGUUCGAAUCCGGUCCAAAUUCAAAAUUUAAAAUAAAGUAAAACACAUUAUCUCUUCAAGCAGUAAACUAAAAUGUUCAUCUUGUGCCAAAUAAUCCACAAUGAAUAUUUGUGGUGAACCUAUUUUUUUAAGUAUUUAAAUGGCCUAAGCUAUUUGAAACUGAUGCUUAAGAAAAAGAAAAGGGAGAGAGAGAGAGAGCAACCCCCUCCCUGGACCGAACCCACCUGGGCUGGCCCACCUAACCCACCCGAGCCAGCCCAGUUGCCCCCCUCGCACCAAUCUCUCCCCCUCCCCCGCCAUGUUCCUCGGUCUCAGACCGCAACAGGGGCAUCACCGCCGAACCCACCUCGCCGGCCACACUGCUACAGGCGCCGCGGGGAGGAUAAGGACGUCAGCGUUGACCCCAUGCCCCCCGAGAGAUCUUCCCUCCCUUCCCCACGAGCUGCUGCUUGCCCUCUCCGCCUCUCCCAAUCCCCAUCGCAUCCGAGCGCCACCGUGGCCCCGCCGCCGUAAUGCACGCGGUCCCCGACACCGCCUCGCCUCGCCUCCGCGCCAAGGACCGCCUCGACCUCCUCUUCCUCCCAGAUGAAUCACCCAAGCAGGAGCGCCCAUGCAUCAUCCCCUACGUCGUCGUCUUCCUCCUCUGCUCCGACGAGCUUCGCCGUCGAAUCCGCCACACCGAGCCCUCCUCGAGCCCACUUGAGCACACCUAUAGGACCAACAUGAGCACGGGCCUCUUUCCCCUCUCUUCCCCGCGCGUUUCCACCGCCGUAGCUGCUCCUCCCCGUCAUGCCCGAAUGCAGCUCCGCCUGAGCUCGUCGCCGGCGAUGCUCCGGCGACCAAAUGACAUCGGCCCCGUGCGCAACUCUCUCGCCACUUCGCCUAGAUCCCAACAAGCACACGCACGCGGCUCACCGUGCCAUGCAGCCCCCUGUUCGCCGCUCACCGGAAACCCACCACCACCUGACUCGCCGCUGGUGACGUUCCCGGCCGUCCCCGGCCACGCCACCACCUCCAUUCGACGCGGUGUGGACUGGCCAUUCGAACGGACCUAACCACAGCCCUGGAGAUGCCCUGUGGGCGAAACCUGAAGCUCACCCGCGCCUCGCCGCCGCGUUGGAGCUCGCCGGAGCAACUCCGACGAGGCCAGCCGGCCUGGGGCCACCCCUGGGUCGCUGACCCGUGGGCCCAAGGGGUCCGACCGGCCUGUUGCCCGGUCCACCAUGCUGACUGGACCGGCCCGUGCAACUGACAGAUGGGGCCCAUCGCCCCCUAAUUAACGAAAUUAACUAAGCUAAUUUAGUUAACAUAAUUAGACACUAACAUGUGGGCCUAGUAGUUUAACUAACUAUGUUUAGAUUAGUUUUUUAACUCUGUUUAACCCACUGUCUAUGACUGGUGGGACCCAGCCGCCAGGUUUGACCUAGACUGGCUGGGUUGACUGCUGACGUCGUGAUGACGUCAGGCUGACAUCAUAAUUCCAAUUUUGAAUUAGUAAUAAAUUUCAGAAUAUUAUUAAAACUUUGAAAAAUCAUAUAAAAUAAACCGUAGCUCGGAUGAAAAACUUUUCUACAUAAAAGUUGCUGAGAACGACGAGGCGAAUCCGAAUACGCGGUCCGUUCAUCUGUCACAUGCCCCUAUCAUAGCAAACAUGCAAUCUUUCCCUUCCGUUUCAUCUGUCCGAAAAUGCCUAACUCUGGGAAAACUUCCCGAAUGUUAUCACCCUUCGCCGGUAUUGUGUAGCACCGUGUUAGAAUGUGUCUAGCUCUGCCUGUUGUCCUGUUAUGCUCUUGCUUCCUAUGUACUAGAUCGGGAUCGCGCCUUGGCGCUAGGGUGCCGGUCCCAAUGUUUUGAUGAAACAAGUAGUGGCAAGUUAGUAGGAAUUUACGUUUAGCGUAUGAAUUCAAACAUGGUAACAAAAUGAAGUGAAGAAAAAACUUUUGUUUGUGACAGAAGAGAUAAUGGAGUUCAAUAUCGGCAUAAGACUAUAAGGCAACAUCAAAUUCAGCAUGUUCAUAAGACCACAAAAGAUAACCACUCGUCAUUAAGUUCGAUACCAAAUAUAAGAGCGAAAGUAAUUAAAGUAGGAACAUAAUGCAGAGCCCAUGCUUUUAGCAAAGAGAGCGUUUAUCUUACAUAGAACAUGUACUUGUGGAUUAGUAGGUGAUAUGAGCAUGCUGCAGGAGAGUAUAUUGGAAUUUUACCUUCACUGUCAGUAUAGUAGCUCAAAGCUUGACGCAUCAAGUUUGGCAAAAAGGAAUAGGUCAAAAGCUACACAAUAUGAUAAAUCAGAAUUAAAGCAAGUUAUUUAUAUAGAAAGCAAAACACUCCAUAGGUCAUUCAUAACAAUUAGAUCAAAGUCAUUUGUACAUACAGAGACUGAAGGUUGAGUAGUGCAUUAGAGAGUAGUCAUACAGUACAGAAUACAUAUCCCAUUGCUCAGGACAAAAGUGUAGAAAAGCAUGAUCACACUGAUUAUGUUCUAUGAGUACAUCUUUCGACGGUAAAUGGCUCUACGAACUCCAAGAUGAUCCAACAUGAUAUAAAGAAUGAUCCUGGCCGAGAUUAUCACAAUAGUAUGGCCAACCUGAGCCGUCGGAAAUGGUUAAGAGACAACAUAAGUAAGUGGUUGAAAUAUAUAAGCAAUAAAAGAAAGUACAUGCGUAGGACAACAGACCAAUUCCAAUUGGAUUUCUUGCACAAACAAAGAUACAUGAUACAAAGCCUACAAAGCAAGUUGAUAACUUUCAGCAAACCUUGAUAGGUGGACGGGCCCAAUAAGAACUAAAAACUUUUACAUCAUAUUCUGCUAGGUGUCUUUAAUUCUUUUCAACAUGAGAAUGCAACAAACUCAUUUCUGUGUGAAACCUCAGACGUUAAUGGCUACCUCAUAGAGUCAAUCCAGAGAUAUGGCAUGUAUCACCAUCGAGCAAGCAUACAGAAUUCAUCUAUAAAAUUUACUCCUAUAAACUAAAUCAAGCUAGCAUGCACAGUUCUUAUCCAAACAUGAUUACAUCUCUUGGGGUCUGGUUACCCAAAUCCAACCAGAGAUUCUCACGGGAGGGGGGCAUAGAAGAGCAAAAGGAGCUUACUUGCAAGAAGAAGCGAGAGUCCAGCAAAAGGAGCUUACUUGCAAGAAGCUAGAAUCCAGGGUCGCGCAAGUGCUAGACAUGUCGUCACAAGCAACAUUACAGCUCUUGAUCCAGACCCCCUCCUUCGCUGUAUGAUGCCACUUGAAAAUAGAGCAUUUUACUGGGAGGGAAAAAGCAUGGCUCAUUAGGCAUUGUGUAGGCUCCACCCUUUACACAAAGGUGUAGAAAAGGCACACUAAUUGUAAGAUAACAUGUCCAUGUAUAUUCAAUUAUCAAGGCCAAAUACACUAAUUGUAGAAAAGCACACUAAUUGAAAGAUAACAUGUUCCUAUGUAGUUAAACCCUAAUGGACCACGAUCGGCCAAACAUGCCUCAAUGGCAGCUCCCCCCUCAUCAGCAUGGUUACCAAAACAUAGAUGAUUGUUCGCACAUCUUAUUUCCACUUUUCACGUGUUUCAUGCCUAGCUGAAGUUCCUGGUAAAUAUUUUCCAAAAACCAUCUUGCUAUCAGAGAAAACUCCAAAGCCUGGGAAGUAUAACCAGAACACAAGAACAUGAAUAAAGUUGAAAACUUUAUAUACAUAUAUGGUGUUCAAUUAAGCAAAACAUGAUCAGUCAUACAAGGAGAUAAAGGAAGAAAAUAACAAUACAAAAGUACGUCAUUAUUUAAACUGAUUAUGUUCAAAGUCCCCAUCUGAUUUAUACUAAGGAGUUGAAUAUUUGAUACAACUAAUAAAGCAAACCACCAUAAAGGUUUCUUCUAAUUGCCAAAUUUUACAGUUAGAAAAACCACACUAUUAAUAUGUAACAGACGUGGAACAACUAAGCAUGUCAACCACUAUAUUUACAUCAUCCGACGAACUGGAUGUGGCACCAAUUGCUUUUGUUGCGUCAACAACUUUGAUAUUCUGUGUUAAGCGGCAUAUAUGUAUUGUAGUUAGUUGCAACCGGUCAAUAAUUAGCAAGUACAACCUCAAAAAUUCAAUUGUCAGGCAAGAUUACCAUUUCAAAACUAUUGAGAGAUUACCCAAAACCCAAAAGUGUUGUUCUGCAUAGAACACUAAUUAGAUCAUGGGAAUUUGGAGCAAGAUCUUAACACCAAUAGUAGACACGUAAUUUUCAGAAGUGGUGACACUACCUUGUGAAACACUGUCGGGGAAACUGAUCCUCGAACACCUAUGGGGCCGGCGGACCGGGCCCCUUUCGGUUCGGCGGGGGGCGGAGAUCGCACGAAGAGCAGAUCGAGGCGAGGCACACGAGCAGUUUACCCAGCUUCGGAGCUCUCCGGAGAGAUAACACUCCUACUGCUGCUUGUCUGGUUGUAUUAUCUGGUGUUCUUGCUCUCCAAAGCGAAAGUGUGAUGUUCUCUGGGCUACGGAUGGAUCGAAGCAAACUGUCUGAGGCUUCGAACCCAUGAGCCGAACCCCCCCCCCUACGUUGCGCAUGGGCCUCCUUUUAUAUGCUAAAGGGGUCACCGACAGGUGGCAACGCAGAGGAGGGUAAAAACGUAAAAAGCGAGGUAGUUGAUACAGUUGCUUGUACAGUGCACCCUACCUAACCCUGACGGCAGGGGACAAGGGCAUUAAAUGCCCGUCUGAGUCGCCCAAACAGUGCAGAAAAGGACCGUUAGGGGCGCCACCGUUCGCCACGAUGGCGAUCUUGUCAGCUUCGCAUGCCACUGCGCACCGCUGGCUGCACAGCCUCCCGCCACGCACGUCCGGAGGGGCCCCCAGAGCGACACGUUGGUGGAUGCGCUGGAGCGUGGACGCAGAGUGGCCGCCUGCCGCGGCAAGCGCCUUGCCACUGUUGUUAUCUUGUCGGGUCCAGAAGCUUGUCGCUCACCGGGCUUCGAGGUACCUUGGUUUGUCUUCCCGGCAAGCUCCUCUUGCCGGGGCCUUGUUGCCUUGCCGGAGCGCGUGGCGCGUUGCGGCAAGUUUAUUGGAGCGCCUGGUUGGCCUUCCCGGCAAGCUCCUCUUGCCGGGGUCUUGUCUCCUUAGCUUAAAAUACUUUGUUCUUGGAUGGCUCCAAGGGAACCUUGGGGGAUCUUGGCGAUCGCCCGGCAAGCCUCUGCCGCGGGGUGCUGCAACUGCCCGUGCACAAGUUCGGGGUACUAGGGUACCCCUAAUCUAGUACACCGACAGGAGCCCCCGGGUCUGGGCCAGACACGGUGCCGAGCGUUGUUGGGCCAGGCCCAAUACAGGGCACGGGCACACGCGGGCUGGGCCACGCCAAAUCUUGUUCCGUAUCCAGCGCACUCUCCCAUAACGGCACGCGUUGAAUGCGGCAUCGUGGGAGAGAUCGUGGGUGGUUGUUUAAGCGGAAGGCCGAAACAUCCGCCCCGUCCCUCUUUAUAAGCAGAGGAAACAGGGGCAGUUCGUUCUCCCUCGCUGCUUGCUGCUACUCCUUCUUCACAAACUCCGNNNNNNNNNNNNNNNNNNNNNNNNNNNNNNNNNNNNNNNNNNNNNNNNNNNNNNNNNNNNNNNNNNNNNNNNNNNNNNNNNNNNNNNNNNNNNNNNNNNNNNNNNNNNNNNNNNNNNNNNNNNNNNNNNNNNNNNNNNNNNNNNNNNNNNNNNNNNNNNNNNNNNNNNNNNNNNNNNNNNNNNNNNNNNNNNNNNNNNNNNNNNNNNNNNNNNNNNNNNNNNNNNNNNNNNNNNNNNNNNNNNNNNNNNNNNNNNNNNNNNNNNNNNNNNNNNNNNNNNNNNNNNNNNNNNNNNNNNNNNNNNNNNNNNNNNNNNNNNNNNNNNNNNNNNNNNNNNNNNNNNNNNNNNNNNNNNNNNNNNNNNNNNNNNNNNNNNNNNNNNNNNNNGCAUCACCACGCCGUCGACCUUCUCCACCACCUCCGCCAUGGCCCCGAAAGCCGACAAGGGAAAGGGCGUGAAGUCGGCCGUGGCGCAGCGGCUCGCGGCGCUGCGGAAGGAGCGGGCGAUCUUCACCCCCCAGCUCGGAGUGCAGGAGCUGAGGGAGUACUUCUACCUCUUUUGGGCGACGGAGACGCGUGCGCAUCCGCGCACGAGGGUACUCCCGGCCGCUGCCUCGGAGUCGGCUCCAAAUGGGUACCCGUUCUUCCCGCUAUUCUUCUACUGCGGGCUCUGCCCGCCCUUCUCGGAAUUCUUUUGUGACAUUAUGAACACGUAUGGCUUCCGCCUCCUUGACUUCACCCCCAACGCUGUCCUGACCAUGGCGGUUUUCGCACACUUGUGCGAAAACUUUGUCGGAGUCCACCCUAGUGUAGCCCUUUUCCGCCACUUCUUCAUACCUCAGGUAGAGAGAGGAGAACCGCUUGCCGGAGGGAUUGCCUGGGUCUCGAGAGUCGGAAAGAAAGAGGCGUACUUGGAGGGUGAGCUUCACAGCAAGUGGGAGGAGUGGAGAGCGGAGUGGUGUUGGAUCGUCGAGGAGGAUCCGCAGCCCUUCACCGUCGUGCGCCAAACUCCAAUAGUGCGCGGCAAUGACUGGAGCAACAUGGCCCCGGAAGACGAGAGGCUGAAGAUCGCCAUCACUAGGAUUCUUCGCCUCAGGCUUGCCGGGCUCACCGUAGGUGCUGUCGGGGCAGAUUUCCUCCGCCGCCGCAUUGCCCCUCUGCAGGAGAGGAGGAGGCCCGCCUGGGAAUUCAAGAAUUCAGCGGACAUCAUGAGGCUACGGCCGGGCCUCAACUACAACUUCACUGUCUUGGAGUUGGACGCAAUGCUCUUGGAAUUAUUCAAACGCGACCCCCAGCACCCAUUCACAUUGCCGAGGGGUGUAGUUCCUUUGUGCAAUAACUCUUCACUUGACCGGAUCCGCGCCAUGAUGCCGUUGUGCGAUUCACACGGCAUCGUCCCAACUUGGCAAGAGCCUGCGGACGACGUUGUGCGAGCGUUCUUCGACACCUUGGAGGAAGUGCCAGUCCGCGCCGACGAGCAGAAGAGCCUCACCCGUGACACCACCGACGAGGAGCUGCAACUCAUCGCUACUAGGGCGGAAGAGGCUGCGGCUGCAGCUGUUGCGGGUGUGUUUGGGUUCACUGUGGAGGAGGCGGAAGCUGCAGAGGCGGCAAACCUUGCCGAACGCGCGGAGUUCAUGGGCGAGGAGGAGCCUGCCGGUUCUGAAGCCGAGUCGAGCGAGGCCGGCGAGGACGAGGCUGAACCUUCAGAGAGCUUGCCGCAGGCGGAGCCCCCGGUCCCGCCAAGGAGGCGCCUUCAUAGGGCCGGGGACGUAGCAGGGCGGCAGCCGGCUCCACAGCCACCGAGCCGCGCGACGCGCUCUACCGCGGCAAGCAUUGUUGCCGCGGGAGCGCCUCACGCAACAGCGGCAACUGGAGCGGGACCUUUCCGGGCCACCGCCACUGCCCCCGCCAAGCGGGCAAGGGAUCCUACUCCUCCACCUCGCCGCACCGGAGGAGGGCCGGACUUCGAUCUUUCCGCGCUCAGCUCCGAUGAGGAGGAAGAAGAGUGAGUUUCUUUGGUGCCCUUAUAAUCCUUCAAUCUUGCUGUUUAUAUCUUGUAUCUGACUUGCUCCAAUCUGGACUCUUUUCUUUUCAGAACACUGGCCCAGAGAGCGGCGAAGAGGGCCAAGGCCAUGGUGAUCCCAUCGCGUCGGCAGGCGGUGGGUCCGAGACCACCUUGACGGACCUGGCAAUCACCCCUCGGAGCAGCCCCCAGCGCAGCCCCCAGCGUAAGUUCAUAGUUUAUCCUUCUGCUGUCGGGCGCGUUUGAGUGCUUUUCCUUUGUUGAUAUCUUGCUUGUUGACUUGUGCAGGAGCAGAGCAGCCUCAUCAGGAGCGCCCGGAGGCCGAUCUUGAAGUGCCACCUGCUUCGACUGCUCCACCAAGGGAGGAGUCCCCGGCAAGGGAGCGCUCUCCGGCAAGGGGGGACUCUCCGGCAAGGGAUGACACUGCUGAUCCUGCGGCAACCGCGGCCGCAACUGAAGAUCUUGGCGCAGGUAAUCCAUUUGCCCAGAAACUUUCCCUUGGGUUCUGCUUCUUUCAUUUUUCCUUUCUUGGAUUCUUGAUUGAUUUUCCUCCCCUGUUCGUUCUUCAGACCCAUCUUCGGCUGAGCCAAUGGAGACUGAGGGCCCCGACGAGGAAAGUGUCGGUGCUGAUGCGACCACCGGCGAGGAGGCCGCCGGGGCUGUUGCUGCGGAAGCCGGCGAGGGGUCGGGCGAUCGCACUGACGACCCUGAGGCCGCAGGAGCGCCGGGCGCUGCACCGACCGCCGAACCCUCUGCCGCUUCUGCGGAGCCGGGCUCCGAGGAGCCCCAGUCCGGCGCCUAUUUGAAGGCCGGCGACGACAUCUUCAUCAAGCUGCCCUGGGCGUCGAGCUCCAGGGCGCCGGUCGAGGGGGAGACUUUUGAGGGGGAGGUGCUCGCCUCCGCCGGGCUGUCAUUGGUCGACGCGCCCGGCAGCAGCAGCGGCGAGCCUGAGGAGGAGCAGCUACUGCGGAAGCUGCUGUCACUCUACCGCACCCGGCAAGCCAAGCUGGCUUCCCGGGAAGCGCUUGUCGCGAAGGCGGGAGUUGACAUGGAGAAGCGCGCGAAGGAGCUUCGGGGACAAAAUCAAGAAGCUCUUCGAUCCCUGGCGCUGGAGCGGGAGCGAGUAGACGAGGAGUGCACGGCCUUUCUUCUCGAGAAGGCCGAGGUUGAAGAGGAACAAAGGCUUGCUGCCGAGAAGCAGUCCGUGCGGGAAGGCGAGCUAGUGCAGCGGAAGGCCCACCUCGACAGCUACGAGAAAGAGCUCGCCGAGCGUGAGCGAGCACUUGGCGGGGCGCUCAAGGAGGCAAAGGAUGCCGCGGCAACUGCAGAGGCCGCCAAUAAGGAGCUAGAGGAGAAGGUGGCGCGGCUGGAGGCCGAUAUUGGGAAGAGCGGCGAGGAGAUUGCCGCUGUCAAGCGUGAGCGCGAGAAGGAUGCUGCCGCCCAUGAUGAACUGCAAGGCCUUCUCGCUGAGAGGGGCAAGGAGCUCAGCGCCGCCAAGGAUUCCAAAGCAGACCUGAAGCUGAAGCUGGCCACGCUGACGCAGACGCUGGAGGCCGCCAAGGAGCGAGAGAAGACCUUGGCGGAGAAGGUCAAGGCUGACGCGGCGCUGCUGGAGAGCAUUGCAGUCACCCAGAACUCCUUCAAAGACACAGUGGAGCACUGGACCGAGGGUCUGGUGAACACUGCCGCCGUCAUCAACGAGGAGCUGGCGCAGCUGGGGAUGGAUGACUUUGGGUAUCCUUCCGACAAGAGCCUUCAACCCAGCGCCAAGCUCAGCCUAUUCUUCAAGGGCGUGGCGACGGCACUCCAGCGGCUCCGGAAGAGGAUCCCGAAGCAGCUGGCCGAUGAGUCGCGCAAAAUCUGCGCCGGGGUUCUCCAGAAGGUGCUGAUGAAGGUAGCAUUCCGCAAUCCAGGCCUCAGCUUCACCAACGUCCUCCGAUCCUUGCCGCCUGACGCCGAUCUGGAUGCACUCAAGGCCCUUGUCGCACCCAUUGUGGACAAGGUGAGCGAGAUCAAGCGAGUCGAGGGCGGACGCGUAGAUUAGGCCGCCCAUUUCUUCUUUUCCCUUGUCGCUGCUAGUCAUGUUAUGAGAACAGUCUGUUAGAGCUGCGACAAGUUAUCUUUGUAAUAUAACUUUAUUUCUGUUUAUCAAUUGCAACGUUAUUUCCUCUACUAGAUUCCUUCCUUUGUAUGUUAUUACCCUACGCUUCUAGGGAACUUGUCGGCGUAGGCGCCCGAGCCGCGAGCGCUGAGUGCGGAACUUCAGCAGCCUGCUGGUGGCGCUGCUUCCGACAAGAAACCUUGUCGUGACUAGAUGCAGCACGCUUAAGCUGUUGAGCGGACUCGAAACAAAGUAAGGGCGCAACUAGCCACGAGUUGGUUCCUCCGCGCACAGGUUUUUCAUACAAAGCAGGGUCGUNNNNNNNNNNNNNNNNNNNNNNNNNNNNNNNNNNNNNNNNNNNNNNNNNNNNNNNNNNNNNNNNNNNNNNNNNNNNNNNNNNNNNNNNNNNNNNNNNNNNNNNNNNNNNNNNNNNNNNNNNNNNNNNNNNNNNNNNNNNNNNNNNNNNNNNNNNNNNNNNNNNNNNNNNNNNNNNNNNNNNNNNNNNNNNNNNNNNNNNNNNNNNNNNNNNNNNNNNNNNNNNNNNNNNNNNNNNNNNNNNNNNNNNNNNNNNNNNNNNNNNNNNNNNNNNNNNNNNNNNNNNNNNNNNNNNNNNNNNNNNNNNNNNNNNNNNNNNNNNNNNNNNNNNNNNNNNNNNNNNNNNNNNNUGCGAGAGAACCUUCUUCUCCUUUAAAAGAAAAAGAAAGAAGAGAAAAUAAUAAUAUGGAGCUCUUCGGCUCGUUACUGCUUAUCGGAUGUAAGUGCUGCACAAAGUGUCAGAUAAUCACAUGCAAGAAAGGAAUUAACGCAUGAAAUGGACAAGCUGUGCAGAGCACAUGGGGUUUUACUUAUGCACGGGAUCUGCGCCCGGCUUUGUACAAAGGAUUACAUGCAACAGCGGCAAGACUUGUACAAAAGGUGGUUGCCGGAACGGGUUCCGGCAACCGCGCCUUAUGGGAAAAACUUACGAAGAUGUUCUAUGUUCCAGGAGUUGCUCACUGGAAUGCCAUCUUCGGUCUCAAGGCGGACAGCGCCAGGCCUUGUGACUUGUCUCACCCGAUAAGGGCCUUCCCACUUCGGCGUCAACUUGUUGGAAUUCUUGGCGGACUGAACGCGCCGAAGAACAAGGUUGCCUUCCUCGAAGCUUCUGGCUUUAACUUUGCGGCUAUGAUAGCGGCGCAAAGCUUGCUAGUAUCGAGCAGCUCGUACAGCAGCCUGAAGACGAUCUUCCUCAAGGAGCAGCGCGUCGUCUUGCCGCAGCUGUUCUUGCUCAAGCUCAUCAUAACCGAGCACUCGAGGUGAUCCGUAUACGAGUUCCGUGGGGAGAACUGCCUCUGCUCCAUAGACUAGAGCGAAAGGUGUCUGGCCAGUGGCUCGAUUUGGCGUCGUUCUGAUCGAUCAAAGAACGACUGGCAGCUCCUCGAUCCAGUUCCUUCCGCACUUGUGCAGCCUGUCGAAAGUUCUGGUCUUGAGCCCGCGCAGCACUUCAGCAUUUGCCCUCUCUGCUUGACCGUUGCUUCUCAGAUGAGCAACAGGAGCGAAGCAGACCUUGACGCCAAGGUCUUGGACGUACUGCAUGAAGGUGCGGCUCGUGAAUUGCGUACCGUUGUCGGUGAUGAUCCUGUUAGGGAUCCCGAAACGGCAAACAAUCGAUCUGAAGAACUUGACUGCUGACUGUGCUGUCACUUUUCUCACUGGCUGCACUUCCGGCCACUUUGUGAACUUGUCGAUUGCGACGUACAAGUACUCAAAGCCCCCGACAGCUCGGGGGAAAGGGCCGAGGAUAUCGAGCCCCCAGACCGAAAAUGGCCAGGAUAAAGGGAUUGUCUGGAGAGCUUGAGCUGGCUGGUGUAUCUGUUUGGAGUGGAACUGGCACGCUUCACACUUGGUUACUUGUGCAGUUGCAUCCUGGAGGGCUGUCGGCCAAAAGAAACCUUGCCGGAAAGCUUUGCCGGCAAGUGCUCUUGCGCCUAUGUGGUGGCCACAUAUGCCUCCAUGUAUCUCUGCCAACAGCUUUUGUCCAUCUACCCGGCGAAUACACUUCAAUUUCACACCCUUGAGUCUUCUUCUGUACAGUAUGCUAUUGACAAACUGGUACAUACUUGACUGCCGGGCUACUCUUUCCGCUUCUUCUUGUUCUUCGGGAAGUUCUCUUGUCUGAAGGAAAUGGACAAUCUGUUGUGCCCAUGCUGGAGCCUGUGGCUCGACAACAAGGACUAAAGGCACAUCUUCUGCUGCGGGAACAUCUGCUUCUACGGCAAGGACUUGCGGCCCUGCCGGAGCUUGAUGUUCCCCGGCAAGCUUGCCGGAGCAAAACUUGUCGGGAGCGUCUGCUUCAACGGAACAAACCAUAAGGCUUGGCGGAGCAGACUGCCCCUCAGCAUCUUUGGUGUUGAUCUUGGGGACUUUCUUGGCGGCGGCUUCGGGGAGCUCUGCCGAAAAGUAGUCACCAGAAACCAACUUCCUCUUCUUGCUUUGUCCAGUUGAUGGUGUUACGGAUGGUUGAGUCAACUUAAGCACAAAGAUCCCUGGUUCCACAGGUAACUUUAGUGCGGCGCACUUUGACAGGCCAUCAGCAAUAUCAUUCUGAGCUCUUGGGAUAUGCUCCAUUUGUAGGCCGUCAAAGUGCUCCUCUAGCUUCCUCACUUCAUCGACAUACGCUUCCAUCAACAGACUCUGGUAGUUCUUGUUCACUUGUCGGACGACAAGCUGUGAGUCACCCCUGACAAUGAGCUUCUUAAUCCCAAGGUCUGUUGCGAUUCUGAGACCGGCAAGCAAUCCUUCAUACUCUGCAGUAUUGUUGGUUGCUUGCUCUUUGAGAAAGUGCAUCUGGACUGCGUACUUGAGGUGCUCUCCGGUGGGUGCGACAAGUAGCACACCUGCACCGGCGCCUUGCAGCGAGAAGGCUCCAUCGAAGUACAUCAGCCACUCUUUGUUUGCCUCUUUGACGGGGAUGCGCGUUUCUGGAAUUUCUUCAUCUGGGGUUGGCGUCCACUCUGCUAUGAACUCUGCCAAUGCUUUGCUUUGGAUAGUUGAGGUGCUCUCAAAUUUGAGGCCAAAGCUUGACAGUUCCAGCGCCCAUUCGACAAUCCUGCCUGUUGCUUCUGGAUUUUGCAGUAUUCUCUUCAGCGGAAAGCGAGUGACGACUGUGAUCUCAUGUGCUUGGAAGUAAUGGCGCAGCUUUCUCAAGGCCAUAAGGAGGCCGAAAAGCAACUUCUGCACACCAGAGUACCUUGAUCUAGCCCCCUGCAGAAGAGAACUGACAAAGUAAACUGGGCGCUGCACCAUUCUCCUUGGCAUUUCAUCAUGCUCCUGCGCAAACCCAUGUUUGUCGGGACCAGAGCUUGUCGGCGAAGCCCCCUGCUUGUCGCUGGAUGGAUCUGCCGUGGUUGCUGGCUCAUCCUCCGCCUCCCUCUCCGCCAUUAACGCAGCACUAACCACUUGAUUGGUUGCUGCUAUAUACAGCAGCAACUUCUCUUGCGGCUUAGGUGCGACAAGCGUUGGAGUGGAGGACAGGUAUCUCUUCAAGUCCUGCAGCGCAGCCUCCGCUUCCGGAGUCCAUUUCAUUGGACCUGCCUUUUUCAAAAUUUUGAAAAAUGGCAGGGCGCGCUCAGCAGAUCUAGAGAUAAACCUGCUGAGAGCAGCCAUGCAACCGGCAAGCCUGCGUACAUUCUUGACGCGCUUUGGCGCUUCGAUCUGCUCGAUGGCUUUGAUCUUGUCGGGAUUGGCUUCAAUUCCCCGCUGAGACACAAAGAACCUGAGAAGCUUGCCGGAAGGGACUCCAAACACGCACUUCUCGGGGUUAAGCUUGAGGUUGAUCUUGCGCAGGUUUGCAAAUGUUUCGUCUAAAUCUUGAAUCAAGGUCGCCUUGCUCUUGCUCUUGACCACUAUGUCAUCCAUGUAAGCUUCCACAUUUCUGUGUAUUUGUGGCUCAAAAGCAUGGUGGACUACCCUUGCGAAUGUUGAACCAGCAUUCUUCAAACCGAAAGGCAUCCGUACGAAGCAGUACGUGCCACACGGGGUGAUAACGGUUUUCUCUUCAUCUUCUUCUGCCAUGAAGAUCUGAUGAUAUCCUGAGCAUGCAUCAAGAAAUGAAAGCAAAUCACAUCCGGCUGUGGAGUUAACAAUCUGGUCAAUACGCGGCAAGGGAAAUGGGUCUUUGGGACAAGCUUUAUUAACAUCAGUGAAGUCAAUACAAAGUCUCCAUUUCCCAUUAGCCUUGCGCACAACAACAGGAUUGGCCAACCACGUGGGAUGGAGUACUCCUCUGACAAGGCCUGUUGCUUCCAACUUCUUGAUUUCUUCUGCGAUGAAUUCUUGGCGCUCUACUGCCUGCUUCCUGACUCUCUGCUUGAUGGGCCGCGCAUGAGGACAGACAGCAAGGUGGUGCUCAAUCACUUUCCUGGGAACACCGAGGAUAUCAGACGAUUGCCACGCAAACACGUCGACAUUCGCCCGCAGGAAAGCAACGAGCGCGCUUUCCUAUUUGGGGUCAAGAGUGGCGCUGAUGGUGAAGGUACCACCACUGCCAUCCUCCUUGGCGGACACCUUCUUGGUCUCAGGUGGAGCUGCCAUUGCCUUCUUGCACUUGCAGGUGGAGCUCGAUGGUGCGUCAUCGACGGUAGCGCAGCACUCCGAAGAGGUGCGCUUGCCGGAGUGGGCAUCGGAGCUCUUGCCGGCUUGGUCUUCUUCUUCCCCCCGGGAGCUUCAGCGGCAAGUGUCCUCCGUUCUGCUGCGGCUGCUGCUUCCCGGUAGAUCUUGUCGGCACAGAUAAGAGCAUCCUUCUUGUCGCCAGGGACAGAGAUGACACUUAUUGGGCCUGGCAUUUUCAAUACGUUGUACGCAUAGUGAGAGGCUGCCAUGAACUUGGCGAGUACCGGACGGCCAAGGAUUCCAUUGUAAGGUAAUGGAAUGUCGGCAACGUCAAACGUGACCCUCUCAGUCCUGAAGUUCAGCUCACUGCCAAAUGUUACCGGCAACGUCAUCUUUCCCUUUGGCUUGCUCCUUCCCGGGUUGAUUCCUUGAAAUGUGCCGGUCUCUUCGAGCUCGCUGUCAGGGAUCUGGAGUUUCUGGAGCACCGCUGAGGAGAUCAGAUUCAAGCCGGCCCCGCCGUCAACUAGCAUCUUAGUGACCUUGAAGUUGCGGAUUGUUGGUGAAACCAACAUCGGCAAGCACCCGACCGCAGUUAUGCGAUCCGGGUGGUCCUCAAUAUCAAAAAUGAUAGGCGUACUGGACCAUUUCAGAGGCCUGCGUGACUCGACGGGUGGUUCUGCUGCAUUAACUUCCCGUACCCACUGUUUGAGCUGGCGGUGCGAGGCAUGCAGAGAAGCACCACCGUCAACGCACAGGACCUCUGUGGCUUUCUGGAACUCCUGCUCAUCAGUCUCCUCAUCGUCCAUAUCUUCAUCGUCGUCGUCAUCUUCAUCCUUGUCGCGGCCUCGAGGAGGUCUGUCUCCUUGCCGCUGCCUUGCCGCGGCGUCCUCCUCGGCCGGGACGUUUCUUGCCGGACCCACCAGCUCCUUCCUGGUCCUUCUCUUUGUCGCGCCGCUCGUAUUCAGCUCUAUGUUGCUCAACAAGCUGCUCGACCCUCUUGCAGUUCUGAAGAUCAUGGCCCUUGGUGCGGUGAAUUUUGCAAUACUGCUUGCUGGUGCCGUCUUGCUUGUCGGCGACCGCCACCUCCGCGGCAACCUCCUUGCCGGAGUCACCAGCUUUGGCUUCCUUGGCGCCGCCACCGUUGCCGGACUGCUCAACAACUAGCACUUCUUUGCCUUUCCUCCUUCUGUUGUUCCGCCGACGGUUUUUCCUUGUCGGGGCGGCAUCUUCGCUGUCAGAUCCUCCCGCUCCUAUAUUUUCUCCGGGGAGUCUCCUCCCUUCCUCAGCACGCGCACACUUGUCGGCCAGUGCAUAUAACUCACUGACGUCCCUGAUCUUGCACAUCGCCAUUUCCUCCCGCAUGCUGCGGUUCCGCACGUUCUGAUGGAAUGCGCUGAUCACCGCGGCAGGGUGGACGUCUGAGAUGUUGUGCUGCACGCUACUGAAUCUCUGAAUGUACUUGCGCAGGGGCUCUCCUUCCUUCUGGGCGAGCAGAUGAAGAUCACUCUCCUGGCCAUGAGGCUUGUGUCCGCCUGUAAAGGCGCCGACAAACUGAUGGCACAGAUCAGCCCAAGAGGAUAUGGAGUUGUCCGGCAAGUGCACGAGCCAGGAUCUGACAUUGGGCUUGAGCACCAGCGGGAAGUAGUUGGCAAGGAUCUUGUCAUCUCGUCCCCCGGCAGCUUGCGCCGCAAUGGUGUAGAUGCUGAGGAACUCUGACGGAUGCGUCUUGCCGUCGUACUUCUCCGGUACGUCUGGCUUGAAGUUCUUUGUACUGGGCCACUGGACUUGCCGCAGGUCACGAGUGAACGCAGGACAACCUACCGCGUACGGCAGAUCGCCUAGUUCCCCUGGCGCAUGCAUGUCAACAGAGGGCCCAGCGCGCUUGUCGGAUUGACGCCGCGCUUCUCUUCGGCGCUCGAUGCGGGUUCGAGCGUCCUCUUGUUGUCGAUCAUGAAGAACUUGGCGCUGAUCGCGACGAGCUCGUGGAUCCGACGAUGCAGUGGAGUCGCUGUCGAGGUGGAUCCGGCGAGUCGGCAAUCUUGGCCUUCGGGGCGGUGUUUGCAUGGUAGUUGCACCUCCGCCCGUUUCGUCGCCACCGGCUCGCGUCCGGCGGUCCUGCGGUGGCGGCGACGCGCUCGGCCGCCGUGGAGUGUCGCCGUUGGCGUAGCCGAUGAGACUCUGAAUGGUGGCCCUCCAUUCGUCGAUCUUGUCCGACGUUGGAGGGUAAUCUAAGAGAAGUUGAGCUCGCGCCAAAGCUUCUGCUGGGGUGGUGGGUGGCAGUGGCGGACGGCGCGAGGAACGGGACGUGCUCGAACUUCUAACUAUGUUAGAAGGAGCAGUAUUCCGUCCAGGCGACCGUGCCCCGCUCGUGCCAGCACGCUAGCGUGCAUGCUGGUCUUGAGCGGCCCGAGAUCCACCAGCUUGGUCUUGGGCUAUCAUGCGUAUGGCACUGCUAGCGCCAUGACGCUGUUGAUCUUGCGCCUCCUGAGAGUGACGUGGAACAUGUACGGUCGCCGAGGUUUGUGCAGCCUUGUUCUUGGACCUGGCGGCAUCAUGGGCUUCCUCGUCGACGUCCUUUCUUCCGCCGGCGUCCAUCCCGCCACUCGUUUGCUCCAACGGUGGCGGAAGUGACGAGGAUGGAGCAGCCGCUGCCGAAGUCUUCUUCUUCGGUGGCAUGUUGAUGAAGGGAAUAAGGAUCUAGCUCGUGUGAACGCCGGAUCAGGUUCACGCAAUCUCGACGCACCCCUAUCUGGCGCGCCAAAGAUGUCGGGGAAACUGAUCCUCGAACACCUAUGGGGCCGGCGGACCGGGCCCCUUACGGUUCGGCGGGGGACGGAGAUCGCACGAAGAGCAGAUCGAGGCGAGGCACACGAGCAGUUUACCCAGCUUCGGAGCUCUCCAGAGAGAUAACACUCCUACUGCUGCUUGUCUGGUUGUAUUAUCUGGUGUUCUUGCUCUCCAAAGCGAAAGUGUGAUGUUCUCUGGGCUACGGAUGGAUCGAAGCAAACUGUCUGAGGCUUCGAACCCAUGAGCCGAACCCCCCCCCUACGUUGCGCAUGGGCCUCCUUUUAUAUGCUAAAGGGGUCACCGACAGGUGGCAAUGCAGAGGAGGGUAAAAACGUAAAAAGCGAGGUAGUUGAUACAGUUGCUUGUACAGUGCACCCUACCUAACCCUGACGGCAGGGGAUAAGGGCAUUAAAUGCCCGUCUGAGUCGCCCGAACAGUGCAAAAAAAGACCGUUAGGGGCACCAACGUUCACCACGAUGGCGAUCUUGUCAGCUUCGCAUGCCACUGCGCACCGCUGGCUGCACAGCCUCCCGCCACGCACGUCCGGAGGGGCCCCCAGAGCGACACGUUGGUGAAUGCGCUGGAGCGUGGACGCAGAGUGGCCGCCUGCCGCGGCAAGCGCCUUGCCGCUGUUGUUAUCUUGUCGGGUCCGGAAGCUUGUCGCUCACCGGGCUUCGAGGUACCUUGGUUUGUCUUCCCGGCAAGCUCCUCUUGCCGGGGCCUUGUUGCCUUGCCGGAGCGCGUGGCGCGUCGCGGCAAGUUUAUUAGAGCGCCUUGGUUGGCCUUCCCGGCAAGCUCCUCUUGUCGGGGUCUUGUUUCCUUAGCUUAAAAUACUUUGUUCUUGGAUGGCUCCAAGGGAACCUUGGGGGAUCUUGGCGAUCGCCCGGCAAGCCUCUGCCGCGGGGUGCUGCAACUGCCCGUGCACAAGUUCGGGGUACUAGGGUACCCCUAAUCUAGUACACCGACAACACUGGCACUACUCUCACUCAAACGAUAGUAGCAUAGGGCCUUGAGCAAAAGGAAAAAGAAACACAAAGAUUUAGUUAGUGCCAAGAACAAAGAAAGUAAACUUACUAUAUAUAGCUAGGAAUGACAAUGUCCAAAAUCAAAUUAAAAUCUAGCAAUCAGAUCUAGUUGUUCAUUUUCGGCCCAAUGGAUUAGAGAACAUAUAGUAUAAUUCAACCCUUUGUUUUGUACGGGGGUCUAAGUAAUCCAUCAGCAGCGUACAAUAGUUGGUACUCUCGUAAAGAAAUAUAAGAGCGUUUAGAUCACUAAAGUAGUGAUCCAAAUGCUCUUAUACUUCUUUACGGAGGGAGUACUCAUUAUCUAUGCCCAUAAGAACUUCCCCCACAAAAAAAGGAUCUUCACACGAAGGAAGCAGCAUACAAACUAUAUAUCCUCAUAAGAAGCUUCUCUUCCACUUGUAAUAUAAUAAAUAAAUGGUUUGACACUGUAUAAAGAGAACUUUCCUGCUACGUGAGAAUUUUUUCCAAGCGAAAUAUCCAGACUGAUAAAAUUUCAUCACCCUUUUAUGCACCAUCUAUUUAUUCGAGACAGGUUUUAGCAUCACACGGCAUACCAUAGCUAAGAAUAGAACUAAAAAGUUGCAAUGAAAUUUAGAGCACCACAAACAAAAUGGUGCUCCAAAUAAAAAAUUAGGGGAAUUCACCAGCUCUACAAGCCUUAAGAGCACGACAUGUGCAUAGAUAAAAAGCCAAACGAGAUAAUCAAGUCAAAAUCCUAGCUUUGACUUUAAGGGUUCUGCAAAUUCGGUCCAAAUAGCAUGAAUAAGAAAAUGCAGAACUGUUAUUCCAAAGACCUGGAAAGAAAUAACACUUCCAUAAAAUUGAGAAAUUAAAAUCAUGUAAUACUCCUUAACAACCGGUAUAUGGAUUGAAAUUAACCUCGAAAUAAUAUAUGCAUUCAGAUUUAACUACGCAUGUUUUCAACUGAAUAAAUAGCCGAAAGCAACAACUGCACGAGAGAGAAAGAGCGGAUCCAACUAAGGAAAUGCAGUACCUGUUCUAUCAGAGCUAAUCAUGCAAAGCUAGCGUAGCGCCAUUCCCGUUUUCUUCUAACCAGAUUGUUUAAAAGACUACUCAAAAUGUUAAUUAAGAAAAUCCUGUGGACUAUCAUGAAACACACAAGACAGGGAUAACCCAUUUGUAUUGUCUACUGUAAACUGGAAUACAUCUGACAUCACAUCUAGAGAAUCGCUUUGGACAGAUAUUACGCAGCCGCUUCAACAUAAAAAAAUAUGAAAGAUAAUAGACAAUUUUUAUAGUUCAUCCUUUUAGUUUAAAACUAUGAGAAACAACACAAAUGGAAAAAAAUGAGGCAGCAUUUCAGAACUACUUUAACAAAAUGGCAUUCAAAUCUUUCAAUACAUAGCUAUUUCUUGUUACUUCUAUUUCUUGUUCUUUGGCACAUCAAUUUCAGUUGUAUAUACCAUAGGCCGAUACAUUUAAGAAAUGAGGAGAAAUGAAAGGGACAGUGACUACUGUCGAAUAUGGCCAAUGUCUAAAGAUACUAAUCACAGUCACAAUUCCCUCUGGAGAUUAACUGGUUAUCACAAACACAUGGGGAAGAAGGUCGCAGCUCACCUAUGGCAUAGAGCUGGCAUAAAAAGAAGUAGGAGCUCAUCAUUCCCCAUACUUGAACAUGCCGCCACCAGCCAAUUAACAUUCCAUUACUCCUGAAAAAGUGUAAAGCAAACAAAUAUGAAUGCUUUGUGACUGACCAGCAAGAAUUAGAAAACAAAUUCUUAUAACCGAAGGUGCUCUGAACCCAAAUCUUCUCUUCAUAAACAUGGAGAAACUCUCGUGAACAAAAUAAGCUUGCGACAUAUAAAAAGGUAUUAUAAGAAAGAACACCAAAUAGGAGCUAACAAAAUUAAGUUUAGAAUAUAUAUGCUAGCAAAUCAAUAACUGUACAAAAAUAUUGUAGGCCAAAUCAAAUUCAUAUAGGCCACUAACUAAACUGACAAGAACCAAAAAUAUAUAUUGGUCUUGUUAUUUCAUUUACCCAAAUUAAGACUGGCAUUAUUUAAACAGAAUAUGCUUAGAGCCUAUUUCUGAUUUAGCCAGAGCAGGAGAACAUCUAAUAUAACAAGAUAGCGGGGCGAGGUGUUUUUAUAAUCAUCAUAGGACUUAAAAUUAGAUGGCAAAAACAUGUAUGGACUGAACUCUUCAGCAAAAUAAUAUAUGUCUAUUCAAAGCUAUAUGUUUCCAGAUUGUUUAGGAUUAUUUUAACUGCUUUGACAUUUCCCCCUCCUUGAUUAGAGGUACAAAUCAUAGGAUUCGGUGUACCGAAUUGAUACUACAUAUAUAGUACAUCUUUGUAUGUACUUUACAAAAGUACCUCAUGGGCUCCUAUUACCAAGACCGGUAAGGAAAUUGGGCAACUAUGAGAUGGAUAAUUUUUUUUAACUUACUGAUGAUAGGGAGGUCCAUUUCAAGCUCAAGAAGCUUAAAGCCAUCCAUGUCUGGCAUGUGCACAUCACUGAUAACAAGAUCAAAUAUGUCCCUGUUUUCCCAUAGCAUCCUCAGUGCGAUAACAACCUGAUUCGUCACAACAACAGGUUACUCUUCCAAAGUGGUAACAAUACAAGAAAAGGGAAAUGGUCCUAUGCAUUUUUCAUGACAAAAAACAGAUGCCUCGCAUCUUUUGUACUAUAAAAUCGGUAUCAUAAAUUCAGGUCAUGCAAUCAAAUGAAUCUAUCCAUCUAGAGGUAGUCAAUCUUUGGCUACAGGCAGCAUUUGUAUAUGAUGCACAGUACACCAAAUCUAGUUGUGAGCUGUGACAACUACCAACAACAACAAAAAUUACUGGUCGUCCUAGACACUGAGGAAUAGGCAAAUUUUCUGAAAUAGAGCAACUAAAAUUGACCAUGCUUGACCCAAUAGCCGGCUCCUAGACAAAUUACAACCCUGAGCUGCAAAAUAGGGCGAGGUAUGAGGUUCAAGGGAGAAUUUAAGGAUCCUUCAUUAACAAACAAAUGCUACAAUUUUAUCUGUUUUGUUUUCUAUAUGCGUAGUUGAACAUGUACAAUCAGCAAUCUCAACAUUCAGUUAUGGCACUGGUUGAACAUGUACAAAUACGUGUCUUUGUUAAGCUGCAUCAUAGGAUCGAACGCACUCUGAAUAUGCAAUUGUUGAAUAUAAUAAGCAAGUCCCAGAAAACCAUGGAUGCGUGUGACACACCUCACGCAUACAGUGCAUCCUUGGGCUCCAAUGCAGGGGCACCUUCACAUCCGAGUGAGCCUCGCAUCUACGAGCUGCAGUUCAAUUCGAAGUUCAGACGCAAUGGCAUGAUGUUCCGAUCUAGGAUACGCAACUCGAAUGGAUACAGUGUAGCAGGGAAGCGGGAGAUAGGCUUGCUCACCGUAAAGCGUCCCAGCCACCUGGAGAGGAUGAGGGAGGAGGACGGGUGCCGCCGGCGGCCUGGAGGAGGAGCGACGACGCGGUAAGAAGACAGGCGCGACCACACCCGAGGAACGAUGGCGGGGCGAAGCGGCCGCAGUGCGCGAGAGAGGAGGGUCGCACACCUCCUAUCAUGUGCACGCGAAGACGACGGCGGCGGCAUGCCGGCUGGACGAAGGAGACGGCGGCGACAUCAUGGGGUUGAUCGAUCCCCGAGGCAUAGUGGAGCACCAUGGCGACGGUCUCCUCGACGGUGUUGGAUCUGGCCGUCGGCGGCGCGGACGGCGGCGGCGCUGCGGGCGUCCUGGACGAGGUCGCAGUGGAGGUAGAGCCAGGCAGCGAGGACCCGCGCGUAUGGGAAGGGCUUGGCGAGGAGGUCGCGCAUGCAGGAAAAGACCUUGGCCGGGCGGCGCGCGCUGACGCCGGCUGCUUCCUCGUCAUGUCCGCGCACCGCGCUCCUCCUCCUCUGCCUGGCCUCGAUGGGGAGGAGGAAGGAUGGCGGCACAGCGCGCCUGACAACGGGGAGGAGAUGCGGGAGAAGGAGGACGGGCAACGGCGGCAUAGAGGAGGAGAAAGGGGGAAGGCCACCUGAAGAAUGGCGGCAGAUCGAGGAAGAGGAGCGUCUGUGGUGAGAGGAGGAAUUUUUGUCGAAAAGGACCACCUGCGCGAAUGAAUUGACAAAAAAGACCACCUGCUGAUAAAUUUGACAAAAAAGACCCCCUCAAUUGUGGCGGCAAGUGCGGCACGCGACACGUGACACCUGCCACCACGCAGCGAGGCGGCAGCACUGUACCGCCUGGCAAAACGGGAAUCUGCGCUGGAGACGGAACGGCAGCGGCGUGUGGAGCCCGGCCGUCAAGGGGCGUGGCGGCAGUACUGUACCGCCUGGGCCCUGCCGCCUCACGAGCUGGCGGCACCCUGUUCAUCGCCCUGCUGCUAAUGCGUGCUACGGAGCCGGCUAUCACAAAUGAUGCGCAGUGCAUCGUGGUCGUCUACAAUCAGUGCCGAAAAAUAUGAAACGUUGGGAACCAGUGCCUCAAAGCAGACGAAACUCGCGCUGGGAAUCAGUGCCUCAAAACUUGUGGCCGCAUGCGCUUUGUGCUUUGCUGGACUUGUGCAUUCAACGGCAGCGCCAUGCGCUUUGCCAUGCAGCAGCAGUAGCAAUCAACAGCGGUGGCCGGCUCCGUAGCGCGCAGUUGCAGCAGGGCGAUGAACAGGGCUGCCGCCAGCCCGCGAGGCGGCCGGGCCCAGGCGCUACAGUACUGCCGCCACGCCCCUUGGCGGCCGGGCCUCACACGCCGCAGCCGUUCCGUCGCCAGCGCCGAUUCCCGUUCUGGCAAGCGGUACAGUGCUGCCGCCUCGCUGCGUGGCGGCAGGUGCCACGUGUCGCCUGCCGCACCUGCCGCCUCAGUCGAGGGGGUCUUUUUUGUCAAAUUUAUCAGUAGGUGGUCUUUUUUGUCAAUUCAUUCGCGCAGGUGGUCUUUUUCGACAAAAAAAUCGAGGAAAGAGGGCGAAUGGGAGCACGAAGAGGCCAGCCAAGCGCCCUCCCCCACCUCAUCGAUGCACGGACGAACCAGCGUCAACCACGCACAUGGCCAGGACGUGAAAUCCCAAUAUUACCCUCCACGGGGCAGGGGAAUUUCGGCGAUGGCAACGAGAUCUUUUACCGCUGGAGCGUGCCGACGGGCCGUCUGGGACGCGCCACAGCCACAGAGAAUGACAUGCAGGGCCUACCAAAUGGGCUGCCCCACAAGUCAGCGAGACCCAGCCAGGAGCCACAGAGUGAGCAAGAGCGAGCAAAACGAGUAACUAUUCAUUCCAGCAGUGUUCAUCUCAGAUCCGACGGCCCAGGUUCAUCCAGGUCUUGAUCCGACGUCAGAAACAUAUCAAGGGAACUGAUCCAACGGCCCAGAAUCACUGAUCUCUGAGGAGGCUUGUAGAGACCUUCUUCUCUUAUUUCUGGAUUUACUGUUUUCUCCCCCCUCUUCUCUCCGGUAGACCCCGAGACCACUGCUGAUGCCCCUAUGAUCAACUACGUCGACGACGACCCUCCUUCUCGUCUGAGCAACCAGGCAAGCCCCCCUUUGAUCAUCCCGAUAUCGCCCAUUCUAUACUCUCAUGCUUGCAUUAGAUUUUGCUAUUGUUAUUGUUUGCUCCUAUUCUGAUGCAUAGCCUGCUUUUGUACUUGCUAUUGUACCUUACCUGCUUAUCCUAAACUGCUUAGUGUAGGUUGGUUAGUGAUCCAUCAGUGACCCCCACCUUGUCCUUCUACCCCUGCUUCAUCAUCGAUGACUCGAUCAGCGUGAUCGACGACCAGAGCCCGACACCUCACAUCACAUCACGCCCCUUUUGUUGCUUGACUCUGCAGAGCUACUAUCGAGUGCCAAGGGUGAUCCCUCAUAACGCACUCUUGAUGAUAAUUCUAUAGUGUAGCUAUUGGGUCGUGGCCAUCGAGGGUGAUUUCCUCUUUCACCAUUCCUGAUACGGCUUUGUCAUUCAACACCUCAAGUGUGAACCUCGAGGGUGGUCCCUCUUAUGUUCACCUUGAUGAUUACCUUGAGUGGAAUCCACCGGGGGUGAUUCCUUGGGUUUUUCCCUUGAUAUUUGGACACACGGUAGCCUUGACUUACUUGAGACCAUUGUUGAAGUCGGGUCGGCCCUGAGGGGUACCCGCGAGUUGAUGUGAAAGUCGGGCGGGCCCAUAGAGCACCUACGAGUUUUCCAUGUGGCACGGCCGGGCAGUCUGGGCCCUUGUCGUAAGUCCAGGAGACGGGGCGACGGUGUCAGGACCCCGACUCCAUGUCACAUCGACCUAGCCGGUAACACCCCAUAUCACUUUGCGGCCUCACGCACGGUAUCCCCACGGGUGUCGUCUUACCUUUUCCCGGGACCGUUUGCGCCUUUUGGCUCACGUAUAUGAUAGUGUCGCUAGCAUCCAUAUGAUAAGGAGCCUGGGCUGACAUGACUAGUCGUAAACCCAAAGUGGCACAGACUUACAGGGACAGGCAUCCAUGACCCAGCUUCGAACGUGUCGGUCAUCAGCAAGUGGGUCCGGGCUGUAGCACUGGGCUAGCAGGACUCCGGUAAACCGGGCUGUAGCGGGCUAACAGGACUCCGGUACUCAAAGCGUGACAUUUCCCCGAAGGGACAGACACAGGAACGAAGAAGGACACAUGCCGGCCAGCCUAAGUGUUCCAAAGCAGUAGCAAGCUACCAUGGCUCAGCGGUAACACUAGGAGACAUUUCCCGGUAAGAGAGGCUACUAAAGAUAAACAACUAGAUAGUCAGAUCCCACACAUANNNNNNNNNNNNNNNNNNNNNNNNNNNNNNNNNNNNNNNNNNNNNNNNNNNNNNNNNNNNNNNNNNNNNNNNNNNNNNNNNNNNNNNNNNNNNNNNNNNNNNNNNNNNNNNNNNNNNNNNNNNNNNNNNNNNNNNNNNNNNNNNNNNNNNNNNNNNNNNNNNNNNNNNNNNNNNNNNNNNNNNNNNNNNNNNNNNNNNNNNNNNNNNNNNNNNNNNNNNNNNNNNNNNNNNNNNNNNNNNNNNNNNNNNNNNNNNNNNNNNNNNNNNNNNNNNNNNNNNNNNNNNNNNNNNNNNNNNNNNNNNNNNNNNNNNNNNNNNNNNNNNNNNNNNNNNNNNNNNNNNNNNNNNNNNNNNNNNNNNNNNNNNNNNNNNNNNNNNNNNNNNNNNNNNNNNNNNNNNNNNNNNNNNNNNNNNNNNNNNNNNNNNNNNNNNNNNNNNNNNNNNNNNNNNNNNNNNNNNNNNNNNNNNNNNNNNNNNNNNNNNNNNNNNNNNNNNNNNNNNNNNNNNNNNNNNNNNNNNNNNNNNNNNNNNNNNNNNNNNNNNNNNNNNNNNNNNNNNNNNNNNNNNNNNNNNNNNNNNNNNNNNNNNNNNNNNNNNNNNNNNNNNNNNNNNNNNNNNNNNNNNNNNNNNNNNNNNNNNNNNNNNNNNNNNNNNNNNNNNNNNNNNNNNNNNNNNNNNNNNNNNNNNNNNNNNNNNNNNNNNNNNNNNNNNNNNNNNNNNNNNNNNNNNNNNNNNNNNNNNNNNNNNNNNNNNNNNNNNNNNNNNNNNNNNNNNNNNNNNNNNNNNNNNNNNNNNNNNNNNNNNNNNNNNNNNNNNNNNNNNNNNNNNNNNNNNNNNNNNNNNNNNNNNNNNNNNNNNNNNNNNNNNNNNNNNNNNNNNNNNNNNNNNNNNNNNNNNNNNNNNNNNNNNNNNNNNNNNNNNNNNNNNNNNNNNNNNNNNNNNNNNNNNNNNNNNNNNNNNNNNNNNNNNNNNNNNNNNNNNNNNNNNNNNNNNNNNNNNNNNNNNNNNNNNNNNNNNNNNNNNNNNNNNNNNNNNNNNNNNNNNNNNNNNNNNNNNNNNNNNNNNNNNNNNNNNNNNNNNNNNNNNNNNNNNNNNNNNNNNNNNNNNNNNNNNNNNNNNNNNNNNNNNNNNNNNNNNNNNNNNNNNNNNNNNNNNNNNNNNNNNNNNNNNNNNNNNNNNNNNNNNNNNNNNNNNNNNNNNNNNNNNNNNNNNNNNNNNNNNNNNNNNNNNNNNNNNNNNNNNNNNNNNNNNNNNNNNNNNNNNNNNNNNNNNNNNNNNNNNNNNNNNNNNNNNNNNNNNNNNNNNNNNNNNNNNNNNNNCCGGGUGCCACUUGGUAGACUACUAACACUACCUACAAACACCAGAAACUAGUUGCGACUCCUGGACAGAGACCAAGUUGGUUAAUAAGCCGAGAGGGGUCGAGUUACCGGAACCCAAUGUGUGGUAGUAUCGAGUCAUUGGACAACAUACACAGAACUCAAUGCUUAAGGACGGUUCCAGUGAGACAACCCACCAUGUACUCCUACAUGGCCUCUCACCGCUACCUUUACCAAAUCGUGUUCACACACACUUCAUUCUCAGCAUCAGAACAUAUCGUAACACUCCAAUUCAUUCCCAAUGAAUCAGACCUGACACAACUCUAAGCAAUAGCAGGCAUAGCAUGGUAGGAACACCUCAGUGGCUUCAAUCAACUCCUACACAUGCUAGUGGGUUUCAACUAUUUACUGUGGCAAUGACAGGUCAUGCAGAGGAAUGGGUUCAACUACCGCAGCACAAAGUAGCAGAUGAAUCGUUGUUGUCCUAAUGCAAUAACUGAGAGCAGGAGCGAGAGAGUAGGGUUUUAUCGAAAUGAACAAGGGGGUUUGCUUGCCUGGUAAAACAACAGAGGAGGCACUGCUUCACAGACAGGUACUCUGGAACGUCUCCGGAGUAGGACCUAUCGAGAAGGAACGGUGCCGGCAAUCAAUACACAAUCAUAUGCAACAAUAUGAUGCAUGAACAUGGCAUGUAGAUGUGAUGCUGUUGAGCUAAUGCAACUAGUAAACAUUUGGUUUGAAGUCCAUUUGAACCAAAGGUUCAAAUGCAUUACUAAAUUAAAUCUCUUAAUAUGCCAUAAUGUGUUUUCCCAUAUUCAGCUUGUAUAAGUUGGUUUNNNNNNNNNNNNNNNNNNNNNNNNNNNNNNNNNNNNNNNNNNNNNNNNNNNNNNNNNNNNNNNNNNNNNNNNNNNNNNNNNNNNNNNNNNNNNNNNNNNNNNNNNNNNNNNNNNNNNNNNNNNNNNNNNNNNNNNNNNNNNNNNNNNNNNNNNNNNNNNNNNNNNNNNNNNNNNNNNNNNNNNNNNNNNNNNNNNNNNNNNNNNNNNNNNNNNNNNNNNNNNNNNNNNNNNNNNNNNNNNNNNNNNNNNNNNNNNNNNNNNNNNNNNNNNNNNNNNNNNNNNNNNNNNNNNNNNNNNNNNNNNNNNNNNNNNNNNNNNNNNNNNNNNNNNNNNNNNNNNNNNNNNNNNNNNNNNNNNNNNNNNNNNNNNNNNNNNNNNNNNNNNNNNNNNNNNNNNNNNNNNNNNNNNNNNNNNNNNNNNNNNNNNNNNNNNNNNNNNNNNNNNNNNNNNNNNNNNNNNNNNNNNNNNNNNNNNNNNNNNNNNNNNNNNNNNNNNNNNNNNNNNNNNNNNNNNNNNNNNNNNNNNNNNNNNNNNNNNNNNNNNNNNNNNNNNNNNNNNNNNNNNNNNNNNNNNNNNNNNNNNNNNNNNNNNNNNNNNNNNNNNNNNNNNNNNNNNNNNNNNNNNNNNNNNNNNNNNNNNNNNNNNNNNNNNNNNNNNNNNNNNNNNNNNNNNNNNNNNNNNNNNNNNNNNNNNNNNNNNNNNNNNNNAGCUCCCGAAUCGACGGCGAGUACCCACGGCGGCCGGAGGCGAGGAUGGCGACGGCGAUGGCUCCACGGGAUGCCCCGUCUUGCUUGGCUCGACGAGGAGGUAGAGGGGGUCGCGGCGGAGCUCGGGGGCUCUACGGAGGGGCGAGGGGACGGCGGGGAGCGCGUCGGUGGCGAGCUGCGGCGGCGGCAGUGCUUCGGGUGAGAGGGAGAGAGAGCAGGGGGAGAGGAGGAGGGCGAGGGGGAGGGAGUGAGAGCGGUGCGGGGCAGCGCGUGGCGACGUUCCGGACGUCCAGGCGUCGAGGGGGAGGACAGGCAGGCAGGUGCCGUGGCGGCACGGCGGUGCGCACGCGCCGGCCACACGCCUCUGGCCUCCUGGCGGGAGGUGGAGGACGACUGGCGCUAGCCAGUCGGCUGGGCCGGCCAGCUGGGCCGCACAGUGCCAGGCCUCAGGUGAGCACAGGUAGGCAUUUUUUUUUAAUUUUUUUUUCUAAUUUUUCUGACAUUGUUUGGAUUUAAUAAAUAUAUUAAAUCAUUUAAUUUCCUUAUGCCAAUUUUUGCAGGAGCUAGAUAUAUUAUUCCAGAGCUCUUUUAUAAUUGGCAUAAUUUUUGGACCAUAUUUCAUAUAUAUAGAAAUAUAUUUCCAAUGCAAAUAUUUAUCGAAUUAAUCCAAAUGGCCAAAAUAAAAUGUCCAUGAGCUCCUAAAAAUAUUGUUUUGAUUUUUAUCUCUGUCCAAUAUUUUCAGAGGGCAACAUGAGCAUUUUCUUGGACCCUUUUGGAGAAAUUUUUAUUUGGGUCAUUUUCAAAAAUGAUUCUGAGGGUUCCACCAAUCCUCAUUUCAAAUUUAAAUGAAAUUUAAAUAUGAUGCACAAACGACUAGCUAGUCUAGGUCAUACCAGACUAGGGAUGUGACAACUCGCCCCCACUUGACAGAAUCUCGUCUCGAGAUUCAGGGGUCGACGGAAAGAAAGUGGGGUACUCCAGUCGAAGACGAUCUUCUCGCUCCCAAGUAGCCUCUCUCUCGGAAUGAUGACACCACUGAACUUUGAGAAACUUGAUGUUCUGACGUCGAGUGACACGCUCUGCUUGAUCAAGAAUGCGAACUGGGUACUCUCGGUAUGUGAGGUUAUCUUGGAGAUCAAGCAUUUCAUGGUCCACUCCGCGGAUGGGAUCCGAGAAGCAACGCCUGAGUUGAGAGACGUGGAAGACAUCAUGAACUCGAGAAAGAUGUGGAGGUAGUUCCAAUUGGUAGGCAACCUCUCCUCGUUUAGCGAGAAUACGAAAAGGACCAAUGUAGCGAGGAGCCAACUUGCCCUUGAUACCGAAACGAUGGGUACCCUUCAAAGGAGUAACCCGAAGGUAGGCUUGGUCGCCAAUUUCAUAAGUCACAUCCUUAUGAUGACGAUCGUACUGACUUUUCUGACGAGACUGGGCUGUUUUCAAAUUCUCACGAAUGAUGCGAACUUGCUCUUCUGCCUCCUGGAUCAUAUCCGGUCCAAAGAAUUGUCUUUCACCGGUUUCUGACCAGUUCAAAGGUGUUCGACAUCUUCGUCCAUAGAGAACCUCAAAAGGAGCUUGCUUGAGGCUGGAUUGGUAGCUAUUGUUAUAGGCAAACUCGGCGAAAGGAAGACAUUUCUCCCAAUCCAUACCGAAGGAGAUAACGCAAGCUCUAAGCAUGUCUUCGAGAAUUUGAUUGACCCGUUCCACCUGACCACUCGACUGAGGGUGGAAAGCGGUACUGAAGGAAAGAUGGGUUCCCAUGGCAGUUUGGAAGCUCUCCCAAAAAUGAGAAGUGAAAAGACUGCCACGGUCUGAAUUGAUCUCUAGUGGAACACCAUGAAGUGACACUAUUCGAGAAAUAUAUAAGUCAGCAAGCUGACUAGCAGUGAUACUCUCUCGAACAGGAAGGAAGUGAGCCACUUUGGAAAGAUGAUCAACGACUACGAAGAUAGCGUUAUUCCCUCUUUUGGUCCUGGGAAAGCCGGUAAUGAAGUCCAUACCAACUUUAUCCCAUUUCCAUUCAGGAAUAGCUAAAGGCUGAAGGGUGCCAGCAGGUCUCUGAUGCUCUGCCUUAAUGCGACGACAAACGUCACAUUUAGCAAUGAACUCAGCGAUUUCUCUCUUCAUCCUAGUCCACCAGAACCUCUGGCGUAGGUCCUGAUACAUCUUAGUACUACCGGGAUGAAUUGUGAGAGGAGAUUCAUGCGCCUCCUUAAGAAUCAAUUGUCGAAGAUGUUGCUUCUUGGGAACCACCAAGCGAUUCUCAAAGAAAACAACACCACGAUCAUCCAUAGAGAAACUACCAGCAAUACCCUUGGCAAUGUUUCUCUUGAUCCGAGUAAUCCCCGAAUCAUGCUUCUGGGCUUCUAUGAUAAGAUCCACAAGGGUAGGUUUCGCCACCAAGGUGGAAAGAAAACCGCGAGGAGCUAUGUGAAGAUUAAGCUUACAGAAUUCCUCAUGGAGAAGUGGUUGGCCUUGCUGCAACAUGAGAUUAUUGCAAUAGAAUUUACGGCUUAGAGCAUCAGCCAUGACAUUGGCUUUGCCUGGGGUGUAGGUAAUCCCUAGAUCAUAAUCUGUGAUUAACUCCAACCAACGUCUUUGCCUAAGGUUCAAAUCUGGUUGGGUGAAGAUAUACUUGAGACUCUGGUGAUCGGUGUAGAUCUCGCAACGUUUACCAAGAAGGUAAUGUCGCCAGGUCUUGAGUGCAUAGACUACGGCUGCAAGCUCUAGAUCAUGUGUAGGAUAAUUAUCCUCAUGUGGAUGCAACUGUCGAGAUGCAUAGGCAAUCACAUGACGAUCCUGCAUAAGAAUGCAACCUAGUCCCUGUCGUGAGGCAUCGCAGUAGAUAAUAAAGUCUUUAGUGAAAUCCGGUGGCACAAGUAUGGGGGCAGAAGUCAGGCGCCUUUUCAGUUCCUGAAAACUGUACUCACACUGUGGGGACCACUCAAACUUUUUAUCUUUCUUGAGAAGUUCCGUGAGGGGUUUGGCUACUUUGGAGAAGUUUUCAACAAAGCGGCGACAAUAGCUGGCUAGACCAAGGAAACUCCUAACUUGUUUGACUGUUUCAGGUGGAGUCCAAUCGAGAACAGCCUGAACUCUCUCGGGAUUGACAGCAAUGCCCUUACCAGAGAUUACGUGACCUAAGUAGGUCACUUCUGACAACCAAAAUUCACACUUGGAGAACUUGGCAUAAAGGCGAUGCUCUCUAAGUUUUUCUAACACAAGUCUAAGAUGUUCGGCAUGCUCUUCCUCGUUCUUCGAGUAGAUAAGAAUAUCAUCGAGAUAAACCACGACGAACUUAUCUAAGUACUCCAUGAAGAUCGAGUUCAUCAAGCGGGAGAAUGUGGCUGGGGCGUUGGUUAGGCCGAAGGACAUGACGGUGUACUCGUACUGGCCAUAACGAGUGACAAAAGCUGUCUUGGGAAUGUCCCCGUUUCUGAUCUUGAUUUGAUGGUAGCCUAAUCUUAAAUCCAUCUUGGAGAAGAUUGAGGAUCCAGCGAGCUGAUCAUACAGGUCGUUGAUCCUGGGGAGCGGAUACUUGUUCUUUAUCGUGACCAAAUUAACGGGACGAUAAUCAACGACCAUCCGGUCCGUACCGUCUUUCUUCUUGACAAAGAGGACGGGGCAAGCCCAAGGAGAAGAACUAGGACGGAUGAAACCCUUUUGCAAGGACUCAUCGAGUUGUUUCUUAAGCUCGGCUAGUUCUAAGGGUGCCAUCUUGUAGGGUCUCCGGGAGAUUGGAGCUGUUCCUGGGAUAAGAUCUAUGACGAACUCUACAUCUCUGUCAGGCGGAACACCUGGCAGUUCCUCUGGAAAGACAUCCGGAAAGUCACGGACUACCGGGAUAUCUUCAAGGUCUGGAAGAGGGCUGGCAUUAAGGGAAUAGAGCUGACGCUUUGCAACUCUAGUGGAGACAAUGGCUAUCUUGCCAGAUGGGUGUGUGAGCUGAACAGACCUGGUGAAACAAUCAAUCUUGGCAUGAUGAGCUGUCAUCCAGUCCAUACCCAAGAUGAUGUUAAUAUCCGAAGACUUGAGAGAUAUCAAGGAGGCAAGGAAUGCAAGUCUGUCCACAAGGAUUUCAUUGCCAUAACUUAUCCUAGAAGUUUGCCAUUUGGAUCCAGGAGUUUGAAUAAGUAGUGGAGAGGGCAUAUCACAAAAUGACAUGUCGUGCAAGCGGACAUAGCUUUCGGAAAUGAAGGAAUGAGAUGCUCCAGUAUCGAACAAAACCGAUGCUGGAUGACAGUUGACAAGGAGUGUUCCAAGAACGACAUCUGGAUCAUCAUGAGCGGCUUUAGCUGAGACAUGAUGCACACGUCCAUGUUCAGUGGGAGCUGACUUGGCACUGACCAUCUUGCGUGAUGGCUUACCAUGGACAAAAGACUUCUCGGGCUGGGGUAGAGCAACUCUGGUCUGAGUGCAAAUACGGGCAAUGUGGCCUUGCUCUCCGCACUUGUAACAAAUCUUGGAGGUAGGAUGUGGACCUGUAUUAGAAGGCGGUCCACCAAUAGGCCUGGGUGGAGCAUACUGCUGAGCUUGAUGAGGUGCCACAUAAGAUGGCCUCGGUACAUAUUUGGGCGGAAGAGCAGAGUUUGGAACCCAAAUCCGGCGCUUCUGAGAACUAGAACCGGAGGAAGAUCCCAAAGCACGAGUGUGCUUACGAGACUCCUUGUAAGUGAGUUGAGCUGUCUCUGCAUUAAUGGCCUUGUUCACAAGGGCUUGGAAUGUACCACAAUGAUGCAGAUGGAGAUCACGACGCAACUUGGGGUUGAGACCCUUCCGGAACCUAGCCUGCUUCUUGGCGUCCGUGGACACCUCUUCUGUAGCAUAGCGGGCGAGGUUCUCAAACUCUCGGCUGUAAGCAUCAACAGCCAUUUUAUCCUGGGUGAAGCUACAGAACUCUUCUCUCUUGCGAUCAAGGAGGGCCUCAGGAAUGUGAUGCCCGCGAAAAGCCUCAACGAAAUCCCUCCAGGUGGAAGUCUGGCCAGCUGGAAGCAUAGCCUCAUAGUUCUGCCACCAAAGACUAGCAGGACCUUCCAGGUGGUAUGUGGCAUAGGUGACCUUGUCAUCUUCAGCUACGCUCGCGGAACGCAGCUUAUGGGUGAUGCUACGGAGCCAGUCAUCUGCAUCGAGUGGCUCGAUGGAAUGAUGAAAGGUAGGUGGGUGCAAGCGAAUGAAGUCAUGAAUGGUCACAGGCUUAUUGGACUGAUGUGCGGUGUUCUCCUCGAUACGUGCCAACAAGCGGUUGGACUCACGCUUGUUCCUCUCCAUCUCUAGCAUGAACUCUGUCAACGAAGGUUGAUCAGGAGGAUCCUCAUCCCUACCAUCUCCGUGGUUCUGGCUACGAGCAACGGAACUUCGCUUAGCUGAUGACAUCCUGAGAAACGAAACCAAGGACGAAAUCAACAUUAACUAUGGACUGUAGAAUGUAGGACAAGGAAUUAGUAUCUCUCGAACUCCUAGGGAAAUUUCGGCAGCAUAACGGCAGUAAAAUGCUCAGAAUGAGACAUCCUACUAAAAAUGUGGUGGUAACAUACUCAAGGUUCUGAGAUCAUACUAAAUAGACUACACCGAAAAUACUCAAAACUGGGGUAUGACUCUGAUCAACCAAUCCUAUGGGGCUACGGAGUAGUAACACGUGAUCCUGAUAGACGGAAGAGGAGCCUAGUUCCUUAAUCCCGUCGGAAAGAUAGGAUGACUCAGAUCAGAAGGCCAUGAGGUAAAGGAGUAAAAAGAGCCUUACGUUCCUUCCCACAAUCAAUUCCCUUACAUAACUAAAGAUUUUCUAGACUCAACUUCGACCAGUUUGGCUUGGUAAUCCUACAGGCAGUCAGGCUCUGAUACCAAAGCUGUCAGGACCCCGACUCGAUGUCACAUCGACCUAGCUGGUAACACCCCAUAUCACUUUGCGGCCUCACGCACGGUAUCCCCACGGGUGUCGUCUUACCUUUUCCCAGGACCGUUUGCGCCUUUUGGCUCACGUAUAUGAUAGUGUCGCUAGCAUCCAUAUGAUAAGGAGCCCGGGCUGACAUGACUAGUCGUAAACCCAAAGUGGCACAGACUUACAGGGACAGGCAUCCAUGACCCAGCUUCGAACGUGUCGGUCAUCAGCAAGUGGGUCCGGGCUGUAGCACUGGGCUAGCAGGACUCCGGUAAACCGGGCUGUAGCGGGCUAACAGGACUCCAGUACUCAAAGCGUGACAUUUCCCCGAAGGGACAGACACAGGAACAAAGAAGGACACAUGCCGGCCAGCCUAAGUGUUCCAAAGCAGUAGCAAGCUACCAUGGCUCAGCGGUAACACUAGGAGACAUUUCCCGGUAAGAGAGGCUACUAAAGAUAAACAACUAGAUAGUCAGAUCCCACACAUAGCACUACACAUUACACGUACGCAUAACAUGCAAGUAUGUGCUGUACAACAUGGCAUCACAGCAUAACUCAACAAUUAUAUAGAUAAAGGCUCAGAAGAGCCGUCAUAGCAAUUAUUGCAAACAGGGGUCACAAGACCCGUCAUACAGAGCAUACAAGCAACAAGCGGAAGCAUUACAUGUCUGGGUACAGACAUCUACAAAUGAAAAAGGCUGGAGAGCCUGACUAUCUACAACAUCCGAUCAAGAUCGUAGCUGAGGUACUAGCUACUAGUCGAAGUCCAUGAGAACCCUAGUAAGACCGAAGUCUCCGCUGCAAAAACAUAAAUAAAGCAACAUGAGUACAAAGGUACUCAGCAAGACUUACAUCAGAUCCUAUCAUACAUGCAUUUGUAUCAAGAGGGUAAUGUGGGGUUUAGUUGCAGCAAGCCAGCUUUGACUCUGUGGCUAUCCUAAUCUACGACUACCAGAAACUCUGGAGGUGAAACAACGUACACGAGUCCACUAAUCACCACACAAUACACUACAAUGGAUUCAUCCCCGUCUCCCUACGAGGAGGCCAUCCAUAGCACUCACACUUGUCUUGAGCAUUUUAUAGUAUCCACUUCAAGUUGUCUAUGUACCAUGUAAGCAUCCAAGAAGUCCAUAACCGCGGACCCGGCUAUUCGAAUAGAUCAUGUUAACCCUGCAGGGGUGUACUUCUUCACACACGCUCUCGCCACUUACCGCCAUGUACACGUCAUGUAUCUCGGCAACCUUCAAGCGGAAGCCUGGCGAGGGUGUCGGCCACGACCUGACUAACCACACAAGACUCUAAUCCAGGUUUAUCGCCUAUUCGGGUUCCAUCCGCAAGGAGAUCCGGCCGGGGUUUCACUCACGGCCCCAAACGAUGUGUGCAGGGUUCCCAAGCCCACCUCGCCGGAUGGAUCUACGCUUGGUACACCGUGCCACUGGUGCCUAGUCUGUCCCAAGCCCACCUGACCGGGUGCCACUUGGUAGACUACUAACACUACCUACAAACACCAGAAACUAGUUGCGACUCCUGGACAGAGACCAAGUUGGUUAAUAAGCCGAGAGGGGUCGAGUUACCGGAACCCAAUGUGUGGUAGUAUCGAGUCAUUGGACAACAUACACAGAACUCAAUGCUUAAGGACGGUUCCAGUGAGACAACCCACCAUGUACUCCUACAUGGCCUCUCACCGCUACCUUUACCAAAUCGUGUUCACACACACUUCAUUCUCAGCAUCAGAACAUAUCGUAACACUCCAAUUCAUUCCCAAUGAAUCAGACCUGACACAACUCUAAGCAAUAGCAGGCAUAGCAUGGUAGGAACACCUCAGUGGCUUCAAUCAACUCCUACACAUGCUAGUGGGUUUCAACUAUUUACUGUGGCAAUGACAGGUCAUGCAGAGGAAUGGGUUCAACUACCGCAGCACAAAGUAGCAGAUGAAUCGUUGUUGUCCUAAUGCAAUAACUGAGAGCAGGAGCGAGAGAGUAGGGUUUUAUCGAAAUGAACAAGGGGGUUUGCUUGCCUGGUAAAACAACAGAGGAGGCACUGCUUCACAGACAGGUACUCUGGAACGUCUCCGGAGUAGGACCUAUCGAGAAGGAACGGUGCCGGCAAUCAAUACACAAUCAUAUGCAACAAUAUGAUGCAUGAACAUGGCAUGUAGAUGUGAUGCUGUUGAGCUAAUGCAACUAGUAAACAUUUGGUUUGAAGUCCAUUUGAACCAAAGGUUCAAAUGCAUUACUAAAUUAAAUCUCUUAAUAUGCCAUAAUGUGUUUUCCCAUAUUCAGCUUGUAUAAGUUGGUUUGUCAUGCAUGAAACUAGUACAGAUGGAAAGAUUGCAUUUUUCUGAUAAUUUUUCAUAUAUAAAUUAUUUAAAUCUUAGCUACGGUUGAAUUGUUAUGAAUUUUUGAAGUUCAAAUCAUUUUCUGGAUUUUCUGAAUUAUUUUAAUUCCAGAAAAUAAAUAAUUGCGUCAGCAUGACGUCAUCAUUGCAUCAGCGGGUCAACGCGGCUGUCCAGGGUCAAACCUGACGUGUGGGACCCACACGUCAGUGACACUGGGGUUAACAGGGUUAAUUUAAUUUAAUUAAAAGGUUAGGGGGGGUCGGGCCCACUGGUCAGCGUCAGGGGGGGGGUUAGUUAACGGUGAUUAGCACUAAGCUAAUCACCUGACGGGCCGGCCCCACCUGGCAGGGCUCAGGCGACGGGGGCUCGUCGCCGGCGACCUCUGGACACGGCGGAGUCCGCGCCACAGGCCACGGGGACGGCGUCUGAGAGCACCGGGGCGUAGCCCGGGCUCUCGCGCAUCUGGUGGGACAGGUGGGAGGAGCGGGGACGGCCGGAGCUCGCCGGAGCAAAGCUCGCGGCGGCGGCCGGAGUUCGGGCGCGAGCGAGAUCGGGCUGCGGGGCACGGGGAGGCCACCUGAGGGGCUCGGCGGCACCCUCGUGGCACCAGGAGCGUGAAGGGAUGCUUGGUUUGGGCGGAGGCGGGCCGAGACGGCGACGGCGACAUGGACGGCGGCGAGAGGCUUCGGCCGUGGUGGGGAGCGGUGCUACAGCACGGGAACGGGAGGGAGAAGAGAGGGGAACGGUGGAGGAGCUCACCGCGGAUCCAGCGAGCGCGAGGACGAGGUCGGGGAUGCCCGGUAGCUCCCGAAUCGACGGCGAGUACCCACGGCGGCCGGAGGCGAGGAUGGCGACGGCGAUGGCUCCACGGGAUGCCCCGUCUUGCUUGGCUCGACGAGGAGGUAGAGGGGGUCGCGGCGGAGCUCGGGGGCUCUACGGAGGGGCGAGGGGACGGCGGGGAGCGCGUCGGUGGCGAGCUGCGGCGGCGGCAGUGCUUCGGGUGAGAGGGAGAGAGAGCAGGGGGAGAGGAGGAGGGCGAGGGGGAGGGAGUGAGAGCGGUGCGGGGCAGCGCGUGGCGACGUUCCGGACGUCCAGGCGUCGAGGGGGAGGACAGGCAGGCAGGUGCCGUGGCGGCACGGCGGUGCGCACGCGCCGGCCACACGCCUCUGGCCUCCUGGCGGGAGGUGGAGGACGACUGGCGCUAGCCAGUCGGCUGGGCCGGCCAGCUGGGCCGCACAGUGCCAGGCCUCAGGUGAGCACAGGUAGGCAUUUUUUUUAAUUUUGUUUUCUAAUUUUUCUGACAUUGUUUGGAUUUAAUAAAUAUAUUAAAUCAUUUAAUUUCCUUAUGCCAAUUUUUGCAGGAGCUAGAUAUAUUAUUCCAGAGCUCUUUUAUAAUUGGCAUAAUUUUUGGACCAUAUUUCAUAUAUAUAUAGAAAUAUAUUUCCAAUGCAAAUAUUUAUUGAAUUAAUCCAAAUGGCCAAAAUAAAAUGUCCAUGAGCUCCUAAAAAUAUUGUUUUGAUUUUUAUCUCUGUCCAAUAUUUUCAGAGGGCAACAUGAGCAUUUUCUUGGACCCUUUUGGAGAAAUUUUUAUUUGGGUCAUUUUCAAAAAUGAUUCUGAGGGUUCCACCAAUCCUCAUUUCAAAUUUAAAUGAAAUUUAAAUAUGAUGCACAAACGACUAGCUAGUCUAGGUCAUACCAGACUAGGGAUGUGACAGACGGGGUCACAUUAUCGUGAGUCUCUGCACGUUUUCGCGAGCCCCCAAUGCACUAACAGGUUUGGGUAUUUGUUCUGAGUUGGCCUCUGGCCUUUACGCACUAACCACCACGCGAGAAUAGAUAUGGGCCUCGACGUCGUGGUAUCAGCCAAAGCUUUGUCAGACAUCCAGUUCAGUAGUGCGGCACGGCUGGCCGUCACCAUCCUGUAGUGGUGGAGCCUGGUCCGCCCGGCUCACAAUGACCCGGAGUGCAACGGGCGAUGGGCCCAGACCCAGGAGUGCUUAGGAGGUAGACCGGUGGGGACCUCUCUGCUGAGCCUAGGUAGGGCUGCGAUGUGUUGAUCUUCCGAGGCCGGGCAUUGACCCCAGAAAGGUGUGUCCGACCAGAAUGAUCGAGCGUGUUGGGUAACAUGGUGCACCCCUGUAGGGAAGAUAUAUAUUCGAAUACCAUGUCCAUGGUAAUGGACGUUCAGACUUGUAUCCGGAUCUUAUAUAACUAGAAAUGGAUACUUGAGAUAUGUGAUGGAUAUGUGGCUCCGAGAUUGCUUUCUCGCAGGGAGUCGAGAAAGGAUCUCUGGGCGUUGUUGUUACAACAUGCUUGUUAAUUAAAAUGCUAUUCUUUACUCUUAUACAUGUUGUAAGAUGCUUGGAGCUGCGUGAAGAUGCUAGUCUUCGAUAGGCGAGGCCUUCCCCCUCUAUUCUGGCAUUCUGCAGCUCAGUCCACAGAUACAAACCUUCCAUUUGAUACCAAUGCAUACUUAGUAUAGAUCUGAUGCUUGCGAGUACUUUUGAUGAGUACUCACGGUUGCUUUGCUACCCCUUUUCCCCUUUAUUUCUUCUUUCCGGUUGAUGCAACCAGAUGGUGGAUCCUUGGAGCCAGAUGCCACCGCCGAUGGAUACUACUACAUGGAGGCCGCCGAAGACCAGGAGUAGUUAGGAGGUCCCAGGUAGGAGGCCUUACCCCUUCGAUCAUGUUGCUUUUGUGCUAGCCUUCUUAAGGCAUCCUUGUUUAACUUAUGUCUGUACUCAGAUAUUGUUGCUUCCGCUGACUCUUGUGUAUCGAGCUUGUAUUCGAGCCCUCGAGGCCCCUCGCUUGUAAUAUAAAGCUUGUAUUAUUUUGAUUUGUGUCUAGAGUUGUGUUGUGAUAUCUUCCCGUGAGUCCCUGAUCUUGAUCAUACACAUCUGUGUGUAUGAUUAGUGUACGAUUGAAUCGGGGGCAUCACAGCACGCCACCUCCUGGGCUGCUGCCCUCUCUCUCCCCUAAGGCCCACUAAGGCCCAAUACUUCCCCGGGGGGUUCCCGUAACCCCUCCGGCACUCCGGUUUUCUCCGAAAUCACCCGGAACACUUCCGGUGUCUGAAUAUAGCCGUCCAAUAUAUCAAUCUUUAUGUAUCGACCAUUCCGAGACUCCUCGUCAUGUACAUGAUCACAUCUGGGACUCCAAACUACCUUCGGUACAUCAAAACACAUAAACUCAUAAUACCGAUCGUCAUCGAGCGUUAAGUGUGCGGACCCUAUGGGUUCGAGAACUAUGUAGACAUGACCGAGACACAUCUCCGGUCGAUAACCAAUAGCGGAACCUGGAUGCUCAUAUUGGCUCCUACAUAUUCUACGAAGAUCUUUAUCGGUCAAACCGCAUAACAGCAUACGUUGUUCCCUUUGUCAUCUGUAUGCUACUUGCCCGAGAUUCGAUCAUCGGUAUCUCAAUACCUAGUUCAAUCUCGUUACCGGCAAGUCUCUUUACUCGUUCCGUAAUACUUCAUCCCACAACUAACUCAUUAGUCACAAUUCUUGCAAGGCUUAUAGUGAUGAGUAUUACCGAGAGGGCCCAGAGAUACCUCUCUUAAACACAGAGUGACAAAUCCUAAUCUCGAUCUAUGCCAACCCAACAAACACCUUCGAAGACAAUUGUAGAGCACCUUUAUAAUCACCCUUUUAUGUUGUGACGUUUGGUAGCACACAAAGUGUUCCUCCGGUAUUCGGGAGUUGCAUAAUCUCAUAGUCUGAGGAACUUGUAUAAGUCAUGAAGAAAGCAGUAGCAAUGAAACUAACACGAUCAUAAUGCUAAGCUAAUGGAUGGGUCAUGUCCAUCACAUCAUUCUCCUAAUGAUGUGAUCCCGUUCAUCAAAUGACAACACAUGUCUAUGGUUAGGAAACUUAACCAUCUUUGAUUAAUGAGCUAGUCAAGUAGAGGCAUACUAGGGACUAUAGGUUUUGUCUAUGUAUUCACACAUGUACUAAGUUUCCGGUUAAUACAAUUCUAGUAUGAAUAAGAAACAUUUAUCAUGAAUUAAUGAAAUAAAUAAUAACUUUACUAUUGCCUCUAGGGCAUAUUUCCUUCAGUAUAGCCGCGUAUUUUUACAACUGACGUGCGCAGUAGAUGGCCUACAAGGCAGGGGCGGGGCAUUGAACCGAGGUGUGGGCCGCUCCCAUCUCAGACUUUUAUUUAGAGCAUAUACAUAAAGGCACCUGAUACGUCUCCAACGUAUCUACUUUUCCAAACACUUUUGCCCUUGUUUUUGACUCUAACUUGCAUGAUUUGGAUGAAACUAACCCAGACUGACGCUGUUUUCAGCAGAAUUGCCAUGGUGUUAUUUAUUGUGCAAAAAACAAAAGUUCUCGGAAUGACCUGAAAAUCCACGGAGAUAACUUUUGGAAAAUAUAAAAAAUACUGGUGAAAGAAUCAAGGCCAGGGGGCCCACACCCUGUCCACAAGGGUGGGGGGCGCGCCCCCUCCUCUGGGCGCGCCCCCUGUCUCAUGGGCCCCCUUGAGCUCCGUUGACCUCAACUCCAACUCUAUAUAUUCCGUUUCACAGAGAGAAAAAUCAGAGAGAAAGUUUCAUCAUGUUUUACGAUACGGAGCUACUGCCAAGCCCUAAUCUCUCUCGGGAGGGCUGAUCUGGAGUCCGUUCAGGGCUCCGAAGAGGGGGAUUCAUCAUCGUCGUCAUCAUCAACCAUCCUCCAUCACCAAUUUCAUGAUGCUCACCGCCGUGCGUGAGUAAUUCCAUCGUAGGCUUGCUGGACGGUGAUGGGUUGGAUGAGAUUUACCAUGUAAUCAAGUUAGUUUUGUUAGGGUUUGAUCCCCAGUAUCCACUAUGUUCUGAGAUUGAUGUUGCUAUGACUCUGCUAUGCUUAAUGCUUGUCACUAGGGCCCGAGUGCCAUGAUUUCAGAUCUGAACCUAUUAUGUUUUCAUGAAUAUAUGUGAGUUCUUGAUCCUAUUUUGUAAGUCUAUAGUCACCUAUUAUGUGUUAUGAUCCGACAACCCCGAAGUGACAAUAAUCGGGAUACUUCUCGGUGAUGACCGUAGUUUGAGGAGUUCAUGUAUUCACUAAGUGCUAAUGCUUUGGUCCGGUUCUCUAUUAAAAGGAGGCCUUAAUAUCCCUUAGUUUCCAUUAGGACCCCGCUGCCACGGGAGGGUAGGACAAAAGAUGUCAUGCAAGUUCUUUUCCAUAAGCACGUAUGACUAUAUUCGGAACACAUGCCUACAUUAUAUUGAUGAACUGGAGCUAGUUCUGUGUCACCCUAUGUUAUAACUAUUACAUGAGGAAUCGCAUCCGACAUAAUUAUCCAUCAUUGAUCCAAUGCCUACGAGCUUUUCACAUAUUGUGCUUUGCUUAUUUACUUUUCCGUCGCUACUGUUACAAUUACUACAAAACUGCUAUCAUUACUUUUAUCACUGUUACCAUUACUAUCAUACUACUUUGCUACUAAAUACUUUGCUGCAGAUACUAAGUUAUCCAUGUGUGGUUUAAUUGACAACUCAACUGUUAAUACUUGAGAAUAUUCUUUGGCACCCCUUGUGUCGAAUCAAUAAAUUUGGGUUGAAUACUCUACCCUCGAAAACUGUUGCGAUCCCCUAUACUUGUGGGUUAUCAAGACUAUUUUCUGGCGCCGCUGCCGGGGAGUGAUACGUCUCCAACGUAUCUAUAAUUUUUGAUUGCUCCAUGCUACUUUAUCUACUGUUUUGGACUAUAUUGGGCUUUAUUUUCCACUUUUAUAUUAUUUUUGGGACUAACCUAUUAACCGGAGGCCAAGACCAGAAUUGCUAUUUUUUUGCCUAUUUCAGUGUUUCGAAGAAACGGAAUAUCAAACGGAGUCCAAACGGAAUGAAACCUUCGGGAACGUGGUUUUCUCACCGAACGUGAUCCAUGAGACUUGGACCCUACUCCAAGAUGUAACAGAGGCGGUCACGAGGGUGGGCCCCCCCCUAGGGCGCGUCCCCUACCUCGUGGCCCCCCUGUUGCUCCACCGACGUACUCCUUCCUCCUAUAUAUACCUACGUAUCCCCAAAUGAUCAGAACAGGAGCCAAAAACCUAAUUCCACCGCCGCAACCUUCUGUAUCCACGAGAUCCCAUCUUGGGGCCUAUUCCGGAGCUCCGCCGGAGGGUCAUCCACCACGGAGGGCUUCUACAUCAACACCAUAGCCCCUCCGAUGAAGUGUGAGUAGUUUACUUCAGACCUUCGGGUCCAUAGCUAGUAGCUAGAUGGCUUCUUCUCUAUUUUUGGAUCUCAAUACAAUGUUCUCCCCCUCUCUCGUGGAGAUAUAUUCGAUGUAAUCUUCUUUUUGCGGUGUGUUUGUUGAGACCGAUGAAUUGUAGGUUUAUGAUCCAGCUUAUCUAUGAACAAUAUUUGAAUCUCCUCUGAAUUUUUUUAUGUAUGAUUGAGUUAUCUUUGCAAGUCUCUUCAAAUUAUCCUUUUUGGUUUGGCCAACUAGAUUGGUAGUUCUUGCAAUGGGAGAAGUACUUAGCUUUGGGUUCAAUCUUGCGGUGACCUUUCCAAGUGACAGAAGGGGCAGCAAGGCACGUAUUGUAUUGUUGCCAACGAGGAUAACAAGAUGGGUUUUUUAUCAUAUUGCAUGAAUUUAUCCCUCUACAUCAUGUCAUCUUGCUUAAGGCGUUACUCUGUUUUUAACUUAAUACUCUAGAUGCAUGCUGGAUAGCGGUCGAUGAGUGGAGUAAUAGUAGUAGAUGCAGAAUCGUUUCGAUCUACUUGUCUCGGACGUGAUGCCUAUAUACAUGAUCAUUACCUAGAUAUGCUCAUAACUAUGCCCAAUUCUGUCAAUUGCUCAAUAGUAAUUUGUUCACCUACCGUAGAAUAUCUAUCCUCUUGAGAGAAGCACUAGUGAAACCUAUGGCCCCCGGGUCUAUUCUUAUCAUAUCAAUCUCCAUUACUUUAUUACUUGCUUUGUUUUUACUUUGCCUUUUACUUUUCACUUUGCAUCUAUAUACCAAAAAUACCAAAAAUAUUAUUUAUCAUCUCUAUCAGAUCUCACUCUCGUAGGUGAACGUGAAGGGAUUGACAACCCCUAAUCACGUUGGUUGUGAGGAGCUGUUGUUUUGUGUAGGUACGAGGGACUUGUGCGUGGUCUCCUACUGGAUUGAUACCUUGGUUCUCAAAAACUGAGGGAAAUACUUACGCUACUUUGCUGCAUCAUCCUCUCCUCUUCGGGGAAAUCCAACGUAGUGCUCAAGAGGUAGCAAGAAGAAUUUCUGGCGCCGUUGCUGGGGAGGCUCACGCAAGCAAGUCAACCAUACCAAGUACCCAUCACAAUCUGUAUCUCUCGCAUUACCUUAUUUGCCAUUUGCCUCUCGUUUUCCUCUCCCCCACUUCACCAUUGCCGUUUUAUUCGCCCUCUCUUUCCCAAUCUCCUCCUCUCUUUCCCAUUUGCCUUUUUUCUGUUGCCUUUUUGUUUGCUCGUGUGUUAGUUUGCUUGCUUGUCAUCAUGACUAGUCUCAUAUCUUCUCCGUUAUCUCCCGAGAAUGAAGUUCUAAAUUUUAAGCAAAGGGAGGGAGAAAAUCUGAAAGACGCUUGGUAUGGAAUUUGCAAUGCUCAAAAUAGAUCUACCAGGAAGAAAUCUACUAUAGUUCUCCUUCAUAAUUUUUACGUAGGUGCUAAUCCUUGGUAUAGAUAUAUCGUUGAUACCAUUACCGGAGGGAAUUUCUUGGGUAGCCAUACUUUUGAUUCUUAUAAUGCUUUAAUAUAUUUAUUUGGCUCACCACCUCUUUUGAUUAAUGGAACUACGUUAACUUUGGACCAUGUUAUGCAAAGACUUUAAAUUAUUGAGAAUAAAGUAGCUACCAUUGAAUCAAUUUAAAAUCUUGAUAAAAAGAUCCACAAUCAAAUUACCCAAUAUGGAUCUAAGGUAGGAAUGACUUUGAAAAAUAUUAAAGAAAAAGUUCCCAUAGUUAAUGAGAAAAUAAAUCUAGAUUCCACAAGAAUCGAUGAACUUGAGGGUAUCAUUACCAACUUGGGAAUCGCUUUUUCAUCCGUACAAAACACUCCAAGUUCGUCUACUAAAAAUACUAAGCUCAUUUAUGUUCCAAAGAAUAAGGGUGAAUCAUCUAGUAGGGAAACUACGGAUCUUAAAUCUAUAAGUGUUCAUCCCAAUCUUUUUACCAUCAUUAAGGAACCUUUUGCUAUGAAUGAAUUUUUCAAUCUUUUGCCUGAAAAUUUGACAAUUACUAGAGAGAAAGAAAAUUCUAAAGGAGAUAGAUGUCUCAUUGAAGAAUUGCCUACCGAAGAUGGCAAUACCUAGAUCUAUCCUUGCUUUUAUGCCUAGCUAGGGGCAUUAAACAAUAGCCUCUAUUUAGGAAUAAAUAAUCCAUCUAGCCUCUGUUUGGAUGUGGUUUUAUGUUUUAAUUAGUGUUUGUGCCAAGUAGAACCUAUAGGAUGACCUAAGAUGAUAGUUGAUUUGAUUUUGCUGAAAAACAGAAACUCUGCCCGCACAAAUAUAAUUUUGUUAAAUCACAGGAACGUGCUUUUGCGUUGAUUCUUUUUGCUUCUGUUCAAUAAAAAAAUUUCCAGGACUUCCUAUUUUGGUAGAAUUUUUAGAGUUCUAGAAGUUUGCGUUAGUUGCAGAUUACUACGGACUGUUCUGUUUUUGACAGAUUCUGUUUUGCGUGUGUUGUUUGCUUAUUUUGAUGACUCUAUGGCUAGUAAAAUAGUUUAUAAUCCAUAGAGAAGUUGGAAUACAGUAGGUGUAACACCAAUAUAAAUAAAUAAUGAGUUCAUUACAGUACCUUGAAGUAGUCUUUUGUUUUCUUUCUCUAACGGAGCUCACGAGAUUUCUAUUGAGUUUUGUGUUGUGAAGUUUUCAUGUUUUGGGUGAAUUCUUUUGAUGGAUUAUGGAACAAGUAGUGGAAAGAGCCUAAGCUUGGGGAUGCCCAUGGAACCCCCAAGAUAAUACAAGGACACCAAAAAGUCAAAGCUUGGGGAUGCCCCAGAAGGCAUCCCCUCUUUCGUCCACUUCCAUUGGUAAUUUACUUGGAGCUAUAUAUUUUAUUCACCACAUGAUAUGUGUUUUGCUUGGAGCGUCUUGUAUUAUUUGCAUCUUUUCUUGUUAGUUUACCACAAUCAUCCUUUCUGUACACACCUUUUGAGAGCCAUACAUGAAUUGGAAUUUGUUAGAAUACUCUAUGUGCUUCACUUAUAUCUUUUGAGCUUGAUAGUUUUGCUCAUAGUACUUCACUUAUAUCUUUUGAGCGUGAUAAUUUUUGCUCUAGUGCUUCACUUAUAUCUUUUAGAGCACGGUGGUGGAUUUGUUUUAAAGAAACUAUUGAUCUCUCAUGAUUCACUUAGAUUAUUUCGAGAGACAUUAAUAGCAUGGUAAUUUGCUUAAUAUUAAUAUACUUGGUGUUCAAGAUAUGUGAAACUUUCUUUUGAGUGAAUUGAAUACUAAGAUAAGUUUGAUGCUUGAUAAUUGUUUUGAGAUAUGGAGGUGAUAAUAUCAAAGUCGUGCUACUUGGGUAAUUGUGAAUUUGAGAAAUGCUUGUGUUGAAGUUUGCAAGUCCCGUAGCAUGCACGUAUGGUUAAAGUUGUGUAACAAAUUUGAAACAUGAAGUGUACCUGGCUUGUGCAUCCUUAUGAGCGGCGGUCGGGGACGAGCGAUGGUCUUUUCCUACCAAUCUAUCCCCCUAGGAGCAUGCGCGUAGUACUUGAUUUUUGAUGGCUUCUAAAUUUUUCAAUAAGUAUAUGAGUUCUUUUGACUAAUGUUGAGCCCAUGGAUUAUACGCACUCUCACCUUUCCGCCUUUGCUAGCCUCUUCGGUACCGUGCAUUGCCCUUUCUCACCUUGAGAGUUGGUGCAAACUUCGCCGAUGCAUCCAAACCCCGUGAUACGAUACGCUCUAUCACACAUAAACCUCCUUUUAUCUUCCUCAAAACAGCCACCAUACCUACCUAUUAUGGCAUUUCCAUAGCCAUUCCGAGAUAUAUUGCCAUGCAACUUCCAUCAUCUUCAUCAUGACAUACAUUACUUUUGUCAUAUUGCCAUUGCAUGAUCAUGUAGUUGACAUCGUAUUUGUGGCGAAGCCACCAUGCAUUAUUUUUCAUACGUGUCACUCUUGAUUCAUUGCACCAUCCCGGUACACCGCCGGAGGCAUUCAUAUAGAGUCAUAUCUUGUUCUAAGUUUCAAGUUGUAAUCCUUAUGUUGUAAUCGAUAGAAGUGUGAUGAUCAUCAUUGUUAGAGCAUUGCCCAAAAAAGAGAAGAAAGGCCAAAAAAAGAGAAAGGCCCAAAAGAAAAAAAAGAAAAAAGGGGCAAUGCUACUAUCUCUUGUUCCGCACUCGUGCUUCAAAGUAGCACCUUGUUCUUCAUGUAGUGAGUCUCAUAUAUUGUGCUUCAAAGUAGCACCUUGUUCUUCAUGUAGUGAGUCUCAUAAGUUAUCUUUUUAUACUAGUGGGAAUUUUUCAUUAUAGAACUUGGCUUGUAUAUUCCUACGAUGGGCUUCCUCAAAUGCCCUAGGUAUUCAUGAACAAGCGAGUUGGAUGCACACCCACUAGUUUUCUUUUGUUGAGGAUUCAUAGCUCUAGUGCAUCCGUUGCAUGGCAAUCCCUACUCCCCAUGUUGACAUCAAUUAAUGGGCAUCUCCAUAGCCCGUUGAUUAUCUUCAUCAAUGUGAGACUUUCUCCUUUUUUGUCUUCUCCACACAAUCCCCAUCAUCAUAUUCUAUUCCACCCAUAGUGCUAUAUCCAUGGCUCGUGCUCAUGUAUUGCGUGAAGGUUGAAAAAGUUUGAGAUUAUUUAAGUAUGAAACAAUUGCUUGGCUUGUCAUCAGGGGUAUAGAAGUUGGGAACAUCUUUGUGUGAAGAAAAUGAAGCAUAGCCUAACUAUAUGAUUUUGUAGGGAUGAACUUUCUUUUGCCAUGUUAUUUUGAGAAGACAUGAUUGCUUUGAUUAGUAUGCUUGAAGUAUUAUUAUUUUUGUGUCAAUAUGAACUUUUGUCUUGAAUAUUUCGGAUCUGAAUAUCCAUAUCACAAUUAAGAAGAUUUACAUUGAAAUUAUGCCAAAGUAUCACUCCGCAUCAAAAAUUCUUUUUUAUCAUUUACCUACUCGAGGACGAGCAGGAAUUAAGCUUUGGGAUGCAUGAUACGUCUCCAACGUACUAUAAUUUUUGAUUGCUCCAUGCUACUUUAUCUACUGUUUUGGACUAUAUUGGGCUUUAUUUUCCACUUUUAUAUUAUUUUUGGGACUAACCUAUUAACCGGAGGCCCAGCCCAGAAUUGUUGUUCUUUUGCCUAUUUCAGUGUUUCGAAGAAACGGAAUAUCAAACGGAGUCCAAACGGAAUGAAACCUUCGGGACGUGAUUUUCUCACCGAACGUGAUCCAGGAGACUUGGACCCUACUCCAAGAUGUAACAGAGGGGUCACGAGGGUGGGGGGCACCCCCCCCUAGGGCGCGCCCCCUGCCUUGUGGCCCCCCUGUUGCUCCACCGACGUACUCCUUCCUCCUAUAUAUACAUAUGUAUCCCCAAACGAUCAGAACAGGAGCCAAAAACCUAAUUCCACCGCCGCAACCUUCUGUAUCCACGAGAUCCCAUCUUGGGGCCUGUUCCGGAGCUCCGCCGGAGGGGGCAUCCACCAUGGAGGGCUUCUACAUCAACACCAUAGCCCCUCCGAUGAAGUGUGAGUAGUUUACUUCAGACCUUCGGGUCCAUAGCUAGUUCUAGAUGGCUUCUUCUCUCUUUUUGGAUCUCAAUACAAUGUUCUCCCCCUCUCUCGUGGAGAUCUAUUCGAUGUAAUCUUCUUUUUGCGGUGUGUUUGUUGAGACCGAUGAAUUGUAGGUUUAUGAUCCAGCUUAUCUAUGAACAAUAUUUGAAUCUCCUCUGAAUUUUUUUAUGUAUGAUUGAGUUAUCUUUGCAAGUCUCUUCAAAUUAUCCUUUUUGGUUUGGCCAACUAGAUUGGUAGUUCUUGCAAUGGGAGAAGUACUUAGCUUUGGGUUCAAUCUUGCGGUGACCUUUCCAAGUGACAGAAGGGGCAGCAAGGCACGUAUUGUAUUGUUGCCAACGAGGAUAACAAGAUGGGUUUUUUAUCAUAUUGCAUGAAUUUAUCCCUCUACAUCAUGUCAUCUUGCUUAAGGCGUUACUCUGUUUUUAACUUAAUACUCUAGAUGCAUGCUGGAUAGCGGUCGAUGAGUGGAGUAAUAGUAGUAGAUGCAGAAUCGUUUCGAUCUACUUGUCUCGGACGUGAUGCCUAUAUACAUGAUCAUUACCUAGAUAUGCUCAUAACUAUGCUCAAUUCUAUCAAUUGCUCAGCAGUAAUUUGUUCACCCACCGUAGAAUAUCUAUGCUCUUGAGAUAAGCCACUAGUGAAACCUAUGGCCCCCGGGUCUAUUCUCAUCAUAUCAAUCUCCAUUACUUUAUUACUUGCUUUGUUUUUACUUUGCCUUUUACUUUUCACUUUGCAUCUAUAUACCAAAAAUGCCAAAAAUAUUAUUUAUCAUCUCUAUCAGAUCUCACUCUCGUAAGUGACCGUGAAGGGGUUGACAACCCCUAAUCGCGUUGGUUGCGAGGAGCUAUCGUUUUGUGUAGGUACGAGGGACUUGUGCGUCUUCUCCUACUGGAUUGAUACCUUGGUUCUCAAAAACUGAGGGAAAUACUUAUGCUACUUUGCUGCAUCAUCCUCUCCUCUUCGGGGAAAUCCAACGCAGUGCUCAAGAGGUAGCAGGGAGCAUAGCUCCAUUCUUUGAGUCACUUGGGAUUUAUAUCUGCUGAUCACUAUGAAGAACUUGAAAGACGAAAGAACUAAGAUUUUUCCCUCAACUAUGAGGGGAGGUAAGGAACUGCCAUCUAGCUCUGCACUAGAUUCUCCUUCUGUUUUGAGUAAGCUUGCGACACCUAAACCUACUACUGCUAUGAAUUCUGAUAUGUCGCAUGUUAUUGAUGAUGCCACUUCUGCUAUGCAUGAUACUUAUGAUGAAACUACUUCUGUGCUUGAUACUACUUUGCCAUUAGGUGAAUUUCUUGAUGAACAACUUGCUAGGGUUAGAGCGAAUGAAAUUAUUGAAGAUGAUAUUAUUGAUGAUAGUGAUGAUGAAGGUUCUCCCCCUAAGUAUUAAUUGCCCGUUGUUCCUGAGAGUUGUGUUAUGGAUGAGAAACUGCUAGAGAUCUUUUUGCUUGCAAUGAUAGAUCUGAUCUUAAGGAAUUACUAGCUAAACUUAAACAGAAAACUUUGAAUGCUAGAAUGAAAUAUGACCCUACUUUUGCUACUUCACUAUCUUAGUUACUGAUAAGGAUUAUGAAUUCUCUGUUGAUCCUGAGAUAAUUACUUUGGUUGAAUCUGAUCCUUUUUAUGACUAUGAAUCUAAAACUAUUGUGGCACAUCUUACUAAAUUGAAUGAUAUAGCCACCUUGUUCACUAAUGAUGAGAAGUCUCGCUAUUAUUAUAUCCUUAAGAUAUUUCCGUUCUCAUUAAAGGGUGAUGCUAAAACUUGGUUUAAUUCUCUUGAUCCUGGUUGUGUGCGUAGUCCCGAGGACAUGAUUUAUUACUUCUCUGCUAAAUAUUUCCCUGCUCAUAAGAAACAAGCUGAAUUGCGUGAAUUAUAUAAUUUUGUGCAAAUCGAAGAAGAGAGUCUCCCACAAGCUUGGGGGAGGCUUCUCCGAUUACUUAAUGCUUUGCCUGAUCAUCCUCUUAAGAAAAAUGAGACACUUGAUAUCUUUUAUAAUGGACUAACCGAUGCUUCCAAGGACCACUUGGAUAGUUGUGCUGGUUGUGUUUUUAGGGAAAGAACAGUCGACCAAGCUGAAUUACUAUUGAAUAAUAUGUUGACUAAUGAAAAUAAUUCGACUCUUCCUGAGCCAAUUGAGCCAACUCCUGAAUCUAUUCUUAAACCAACUCCAAAGAAGAGGGGAGUUCUAUUUCUCAGUCCUGAAGAUAUGCAAGAGGCAAAGAAAUCUAUGAAAGAAAAAGGUAUUAAAGCUGAAGAUGUUAAGCAUGUACCUCCUAUUGAAGAAAUACAUGGUCUUAAUAUACCGCCUAUUGAAGAAACACAUUGUCUUGAUAACCCGACACAGGCAGUAAAGGUAAAUUCUCUCUAUAGCUAUGAUAAGGUUGAUAUCCCGUCUACUAAAUUUCCUAGCCAAUGUUUAGAUGAAUUUGAUGACUUUAUGGCUAGACAAGAAAGUUUUAAUGCUUAUGUUGGUAGAUAAUUAAAGAGUAAUGCUUUCAUGAUAGGAUGCUUGAGUGAUUAUAUGGCUAGAGUUAAAGGUGAACUUAAACUCAUUAGCAAAUAUGCUUAUAUGGUUACCACUCAAGCAGAACAAGUACAUAAAGCUCAAAGAGAUUUGCUUGAUGAAUUAAAUAAUAAACAUGACUUUGUUGUUAGAAUGGCUACUAGAACUGGUAGAAUGACUCAGAAACCUUUGUAUCCUGAAGACCACCCUAAGAGAAUCGAGCAAGAUUCUCAAAGAAAUAAUUUAGAUGCACCUAGUCCUUCUAAAAAGAAGAAAAAGAAAAACGAUAGGACUUUGCAUGCUUCUAGUGAACCUGUUGUAGACACACCUAAGAAUCCCAAUGAUAUUUCUAUUUCUGAUGCUGAAACACAAUCUGGUGAUGAACACGAACCUAGUAAUAAUGUUAAUGAUAAUGUUCAUGCUGAUACUCAACCUAGCAAUAAUAAUGAUAUAGAGAUUGAACCUGUUGUUGAUCUUGAUAACCCACAAUCAAAGAAUCAACACUAUGAUAAAAGAGACUUUUGCUAGGAAGCACCGUAAAGAAAGGGAACCAUGGGUUCAGAAACCCAUGCCUUUUCCUCCUAAACCAUCCAAGACAAAGGAUGAUGAGGAUUUUGAGCGCUUUGCUGAAAUGAUUAGGCCUAUCUUCUUACGUAUGCGCUUAACUGAUAUGCUUAAAGUAAACCCUUAUGCUAAAUAUAUGAAGGAUAUCAUUACAAAUAAAAUAAAUAUACCGGAAGCUGAAAUUUCCACCAUGCUUUCUAAUUAUACUUUUAAGGGUGGAAUACCAAAGAAACUUGGAGAUCUGGGAGUACCAACUAUACCAUGCUCCAUUAAAAGAAAUUACGUUAAAACUGCUUUAUGUGAUCUUGGAGCCGGUGUUAGUGUUAUGCCUCUCUCUUUAUAUCGUAGACUUGAAUUUAAUAAGUUGACACCUACUAAAAUAUCUUUGCAAAUGGCUGAUAAAUCAACUGCUAUACCUGUCGGUAUUUGUGAGGAUGUGUCUGUUGUGGUUGCAAAUGUCACUAUCUUAACGGACUUUAUUAUUCUUGAUAUUCUCGAUGACGAUAGUAUGUCGAUUAUCCUUGGUAGACCCUUUUUGAAUACUGCAGGGGCUGUCAUUGAUUGCAACAAAGGCAAUGUCACUUUUCAUGUUAAUUGUAAUGAGCAUACGGUACACUUUCCGAGGAAAUAACCUCAAGUUCAUAGCAUCAAUUCUAUUGAAAAAAUUCCAACUAUCAUUAUUGGAGGUUUUGAAUUUCCUCUUCCUACUGUUAAGAAAAAUAUGAUAUUCUUAUUAUUGGGGAUGUUCAUAUCCCCGUUGAGGUAACCUACACUACAGGAAUCUGGUACUUUGCCAUCAGCCAUGGCGGACGGCAAAGGCUAGGAUGGCGGACGGCAAAGGCCUUUGCUGUCCGCCGCGGACGGCAAACAGCGAUGGCAAAGACAGGGUCGGCAAAGGCCUUCUUUGCCGUCUGUUUUUUGCAGCGGACGGCAAAGAGGCCUUUGCCGUCAGCGGCGGACGGCAAAGGGCACAACUCUUUACCAUCCGCUGCCAGACGGCAAAGGGCAUGGCUCUUUGCCAUCUGCUGGCAGACGGCAAAGGCUGCAGGCUCUUUGCCAUCUGUUGGCAGAUGGCAAAGAGACCAAAUAGGCAUUAAUUCUGUUUUUUCUUAUAUCAAUUCAUUUUCACAAAAAAUCAAACACAAUCAAACACAGACUAUAUGUAUGACCAAUAUAGCAUAUCCAACACAUAUUACCAAUACUCAUGAACACAUAUAUAUCCAACACAUAUCCAUGAACACAUAUCCAACACAUGUUACCAAUAUAUAGUCAUGAACACAUAUAUAUCCAACACAUAUCCAUGAACACAUAUCCAACAAAUAUUACAAGGAAUGAUCAAAAACUAAAUAUCUAUUUUCCUAAAAACUAUCUUAUUACUAAGAUCUUCUCUGGAUCUUCUUCUUUUCUUCCAACCUGCAUAACAAAAACACUAAGAAAGAGAGAAUGGGUUAGGAGUAGAAAUGUAGCAUUUCACUUGGUGAAAUGCAAUGCUGUAGGAGCCAGUACUUGAGAUCAAGAUAAUCUUAGUUAAGAUCCUGAUUUUCAAAGUGAUCUUAAUUAGAAAGCCAAAUAGAGUAAACCAAUACCAAAGAGCCAAAGAAGAGAACCAGCCAAGGACCCAAUCAAGAAGCCACCACAAUUAGCAGUAAGUUAAAUGCCAACACAAAGACCACUAUCAGUACUAGCUCCGGGAAUUAAGCCAACUAAAAACUAGUGAUUAAAGCCAAAGAUUAGACUUCAUCACCACAAUCAGUUUUGUCUAGUGACAAUAGGUACAUGUCACUGUGCAACGCCAAAAACAAAGCUCCAAGAGGAGAUAUACAUCGCAACCAGCCAAGCAGACCAAGUCCCAACACAUCCAACCACCAGCAGCUUAGAAGAGAUAACUAUUAAGGAGAGCUACAUAAGACCUCAAGGUAUACUUGAGGGAUUAUGUGCUCAGACAGCCUGGAAGUGCCAGGGCUAGUUCAUCACAGCACAGGGAUAGUCACAUGUAAAUUAAGCCUAAGAGAGGGGGGCUCAGACCAGCAUCACUACCCAAAUCAAGAGCUAUGCAUUAGAGAGAUCAGGAGGGGAGCAAGGAGAAGCUCACCAAAAGGAGUUGUAGCCGAAGCAGGAUGCAUCCACACCAUCACUAUGGUGUGACCAGCAUCACAACCAACACCACCACAACAAGCCGGAGCUUGCCAGAGAGCACCACAAUGGCGGCGCCAGUGAGAGCACGGGCACGAAGGCGCCAACCAGGGGCACCGCAGCACGGAGGCGCCACCCGGGGGCACCACCGCGCCACGACACAUCCAGCACCACCAGAGGAUCCUCACGGCGACCGGACCUAAAUGCGGUCCGUCCACUUUGGUUGCACAUGCCAAAUCAGCGAUGAAUGAGCUACUUUUCCCGCAUAGCAAGCAAACACUCCAUUCAAUAGAAGAAAGGCCGGCUUUACAGAAGCAAAGAUUAAAGGUAGAGUGUUCAGAAGCAAUGAAUGAUCAAUUUGGCAUAAGCAGGACCAAACCAAAACCAUGGCAGAAACUAAAUUGACAACACAUGAUGAUGCCUCCGAAGUAGAUAAGGACAGCACAAGUUUUACCUAUACACAACACAACGAUCACUAUACGAAAUAGUAAGCAUUUAUAGUUUCCUUGUGUUUGAUUGAUUGACACUCAUUAUUAACAAGUCAAGUUAAAUCCCUGCAGCAUAUGUACUAAGGACCCUAUCAAAUCGAGCUAACCACGGCAGCCCUCAAGCAGAGUAAACCGAUUUAUGGCACAAUUAUAGAAGUGAACAGCUGAGUCCUCCUCAACCAUUAUUGCAUAUGAAGCGAAAACAAGAUUGAUAAUUUUUCUUGUUUGGUUUAGAACUUGAGUGGACGGGUGCAAGACAGGAAAAGAAGAAAUCCAAGAGGGGAGGAGAGGAGAAGGGGCGGACCUGGAUGGCGUUGGGGCAGUGGUGGAGCUGCGUCCUCCACGGCGUCCUUCUCGUCCAUGGCAUCCUUCCCGUCCAUGGCUUCCCGGCGUGAUGGAUCUAUGAGGGAGAGGAGACGCGACGCGACGCGGUGAGAAAGAGAGGGAUGGAUGUGACGAGGAGGAGUGAAGAGACUCACCUGAGUCACCGGAGCAACACUGGAGCCACGCCGGCGAUGUGGUGGCCGAAACCCUAGCCGCAGGGGAGGGUCACACGUGGUCGCUGGAGGACGCGCGAGUCAGAUUUGGUCGGAGGGGAUGGAGGAGCGGGGCGAGGGGGUCACAUGGGUGUGCUGGGCGGCGUCGAAUCCCGUCGGAGCUCGCCGAAAUCGGCCGCCGUAGGUGCUCGCGCGAGGGAGAGGGAGAGAUGAGCGGGAGAGAGAGAGGGGAGAGAGAGAGGAGGUGGGGGCCGUGCGGAGAGAGGGGAGACAGAGAGAGGAGGUGGGGGUCAACGAUUUUCUUUGUACCCGCAAAAAAAGAGAUAGCCCCACCUCUUUGCCGUCCGCUAGCACAUGGUAAAGAUUCUUUGCCAUCUGCUGGCAGACAGCAAAUAAUUGGCUGAUGGCAACUGGCAUCUUUGCCGUCUAUCAGUUCUUUGCCGUCUGUUUUUUGCAAGCAGACGACAAAGUGCCUCUUUGCCAUCCGCCAGCUGAUGGCAAAGAACUGGCAGACGGCAAAUAAGCUAAUUCCAGUAGUGCUAGUGUUAUUCGAAAUUUUUCCGGUUCCAUGAUAUUCAGAAUGAGUUUGUUAACACGACUUGAUCAACCUUGUUAGUGGAUUCCUUUUGAUGAUCAUGAGAUGGAUGAAACUAGAAGGCACAACCUUCUGUACCCUCUUUUUACUUUCUGUUAUUUAGAGUAAAUAAAGCAAAAAAAGUAUUAUCUGUCUGUUUUCUAAAUUAUCCAUGCAACAAAAAUAUCCCGAAAAUAAAAGUGCUCCAAAUGCCCUGCAAAUUUAGUAUGAUUUUUUAUGGAAUAUUUGAGGAUUUUAGGCACGAAGAACAUAGCAGGGGGCAAGCACCUGGCCACGAGGGUCCAGGGCGCGCCCACUCCCCUAGGCGAGCACACCUACCUCCUGGGCCCAUGGUGGCCCCCCUCCACUUAUUCCUCCACACACACACUCCAUCUUUCUCCCAAAAAAUUCCCCAUCCAGCUCAAGCAUGAGUUCUAGCUCAUUUUGCUGCGAUUUUCGAUCUCCUUGCUCAAAGCUCCAUUCACAAAACUACUUUGGGAGAUUGUUGCUUGGUAUGUGACUCCUCCAUUGGUCCAAUUAGUUUUUGUUCUAGUGCUUUAUUCAUUGCAAACUGUUGCUGCUUAGGUGACCCUGUUUCUUGAGCUUGCAUGUAAAAUUUAUGAGGUCCCAAGUAAUUCUAAUGCAUGAUAUAGGCUCUAGGCACUUGUGGGAGUAGCUGCUAUCAAUCUUGUUUAGUUUGAUUCACUUUUAUUUUGAGUUACUAAAAAUUUCAGAAAUUUUCAGAAAAUGAUGAGGAGAUUAUUGAGGAGCUCUUCUAGUCAAAACUCCAAGGAUAAACAAGCUAAGGAGAAAGAAAAGGCCAAGUAUAAUCUUCCUCGCAUAGCGGAAGUAAGGCCGUGUGAGUGGCCUUGUGAUAAUUUCUUGAGAGCAGUCGCGAUUUAUGAAGACUUUUAUUCUUUGGCUGAAAAUGCGGGCCUCACCGACUUCCUCCACGACCGGAUCGAACAACCAUUACCUCGUCUUGCCGAAGGCCGUGUAUGCGCAUCGAGGCCAGACACCCGCUCCAGAUCCUGAGCCGGAACCUCCACUCGACCCUUAUCGUCCAUCCUGUUAUCAGUGGGAUCCGGAGGAGAUCGCCAGCCAGUGGUAUCCAGAUGACACUCCUCGGUACACCAGGGAGAGUAGACGCGAUCCUUGGGCAUAGACCAACUUAGGCCAAAAGCCUAAGCUUGGGGAGUACGUAUUUCUCACCGACUUUACAUUCAUGUUCACACACUUAUUCUAGUUGUCGGUGCUAAUACUUUUUCAUUGUACUAUCCAUGCUAGUUUAAUUUCUUUUUAUAGCUUUCUUCUUGUGUGUUUGAUAAACCUUAAGAAAAACAAAAAAAUUAGUUAGUUUAAUUUCCAUGCUUGUAAUAGUAAUUAAAAAGAAAACCCAAAAAUAUUUCUCGUUCUUCUUUUGCUUGUUGGGAGCUUUCCCGUGUAAAUAGUUUUAUUUCUUUUCUUUCUUUUGGGGGUCGAGAGGAGAAGACCAUAAUGAAAAUGUUUAGUGGCUCUCAUAUGCAUGAUUGUUGAUUUAACUUAGAGCCCAUAUUACUUUAUCUUCUCUCUUGCAUUGAAUGCUUGAAGAUUCCAGCUUAGUCCAAUGCACGCGCACUAUUAUUAUUAUAUACACCAUUCGGUCGUGCAAGUGAAAGGCAAUAAUCACAAUAUAUGAUGGACUGAUCGAGAUGAGAGAAGCUAGUAUGAACUCGACCUCUCUUGUUUUUGUAAAUAUGAUGAGUUCAUCAUUCCUGAUUCAGCCUAUAUGAAUAAAUAUGUUUACAAUGACAAUUAGAGAUUAUAGUUGCUUAUGCCAUGCUCAAUUAGCUACGAGCUUACAAUAGUUUACCUUGUGUACCAACAUGCUAUUAAAAUGGUUGUGAUGUGGUAUGAUAGGGUGGUAUCCUCCUUUGAAUGAUUCGAGUGACUUGACUUGGCACAUGUUCACGCAUGUAGUUGAAACAAAUCAACAUAGCCUUCACGAUAUUUAUGUUCAUGGUGGAUUAUAUCCUACUCAUGCUUGCGCUCAGUGUUGAUUAAUUUUAAUGCAUGUUCAUGACUAUUGUCGCUCUCUCAGUUGGUCGCUUCCCAGUCUUUUGCUAGCCUUCACCUGUACUAAGCGGGAAUACUGCUUGUGCAUCCAAACUCCAUAAACCCCAAAGUUAUUCCAUAUGAGUCCACCAUACCUUCCUAUAUGCGGUAUUUACCUGCCGUUCCAAGUAAAUUUGUAUGGACCAAACUCCAAACCUUCAAAUGAAAUUCUGUUUUGUAUGCUCGAGCAACUCAUGUUUCAACUAGGGUUGUCUGUAUCUUCCAUGCUAGGUGGGUUAUUCUCAAGAGGAGUGGACUCCGCUCCUCAUUCACGAGAAAAUGGCUGGUAUCCGGGAUGCCCAGUCCCAUGAUUAAAAAGAUCAAAGCAAAUCGAAAUAAUUAAACAAAACUCCCCCAGGGCUGUUUCUAGUUGGAGGCACUCAUUGUUUCGAGCAAGCCAUGGAUUGAUGCUUGUUGGUGGUGGGGGAGUAUAAACUUUACCAUUCUGUCUGGGAACCGCCUAUAAUGCAUGUAGCAUGGAAGAUAUCGAGAUCUCAUAGUUGUUAUGUUGAUAGUGAAAGUAUACCGCUCAAAAUGUUAUUCAUCUCUAUUUUAAAUUCGAGCUUCGGCACCUCUACAAACCCCCGCUUCCCUCUGCGAAGGGCCUAUAUAUUUACUUUUAUGUUGAGUCAUCACCUUCUUAUUAAAAAGCACCCACCGGAGAGCACACUGUCAUUUGCAUUCAUUACUAUUAGUUUAUAUUGGGUAUGACUUGACUGGAUCUCUUUUACCAUGAAUUACAAUGUUUAGUCAGUCCUUGAUCUUUAAAGGUGCUCUGCAUUUAUGUUUUGCAGUCGCAGAAAGGGCUAGCGAGAUACCAUCUUGUUAUAUCAUAUUAUGAUUGUUUUGAAAAAGUGUUGUCAUCCGAGUUUUAUUAUUAUUGCUCGCUAGUUGAUUAUGCCAUUGAUAUGAGUAAAUAUGAGACCUAAGUGUUAUUGUGAAUAUGGUUAGUUCAUAAUCUUUGCUGAAAACUUGAAUGUUGGCUUUACAUAUUUACAACAAGAAGAGCAAACAGAGUUUGUAAAAGUUUUUCUUUAUCACUUUCAGUUUAUCAACUGAAUUGCUUGAGGACAAGCAAAGGUUUAAGCUUGGGGGAGUUGAUACGUCUCCAACGUAUCUACUUUUCCAAACACUUUUGCCCUUAUUUUGGACUCUAACUUGCAUGAUAUGGAUGAAACUAACCCGGACUGACGCUGUUUUCAGCAGAACUGCCAUGGUGUUGUUUAUUGUGCAGAAAACAAAAGUUCUCGCAAGGACCUGAAAAUCCAUGGAGAUAACUUUUGAAAAAUUUAAAAAAUACUGGCAAAAGAAUCAAGGCCAGGGGGCCCACACCCUGUCCACAAGGGUGGGGGCGCGCCCCCUCCCCUUGGGCGCGCCCUCAUGUCUCGUGGGCCCCCUGGAGCUCCACCGACCUCAACUCCAACUCUAUAUAUUCCAUUUCGCGGAGAAAAAAAUCAGAGAGAAAGUUUCAUUGCGUUUUACAAUAUGGAGCCACCGCCAAGCCGUAAUCUCUCUCGGGAGGGCUGAUCUGGAGUCCUUUCGGGGCUCCGGAGAGGGGGAUUCGUCGACGUCGUCAUCAUCAACCAUCCUCCAUCACCAAUUUCAUGAUGCUCACCGCUGUGCGUGACUAAUUCCAUCAUAGGCUUGCUGGACGGUGAUGGGUUGGAUGAGAUUUACCAUGUAAUCAAGUUAGUUUUGUUAGGGUUUGAUCCCCAGUAUCCACUAUGUUCUGAGAUUGAUGUUGCUAUGACUCUGCUAUGCUUAAUGCUUGUCACUAGGGCCCGAGUGCCAUGAUUUCAGAUCUGAACCUAUUAUGUUUUCAUGAAUAUAUGUGAGUUCUUGAUCCUAUUUUGCAAGUCUAUAGUCACCUAUUAUGUGUUAUGAUCCGACAACCCCGAAGUGACAAUAAUCGGGAUACUUCUCGGUGAUGACCGUAGUUUGAGGAGUUCAUGUAUUCACUAAGUGCUAAUGCUUUGGUCCGGUUCUCUAUUAAAAGGAGGCCUUAAUAUCCCUUAGUUUCCAUUAGGACCCCGCUGCCACGGGAGGGUAGGACAAAAGAUGUCAUGCAAGUUCUUUUCCAUAAGCACGUAUGACUAUAUUCGGAAUGCAUGCCUACAUUACAUUGAUGAACUGGAGCUAGUUCUGUGUCACCCUAUGUUAUAACUAUUACAUGAGGAAUCGCAUCCGACAUAAUUAUCCAUCAUUGAUCCAAUGCCUACGAGCUUUUCACAUAUUGUGCUUUGCUUAUUUACUUUUCCGUCGCUACUGUUACAAUUACUACAAAACUGCUAUCAUUACUUUUAUCACUGUUACCAUUACUAUCAUACUACUUUGCUACUAAAUACUUUGCUGCAGAUACUAAGUUAUCCAUGUGUGGUUUAAUUGACAACUCAACUGUUAAUACUUGAGAAUAUUCUUUGGCACCCCUUGUGUCGAAUCAAUAAAUUUGGGUUGAAUACUCUACCCUCGAAAACUGUUGCGAUCCCCUAUACUUGUGGGUUAUCAAGAUUAUUUUCUGGCACCGUUGCCGGGGGGCAUAGCUCUAUUCUUUGAGUCACUUGGGAUUUAUAUGUGCUGAUCACUAUGAAGAACUUGAAAGACGAAAGAACUAAGAUUUUUCCCUCAACUACGAGGGGAGGUAAGGAACUGCCAUCUAGCUCUGCACUAGAUUCUCCUUCUGUUUUGAGUAAGCUUGUGACACCUAAACCUGCUACUGCUAUGAAUUCUGAUAUGUUGCAUGUUAUUGAUGAUGCCACUUCUGCUAUGCAUGAUACUUAUGAUGAAACUAGUUCUGUGCUUGAUACUACUUUGCCAUUAGGUGAAUUUCUUGAUGAACAACUUGCUAGGGUUAGAGAGAAUGAAAUUAUUGAAGAUGAUAUUAUUGAUGAUAGUGAUGAUGAAGGUUCUCCCCCUAAGUAUGAAUUGCCCAUUGUUCCUGAGGGUUAUGUUAUGGAUGAAGAAACUGCUAGAGAUCUUUUUGCUUGCAAUGAUAGAUCUAAUCUUAAGAAAUUACUAGCUAAACUUAAACAGAAAACUUUGAAUGCUAGAAAGAAAUAUGACCCUGCUUUUGCUACUUCACCUAUCUUUGUUACUGAUAAGGAUUAUGAAUUCUCUGUUGAUCCUGAGAUAAUUACUUUGGUUGAAUCUGAUCCUUUUUAUGGCUAUGAAUCUGAAACUGAUGUGGCACAUCUUACUAAAUUGAAUGAUAUAGCCACCCUGUUCACUAAUGAUGAGAAGUCUCGCUAUUAUUAUAUCCUUAAGAUAUUUCCGUUCUCAUUAAAGGGUGAUGCUAAAACUUGGUUUAAUUCUCUUGAUCCUGGUUGUGUGCGUAGUCCCGAGGACAUGAUUUAUUACUUCUCUGCUAAAUAUUUCCCUGCUCAUAAGAAACAAGCUGCCUUGCACGAAAUGUAUAAUUUUGUGCAAAUCGAAGAAGAGAGUAUCCCACAAGCUUGGGAGAGGCUUCUCUGAUUACUUAAUGCUUUGCCUAAUCGGCCUCUUAAGAAAAAUGAAAUACUUGAUAUCUUUUAUAAUGGGCUAACCGAUGCUUCCAAGGACCAGUUGGAUAGUUGUGCUGGUUGUGUUUUCUGGGAAAGAACAGCCGACCAAGCUGAAUUACUAUUGAAUAAUAAGUUGACUAAUGAAAAUAAUUGGACUCUUCCUGAGCCAAUUCCUAAGCCAAUUGAGCCAACUCCUGAACCUAUUCCUAAACCAACUUCGUAGAAGAGGGGAGUUCUAUUUCUGAGUCUCGAAGAUAUGCAAGAGGCAAAUAAAUCUAUGAUAGAAAAAGGUAUUAAAGCUGAAGGUGUUAAGAAUUUACCUCCUAUUGAAGAAAUACAUGGUCUUAAUAUACCGCCUGUUGAAGAAACACAUUGUCUUGAUAACUUGACACAGGUAGUAAAGGUAAAUUCUCUCUAUAGAUAUGAUAAGGUUGAUAUCACGUCUACUAAAUUUCCUAGCCCAUGUUUAGAUGAAUUUGAUGACUUUAUGGCUAUACAAAAAAGUUUUAAUGCUUAUGUUGGUAGGGAAUUAAAGAGUAAUGCUUUCAUGAUAGAAUGCUUGAGUGAUUAUAUGGCUAGAGUUAAAGGUGAACUUAAACUCAUUAGCAAAUAUGCUUCUAUGGUUACCACUAAAGCAGAACAAAUACUUAAAGCUCAAAGUGAUUUGCUCGAUGAAUUAAAUAAUAAACAUGACUUUGCUGUUAGAGUGGCUACUAGAACUGGUAGAAUGACUCGGGAACCUUUGUAUCCUGAAGGCCACCCUAAGAGAAUCGAGCAAGAUUCUCAGAGAAAUAAUUUAGAUGCACCUAGUCCUUCUAAAAAGAAGAAAAAGAAAAAUGAUAGGACUUUGCAUGCUUCUAGUGAACCUGUUGUAUACACACCUGAGAAUCCCAAUGAUAUUUCUAUUUCUGAUGCUGAAGCACAAUCUGGUGAUGAACAUGAACCUAGUGAUAAUGUUAAUGAUAAUGUUCAUGCUAAUACUCAACCUAGCAAUAAUAAUGAUAUAGAGAUUGAACUUGCUGUUGAUCUUGAUAACCCACAAUCAAAGAAUCAACGUUAUGAUAAAAGGGACUUUGUUGCUAGGAAGCACGGUAAAGAAAGGGAACCAUGGGUUCAGAAACCCUUGCCUUUUCCACCUAAACCAUCCAAGACAAAGGAUGAUGAGGAUUUUGAGCGCUUUGCUGAAAUGAUUAGACCGAUCUUCUUAUGUAUGCGCUUAACUGAUAUGCUUAAAGUAAACCUUUGUGCUAAAUAUAUGAAGGAUAUCAUUACAAAUAAAAGAAAUAUACCGGAAGCUGAAAUUUCCACCAUGCUUUCUAAUUAUACUUUUAAGGGUGGAAUACCAAAGAAACUUGGAGAUCUGGGAGUACCAACUAUACCAUGCUCCAUUAAAAGAAAUUACGUUAAAACUGCUUUAUGUGAUCUUGGAGCCGGUGUUAGUGUUAUGCCUCUCUCUUUAUAUCGUAGACUUGAAUUUAAUAAGUUGACACCUACUAAAAUAUCUUUGCAAAUGGCUGAUAAAUCAACUGCUAUACCUGUCGGUAUUUGUGAGGAUGUGUCUGUUGUGGUUGCAAAUGUCACUAUCUUAACGGACUUUAUUAUUCUUGAUAUUCUCGAUGACGAUAGUAUGUCGAUUAUCCUUGGUAGACCCUUUUUGAAUACUGUAGGGGCUGUCAUUGAUUGCAACAAAGGCAAUGUCACUUUUCAUGUUGAUGGUAAUGAGCAUACGAUACACUUUCUGAGGAAACAACCUCAAGUUCAUAGCAUCAAUUCUAUUGGAAAAAUUCCAACUAUCAUUAUUGGAGGUUUUGAAUUUCCUCUUCCUACUGUCAAGAAAAAAUAUGAUAUUCUUAUUAUUGGGGAUGUUCAUAUCCCCGUUGAGGUAACCUAGUGUUAUUCGAAAUUUCUCCGGUUCCAAGAUAUUCGGAAUGAGUUUGUUAACAAGACUUGAUCAACCUUGUUAGUGGAUUCCUUUUGAUGAUCAUGAGAUGGAUGAAACUAGAAGGCACAACCUUAUGUACCCUAUUUUUUACUUUCCGUUAUUUAGAAUAAAUAAAGCAAAAAUAGUAUUAUCUAUAUGUUUUCUGAUUUAUCCAUGCAAUAAAAAAUAUCCUGAAAAUAAAAGUGCUCCAAAUGCCCUGCAAAUUUAGUAUGAUUUUUAUGGAAUAUUUGAGGAUUUUAGGCACUGAGAACACAACAGGGGGGGGGCAAGCACCUGGCCACGAGGGUCCAGGGUGCGCCCACUCCCCUAGGCGUGCCCCCCUGCCUCGUGGGCCCACGGUGGCCUCCCUCCACUUAUUCCUGCACCCACACACUCCAUCUUCCUCCCAAAAAAUCCCCAUCCAGCUCAAGCAAGAGUUCUAGCUCAUUUUGCUGCGAUUUUCGAUCUCCUUGCUCAAAGCUACAUUCACAAAACUUAUUUGGGAGAUUGUUGCUUGGUAUGUGACUCCUCCAUUGGUCCAAUUAGUUUUUGUUCUAGUGCUUUAUUCAUUGCAAAUUGUUGCUGCUUAGGUGACCCUAUUCUUGAGCUUGCAUGUAAAGUUUAUGAGGUCCCAAGUAAUUCUAAUGCAUGAUAUAGGCUCUAGGCACUUGUGGGAGUAGUUGAUAUCAAUCUUGUUUAGUUUGAUUCACUUUUAUUUUGAGUUACUAAAAAUUUCAGAAAUUCUCAGAAAGUGAUGAGGAGAUUAUUGAGGGGCUCUUCUAGUCAAAGCUCCAAGGAUAAACAAGCUAAGGAGAAAGAAAAGGCCAAGUAUAAUCUUCCUCGCAUAGUGGAAGUAAGACCGUGUGAGUGGCCUUGUGAUAAUUUCUUGAGAGCAGCCGGGAUUUAUGAAGACUUUUAUUCUUUGGCUGAAAAUGCGGGUCUCACUGACUUCCUCCACGACCGGAUCGAACAUCCAUUACCUCGUCUUGUCGAAGGCCAUGUACGUGCAUCGAGGCCAGACACCCGCUCCAGAGACUGAGCCGGAACCUCUACUGGACCCUUAUCGUCCAUCCUGUUAUCAGUGGGAUCCAGAGGAGAUCGCCAGCCAGUGGUAUCCAGAUGACACUCCUCAGUACACCGGGGAGAGUAGCCGCGAUCCUUGGGCAUAGACCAACUUAGGCCAAAAGCCUAAGCUUGGGGGAGUACGUAUUUCUCACCGACUUUACAUUCAUGUUCACACACUUAUUCUAGUUGUCGGUGCUCAUACUUUUUCAUUGUACUAUCCAUGCUAGUUUAAUUUCUUUUUCUAGCUUUCUUCUUGUAUGUUUGAUAAACCUUAAGAAAAACAAAAAAACUAGUUAGUUUAAUUUCCAUGCUUGUAAUUGUAAUUAAAAAGAAAACCCAGAAAUAUUUCUCGUUCUUCUUUUGCGUGUUGGGAGCUUUCCCGUGUAAAUAGUUUUAUUUCUUUUCUUUCUUUUGGGGGUCGAGAGGAGAAUACCAUAAUGAAAAUAUUUAGUGGCUCUCAUAUGCAUGAUUGGUUAUUUAACUUAGAGCCCAUAUUACUUUAUCUUCUCUCUUGAAUUGAAUGCUUGCAGAUUCCAGCUUAGUACAAUGCACGCGCACUAUUAUUAUUAUAUACACCGUUCGGUCGUGCAAGUGAAAGGCAAUAAUGAUGAUAUAUGAUGGACUAAUCAAGAUGAGAGAAGCUGGUAUGAACUCGACCUCUCUUGUUUUUGUAAAUAUGAUGAGUUCAUCAUUCCUGAUUCAGCCUAUUAUGAAUAAACAUGUUUGCAAUGACAAUUAGAGAUUAUAGUUGCUUAUGCCAUGCUUAAUUAGCUAGGAGCUUAUAAUAGUUUACCUUGUGUGCCAACAUGCUAUUAAAAUAGUUGUGAUGUGGUAUGAUAGGGUGGUAUCCUCCUUUGAAUGAUUCGAGUGACUUGACUUGGCACAUGUUCAUGCAUGUAGUUGAAACAAAUCAACAUAGCCUUCACGAUAUUUAUGUACAUGGUGGAUUAUAUCCUACUCAUGCUUGCGCUCAGUGUUGAUUAAUUUUAAUGCGUGUUCAUGACUGUUGUCGCUCUCUCAGUUGGUCGCUUCCCAGUCUUUUGCUAUCCUUCACCUGUACUAAGCGGGAAUACUGCUUGUGCAUCCAAACUCCAUAAACCCCAAAGUUAUUCCAUAUGAGUCCACCAUACCUUCCUAUAUGCGGUAUUUACCUAUCGUUCCAAGUAAAUUUGUAUGGGCCAAACUCCAAACCUUCAAAUGAAAUUCUAUUUUGUAUGCUCGAGCAGCUCAUUUUUCAACUGGGGUUGUAUGUAUCUUCCAUGCUAGGUGGGUUAUUCUCAAGAGGAGUGGACUCCGCUCCUCAUUCACGAGAAAAUGGCUGGUAUCCGGGAUGCCCAGUCCCAUGAUUAAAAAGAUCAAAGCAAAUCGAAAUAAUUAAACAAAACUCCCCCAGGGCUGUUUCUAGUUGGAGGCACUCAUUGUUUCGAGCAAGCCAUGGAUUGAUGCUUGUUGGUGGUGGGGGAGUAUAAACUUUACCAUUCUGUUUGGGAACCGCCUAUAAUGUAUGUAGCAUGGAAGAUAUCGAGAUCUCAUAGUUGUUAUGUCGAUAGUGAAAGUAUACCACUCAAAAUGUUAUUCAUCUCUAUUUUAAAAUCGAGCUCUAGCACCUCUACAAAUCCCCGCUUCCCUCUGCGAAGGGCCUAUCUAUUUACUUUUAUGUUGAGUCAUCACCUUAUUAAAAAGCACCCGCUGGAGAGCACACUGUCAUUUGCAUUCAUUACUAUUAGUUUAUAUUGGGUAUGACUUGACUGGAUCUCUUUUACCAUGAAUUACAAUGUUUAGUCAGUCCUUGAUCUUUAAAGGUGCUCUGCAUUUAUGUUUUGCGGUCUCAGAACGGGCUAGCGAGAUACCAUCUUGUUAAAUCAUAUUAUGAUUGUUUUGAGAAAGUGUUGUCAUCCGAGUUUUAUUAUUAUUGCUCUCUAGUUGAUUAUGCCAUUGAUAUGAGUAAAUAUGAGACCUAAGUGUUAUUGUGAAUAUGGUUAGUUCAUAAUCUUUGCUGAAAACUUGAAUGUUGGCUUUACAUAUUUACAACAAGAAGAGCAAACAGAGUUUGUAAAAGUUUUUCUUUAUCACUUUCAGGUUAUCAACUGAAUUGCUUGAGGACAAGCAAAGGUUUAAGCUUGGGGGAGUUGAUACGUCUCCAGCGUAUCUACUUUUCCAAACACUUUUGCCCUUGUUUUGGACUCUAACUUGCAUGAUAUGGAUGAAACUAACCCGGACAGACGAUGUUUUCAGCAGAACUGACAUGGUGUUGUUUAUUGUGCAGAAAACAAAAGUUCUCGGAAUAACCUGAAAAUCCACGAAGAUAACUUUUCAAAAAUAUAAAAAAUAUUGGCGAAAGAAUCAAGGCCAGGGGGUCCACACCCUGUCCACAAGGGUGGGGGCGCGCCCCCUCCCCCUGGGCGCGCCCCCUGUCUCGUGGCCCCCCUGGAGCUCCGCCGACCUCAACUCCAACUCUAUAUAUUCCGUUUCACGGAGAAAAAAAUCAGAGAGAAAGUUUCAUCGCGUUUUACGAUACGGAUUCGCCGCCAAGCCCUAAUCUCUCUUGGGAGGGCUGAUCUGGAGUCCGUUCGGGGCUCCGGAGAGGGGGAUUCGUCGCUGUCGUCAUCAUCAACCAUCAUCCAUCACCAAUUUCAUGAUGCUCACCACUGUGGGUGAGUAAUUCCAUCAUAGGCUUGCUGGACGGUGAUGGGUUGGAUGAGAUUUACCAUGUAAUCAAGUUAGUUUUGUUAGGGUUUGAUCCCUAGUAUCCACUAUGUUCUGAGAUUGAUGUUGCUAUGACUUUGCUAUGCUUAAUGCUUGUCACUAGGGCCCGAGUGCCAUGAUUUCAGAUCUGAACCUAUUAUGUUUUCAUGAAUAUAUGUGAGUUCUUGAUCCUAUUUUGCAAGUCUAUAGUCACCUAUUAUGUGUUAUGAUCUGACAACCCCGAAGUGACCAUAAUCGGGAUACUUCUUGGUGAUGACCGUAGUUUGAGGAGUUCAUCUAUUCACUAAGUGCUAAUGCUUUGGUCCGGUUCUCUAUUAAAAGGAGGCCUUAAUAUCCCUUAGUUUCCAUUAGGACCCCGCUGCCACGGGAGGUAGGACAAAAGAUGUCAUGCAAGUUCUUUUCCAUAAGCAUGUAUGACUAUAUCCGGAAUACAUGCCUACAUUACAUUGAUGAACUGGAGCUAGUUCUGUGUCACCCUAUGUUAUAACUAUUAUAUGAGGAAUCGCAUCCGACAUAAUUAUCUAUCAUUGAUCCAAUGCCUACGAGCUUUUCACAUAUUGUGCUUUGCUUAUUUACUUUUUCGUCACUACUUUUACAAUUACUACAAAACUGCUAUCGUUACUUUUAUCACUGUUACCAUUACUAUCAUGCUACUUUGCUACUAAAUACUUUGAUGUAGAUACUAAGUUAUCCAGGUGUGGUUGAAUUGACAACUUAACUGCUAAUACUUGAAAAUAUUCUUUGGCACCCCUUGUGUCGAACCAAUAAAUUUGGGUUGAAUACUCUACCCUAAAAAACUGUUGCAGUCCCCUAUACUUGUGGGUUAAUAGCACCCAACACUACUUAUCUCCAGCCCUCUCCAUCCUACAGCUCACAUGCACCAAACUUUCCACUCUUACUCAUCCUCACACCAGCCAGCGCUCCUCACAGUCAUCCUUCUCCUAGACUCUGAUUGUUCAACUGCUGGCCUUCCCUGCUAUGUGUUCUAUCAUAUGCUCCACUGCCCACCAUGUUCAAGUCUAGUUCAUUAUAUCUCCUUCAACAAGUAUCCAUUCAUCAAAUUCAUAGCAGGUAGCUCUCCAUCCGCUCAUCCUAUGGGCUGAAUGGAUUAGUUCAUAGCUCCCUUCAACACACCUUCUUACGAGCCUUGGAAAUGAAUAACAAAAACUCGCCUGAGCAGAUAUUUUGAGCAUAGGAAAGGUCUUGCUAUAGUAGUGCACAUAAUGGGCGGCUAACCUUCCACCGUAGCUUGAGCUUGAUGCCAUAGUCACCUUCUCAGUGGGCACGUUGAAGAAGGUUGUACAGUGUAGGAGUAUUACUGUUACCUUCCCGUGAAAUUUGUUAUUACUGCAACGCGUUUAUGUUAUAUACAUUAAUUCUUAGGGGGAUAUCCUAUCAUCCACGAAGCAUUAAAAUGAACGAAGAGCUAUGAUGAACUGAUAUUGCAGUACCCUCAAUAGUACACGAGCAAAAUGAACUUGGGCAAACAAAUGAAAACAAAAACGGCAGGCCCACACUUGUUAACUGCCAUUCAAGGCAUACAGUUUUGAGAUAGACAUAUUUAAACGGUGUUGACCAGCGUUUUAAAUGGUCUGCAUCACAUUAACAUGGCAGAACGGUAAGGACCGUAUUUUGCAUGUGUAAUAGCUUGUAUCCAACUCCAUUUAAGAUGGCUAGCCACCAAACCAUGUACAUGUAUUUGCUGAAUUAAUGUAAUUAAUCUGUCAUGUUGUUUGGGUAUUCAUUCAAUCACUAUAUUAGUUGCUAAUCUCAUAACAUGGAUGGAUUGCCCAGAUUCCAUCCUCGCGUGCCACCAUGUCCCAAAAAUCCGCGUCGUCCUUAAUAUCCCUUAGUUUCCUUAUGGACCCCGCUGUCAUGGGAGGGUAGGACAAAAGAUGUCAUGCAAGGUUUUAUUGCAAGCACGAAUGACUAUAUAUGGAAUACAUUCCUACAUUAUAUUGAUGAAUUGGAGCUAGUUCUAUGUCACCCUAAGUUAUGCCUGAUAUAUGAUGAAUGUUAUCCAACAUAAUCACCGACCCAAUGCCUACAAGCUUUUCACAUACAGAUAUUUGCUAAGUUACUGCUGCCGCUGUUGCUACUUUCACAAUUGCUACAGUGCCAUUGCUGCUACCGCUACCGCUAUUGUUACUAUUAUUGCUACUGCUAUCAAACUAUCAUAUUAUUCUGCUACUGACCACUCUGCUGCAGAUAUUUAGCUCUAGGUGUGCUUGAAUCGACAACUCAACUGCUAAUACUUGUAACUAUUAUUUGGCCCCCUUAUGUCGAAUUAAUAAAUUUGGGUUGAAUACUCUACCCUCGAAAACUGUUGCGAUCCCCUAUACUUGUGGGUUAUCACAUGUCCCCGGGCCUGCCAAGCCUGGUCUAUGCUUCAUCAACUUCGUCUUCGUUCGUCUACGCAUGCCCGGUGCUGACAACACCGACGUGUGCCUUCAUCUAUGACGUGUCCCCGAGCUUGGCAAACCCGGCGCGAUGCCUCAUCAAGAACAUCUUUUCCCCGGUGCACCACUACUUCAUCGCCACUACGCCCAUGACUAACUCGGCACCUCCUUGCGUCCACAGCUCCAUGUUGACUUCCUCGACAUCGGCUACCCUGACUCGACAUCGACAACAAUAUUCUUCGCACGGCUACCUCGACCACGUCUUCACCACCCUACGCUCUUGGCUACCUCGACAACGGCACAAAGGGCUACCGCCUUGCUUGAGCAACCUCGUUGGUUUUCACUCCAGCCACGCCUUCCAUCAUGCAUCGACCGUUAUGAUUGUGGGGGUUGUCCGUCGGCUUGCCUUCGGAUUCUUCUCCAGUCUCACCGUCUGUGUCGUUACCGUUGUGACUGCGGGGGAUAUUGAGUAUAUUGAUUCAUUAGGAAACAUAAGAUAGAUUAGGAUUUGUCCUGCCUUGUCUUGUACUUCAAGUUGGUCAUUGUACUCCUAUAUAUGCCCACGAGGCUCAAGCAAUAAACAACGAUUCCACCAAUCCCUCGCUCUCCCUUCUAACAGUGUUUAACUAGAAGUGUAUGUGUGCUUUUUGCCACGCCGCUAGCCACAAAAAGUCUCAUUGGUCGUUGCUCGUUUUUCUUGUUUACCUAAUAAUGCCUUUAUUGUUUUUAUUAAGUGAAGCGAUCAGCUAACUAAGUUUGGCUCAGAUGGUUAGAUUCUUUCAAGUGGAUCAAAUUCGUUAGGUUUUAAGUUCUAGACUUGGCACUGAUGCUCGCAUUUUUUCUGAAUUUGUUUCAGGUUUUCUGGUGAUGUCGUUCAGUGGGAGGAGGCGUUCUCGUCUACUACGGAGGUGUUUGUGGUGACUUCAUCAAUUUCAAGAUGUUAUAUCUGCUCAGUCCCUCGGAGGUAUUCAUAUGGGUAGGGUGUGCGUGCAUUCAUAAAUUUGGAAAAGACCACAAAUUAUCGUGGAUUGUUGACUGUUGACUUAUCAUUGACCUUUCCAAAACAGAACGCGAAUUCAAAAAUUUUGUUUUUUAAAAUCUCGUAAAUUAGAUAAAAUUUAGGAAAUUGUAAAAAUGUUCACUUGUUUUGCGGAUCUGAAAAAAGAGUUCAGGAUUUUGAGGAAAAAUGUUCGCGGAAAGUUUACGUAUUUGAGGGAAAAGGUUCACAAAUUUGAAAAAAGUUCAUCAAUUUUUAAAAAAAUCAUUAUUUUGAAAAAUGUUCAUCAACUUUAAAAAAAGUUUAUUGAAUUUGAAAAACAGUUCAUCAUUUUUUUCAAGAAAAGUUCAUAAAUCCGUAAAAAAUUCAUCUAAUUUUCGUAGAAAAGUUCACAAAAUUUUAAAAAAGUUCGCUGAUUUUGAAAACAGUUCAUGAAUUUGGAAAAAGUUCAUGGAUGUUGGAAUAAGUUCAACAUUCUUGAAGAAAAAAAGGGUUCAUCUAUUCUUUAAAAAACAUAAAUUACAAGGCACAAAAAGUUCUCACAACCUAGAGAAAGAAUAGAAGAAGCGGAAGAAACAUAUAGGCACAAAGUCGUUCCUAGUCCAAUUGGUAGUUCGGUGCUAAUUUUUUCGCUCGCUUCAGAUUGAACGGGAAAAAGAAGAAAGACGGGCCGACCCAGCACCGCGCGGGGGUGUGCGCUCAUUUGUCAGAAUUGAAGAAACGGGCAACGUUUAGGGUAAACCUUAACAGAAUGCACUCUAAACAGCCCGGCGGACGCCAAAUAGGAGUUCGGCGCGCCUGCUGUAGCGGGCGCUGAGUACGAAAUGGCUACUACUUGGCACAUAAGUGCGGAAUAAGUAAUGCUUGCUCGUCUUGCUUGUACAUGAUCCUCAUCGUCCAACAUGUGAACCACCCUCGGUUGUCUGUUUCACGUUUUACUCUUACGAAGGAUACAUCAAAAUCCUAUUGGGCGCCCUUAGCGUCAAAUACAGGUUGUUCCACUGGUGCACACCUACUCUAUUCUGGGCUAGGUCCAUUUACUUUUUCCCCCUCUUGUUUGCUCUCUACGCUUGCAGCCCGUGGGUGACGUUGGCGAGCCGCUGGUGCAGCCCGCUCUUUUGGGAAUGUUUUUCUUCUAUUUUUUCAUUCAAUUUUCCUACCGGGUUUUUUCUUAUUCUUUUUUUUAUUUUUUGCUUUUCUUUCUCUUUUUUCUUUUUUUGUCAACAUUUCAAAACACGUGAUUUUUGUUUUUCAAAUGUGUUAACUUGUUUCUAUUCCAUGAUUCAUUUUUCAAAUUUAUGAACUUUCCGCAAAUAUUUGAAUAUUUUCUCAAUUUUUUAUGAACUUUUUUCCAAACCCGUGAACUGUUUCAAAUUCUUGAUUUUUUUGAAAACGCCCACAUUUUUUAAUUGGUGAAUUCUUUCAAAUUUGUGACUUUUUUCCCAAAAUCGUAAACAUUUUUGAAUUCUUCAAUUUUUUCAAACUCAUGAACAUUUUCUCAAAUCUAUGAACUUUUUUCAAAUUGAUAAAAUAAUAUCUAAAUUCCUGUUUUUUGUACUUUUAGAGAUUUGCAUUUUUUUCAACGAAGCCAGCACUUGUCGGUCAUCCGGUCAAAGGUUAAUGGUUGGUCAAGUGUCAAUAGUUAACCAGUCUCCUAAAAAAAUAGUUGCCUAGUCAACCAUCAGCCUAUCGAUCAAAGAAGGGACCAAAGAUGACAGACCGAAGCGAUCUAUCAGAUCGUACUAGUUGGGCCGGCCCAAGAGCGCGGCUUGUAGCUACUACAACCGGUGGAACAAGAUUAAGGGAUGGAUGGAGAAGCUCCUCUCGACUGGUGGCAAGGAAGUAUUGAUCAAAUUAGUGGCCCAAGCCGUACCGGUGUACUCUAUGUCAUGUUUCAAACUCCCUCGUGGCCUUUGCGAGCAUAUUAAUUCUCUCAUCCGGAAAUUCUAGUGGGGCAGUAAGGAGGGCAAAAGAAAGCCAAGUUGGGUUUCAUGGAGUGUCCUGACAAGACCAAAAUUCUGUAGGGGGCUAGGCUUCAGGGACAUUGAACUUUUAAAUCUAGCUCUCCUGGCUAGACAAGCUUGGCGAGUUCUUUUGCAGCCAGAGUCGCUGAGUGCACGUGUGCUCAAAGCCAAGUAUCAUCCCACUUGCGACUUCCUGAAUGCAGAGUUGGGAUCGAAUCCAUCGCAGAUUUGGAGAUCAAUUUUAGAAUGACGCGAUGUCCUUGUACAGGGCCUCACCCGUCGUAUUGGAGACGGUCAAUCAACACAAAUUUGGCAGCAUAACUUGCUCCCUAGGCCAUCAAACAUGCGUCCCAUUGUAUCCCGAGUACCUAAUCCACCAGAGUAUGUUGGGGAGCUGAUCUUACCUGGGGCGGAAUGGGAUCAUGCAACCAUUGCGGAUGUUUUUCUCCCCACUGAUGCGGCAGCGGUUUUGAAUAUACCUUUAUGUGCGCGACAUAUUGAAGAUUUUUGGUCCUGGGUUCAUGAGAAGAACGGAGUUUUCUCAGUUCGUGCAGCUUAUCGUAUGCUCAUUGAGACGAAGAUGAGGCAGGAAGCCUGGCUUGAGGGCCGGUCUGAUUCGUCGAAUACGGAGAAGGAGCAAAAAGCUUGGACGAAGCUUUGGAAAAUAGAUGCUCCUUCUAAGGUUAAAAUCUUAUGGAGGCUCGCACAACAGUUUAUCCCUACCCCCGAUCUAUUGCACGACCGUAACAUGUCAACAACAACGAGUUGCGGGCUGUGUGGAGCCGAGGAUUUGUGGCAGCAUUCACUACUCCAUUGUACCGUGGCAUGUUGUGUUUGGGCACUCCAAGAUCCCGAACUGGUGGAAGCUUUGAACAAUACCAAGGAACCUGACGCGAAGAGGUGGAUAUUUUCUCUAAUAGAUAUGUUAUCUUCGGAUGAAUUCACGCAGGUACUAGUGACACUAUGGUCAAUCUGGUAUGCGAAAAGGCAGGCCUUGCAUGAACCUGUUUUCCAAAGCCCCCAAGCGACGCAUAACUUUAUCAUGAAGUACGUGAGGGAGCUAAAGGAUUGUAAGCCAAAGAAGACCAUGGUGGCUCCUGAGCCACGACGCCAAGGGCAACCAAGGUGGAUCCCUCCACCUCUUGGGAUGGCGAAAAUUAGAGUGGAUGGUGCAGUCGCACGUGAUCUCAAUGAAGGUACAUUUAGUGCAGUUUGCAGGGAUUCAACCGGAACAUAUAUUGGAUUUUCAGUCAUCCGGACUAGGGGAAUUUCUGACUCAGCCACUCUGGAGGCAUUAGCGUGUCGUGAAGCUCUGGCGCUAGCCUCGGAUCUUGCACUAUAACAUGUGUUGGUGGCCUCGGACUGCCAAGGUGUGAUUCAUGAUGUCAAGAACAAUACUGGAGGAGUUUAUGCAAGUAUCAUAAAAGAGAUUUUGGAAACAUCUAGGAAUUUUUAGCAUUGUUCCUUCAUCUCCGAAAGGCGAGAGUCUAAUUUUGAGGCACAUAGCCUCGCUAAACAUGCUUUUGGUCUGGAGUUCGGGCGCCAUGUGUAGCUCUUAAACCCGCCGGACUUACAUUGUAUCCCCAUGAACUUGUUUACUCAAUAAAGUAAAGUAUGUUUAGACUAAAAAAAAGGUACUACAACCGGUGCUGAAGGCCUUAAAUAGGAAUGCCUAUAUUGGGAUGGGUAGAGUGGUUUUUUAGGUCGCUACUAGGCGUCGGUGUGCCGGCGCAAAAUUUGGGCCGGCCAGGCCCCGUCAUUCGAUCUGCCACGUAUAGAGCCUGCAGAAACCGUUCGAUCAAGCUCGUAUUAGACGGGUCGCAUGGACUCGGUCAUCCUCUUCCACAUGCCUGCGAAUCCCUCGCACCUCCUCCCCCGCCUGACCCACUCCCCGCCUCUUGCGUGCCCCCCGCACCUCUUCCCCAACCGUCGGUUCGUCCCUCGCUGUCAAUCAAAGGUCAAAACAACCAUCCCUCGCAUCUUGUCAUCGCCAACCGAAAAUCAUCGUCUCGUCGCUGAUAGCAAUUGUACCACCGACGGCAAUGGUUCCGGCAAAAAAGUGUUAUGGUCCCAGCAAAGCUCACCGCCGAUUGCAGCCUUUGCGGGUCGCAUGGUGGCCUCCCACGUAGCACCGACGACCAUGGUUCCAGCAAAAGAUUGCUACAGUUCCAGCAAAGCUCACCGUUGGUUGCAACAUUUUUGUGGAGAGCGACCACAACGACCUAUGGUUCCAGCAAAAAAUCGGUACGGUUCCAGCAUACCUCACCGUCGGUUACAACUUUGCCGGGGCGCGGUUGUAGCACGGGCCACCGCCGGUUGCGCUGUCGAAGCACGGGUCACCAUGGCCCAUUGCAGCUUUAUACUUGACCGAUUCCAGUACCUCUGACAAAGGGUAGUAGCUUUUCGCCAAGCCGCUUGCAACUUCCCCCAGCCUGCCGGCUCCAACACCAUCGCGAGGGGUCGCCACGGUCAUCGCCCAUAGUAGCAAAAAAUUAUGUUGGUACCAGCAUUUGCGAGAGCGGUUGCAACAUCUGGUGGGUGUGGUCAUCGUGGCCAAUGUCCGUAGUAGCCAAAAAUGAUGCCGGUUGUAGCACUUUGGAUCGCCGGUCAUAGCAUAUUUGGACGUCGGUUGUAGCACCGCUAGUCACUGGGUGACCAACACCUCGCCUCGCCGUUGCAGCACCUCGCCAGCCCGAGCUUUGGUAGGGAGAGAGACGAGAGAAGGUGCACGCUCGCUAGGGGAGACCAGUAGCGGGGCGGGCACCAAUAAUGUGGGGUGAGGACGGUUGGUGGGUGAAGGGGAGGAGAAAGUGGGGAAGAAGGGAUAGGGACGUGUGCGGGGGAAGGAGGCUGACGUGGACCGCCAGAGUGAUUGGGAUUGAGCGACGCUCGUGAGACCAGCGGAAAGCUUUCGGCCCGACUGUCAUACCCAAAUGUUUUCCUUCUUUUUUUAACCCUGCCUUUUAUAUUGAAAGUUUUAUAGAGAUUGGAUAGAAAUAGGGAGUCUAAUAGAGUUGCUCUGAGUGAGUGUGAUUAUUUUUCAUCCUGCUUAUGUAAUGUACACAUGUCAUGAGGGUAAAUACUGCUUCCAAAGCUGACAAAGCAACAAAAAUCGAUGUCACGCAUCGUAUACUGUCUGCUUCUGCAUGUACAUGUACGUAGUCGGUUCAUCGGUGCACGCCAGACAUAGCUCGUGAACAACACGUACGCACGUAGUAGUACGUGCUAGGCUCCAGACACGGCACUGGAAAGCUAACUUGGACACAUUCCAUCAACGUUCACGGGACGACAACAGCUGGCAUCAUAGCCUAGCUAGGUACUACUCUACGUGACCUUGCUCUAUGCAUAUAUGCAUGCAUGAGGCCACUGAAUUAUUCAUUUUCGUAAACAACCAACAUUUCACCCACGGUGAUUAAUGAUCAAAUACAGUAAAGAAAUUGGCUUAUAAAUAGACACUCCACACGCACGCACACACAACACAUGAGCAGGAGUGAGAGUGAGACACACAUCACACACACUACACCGGCCGGGAUCAUCGAAAUGGCGACCGGCAUCAGCAACGGCACAGGCCCAUCGACGAACGACGCGCUCCAGUCGAUCCUCGCCGCCGCGCGCCCGUUCCUCCGGGGCGACCUCGCGGCCGUCGACCCCGAGCUCCCCUCGCUCGUCUCCGUCCUCGUGUCCGCCGGCGCCGGCGAGUGCUACCACAAGCACGGCACCUUCCUCGCCCACCUGCUCGACGUCUACCGGAUCCUCCGCCUCUGGGGCGCGCCCGACGCCGUGGCCCGCUGCGGCCUCUUCCACUCCUCCUACUCCAACUCCUACGUCAACCUCGCCAUCUUCGAGCCCGACGUCAGCCGCGCCCGCGUCCGCGGCAUCGUCGGCGCCGCCGCCGAGCGGCUCGUGCACCUCUUCUGCGUCGUCCCGCGCCACGCGCUCAUGCACGACGACCUCCACCUCCGCUACACCGACGCCGAGCUCCGGGACCACCUCGCCGCCGCCGAGGCGUCCCUCCAGGCCGCGCGCUCCGGCGGGGGCAGGCCGGAGGACAAGGCGGAGCCGUGGCGCGCGAAGCUGCGGUCCGUGGUGCCGGAGGAGGGCGUGGUGGUGCCGCACAUCCGGACGGGGGAGCCGGUGGCGCUGUCGCGGCGCGUGCUGGCGGUGUUCGUGCUGAUGACCGUCGCCGACUUCAGCGACCAGUACACGGACUACCAGGACAAGCUGUUCCGCAACGACGACGGCCGCCUCGAGUUCGCCGGCGACAACUGGGCCGCGCUCUGGCCGGGGACCGGAAAGCCGGGGCUGUGGAUGAGCGCCAUGUCCAGGCUCGCCGCGCUGUACCGCCUCAUCGCCACCGACGAGCAGCUCCGCCACAUGGAGGAUGGGUCCACGAAGACGACGGCGGACGAACAGGACGCGGGCCUGGAGCUUCGCCUCCCGCCCGUGUUCGACCGGUGCAGCAAGGUGCUGGACCCCAGCGAGCAGAUCGCGGCGAGGGACCUGUACUGGGAGGCGAUCUGCAGCGACGGCAAGGAGGGCGUGGAGUCGCUGCUGCGGCGGUGCAUCGCGAAGAACCCGUACGUGGGGGAGCCGUGGCUGGUGCUGGCUCAGGUGCUGCUAAACGGCGGAGGGAGGUGGGAGGAGGCGGAGGCCGCGGCGGAGGAGGGGCUUAGGCUGGUGGUGGAGUGGGGCAGCAGCUGGGACAAGAGGAUGUCAUGGGAGGGGUGGGUGUCAUGGGGGAGGGUGAUGAGGGAUAAAGCCAAGGAGAAACAAUGGCCGCGCUCCGCCUGGGGCAUCAUCAACCUCGGACUCGUCAAGCAGAUCCACGACCACAACUAGCUGCCGUCUCGCUCGAUCAGUUGUGGUGCUUACUUAGCGCGAGUUUGUCUUCAUUAAAUAGCUGUGUGAUGGUGUGGUACCUGAGUAUGUGACCUAUAUAUGUUUGUCAUUGUGUGGUCAUUAGCGUGAUGUUAUGGUAUCUGAGUGUAUGUGACCUAUGUUGUCUCGUAUGGUUGAAUAGCUACUAAUAAUGCAAUGAAUGUUGAGCCACCAUGAGUGUCAAAAAAGAGUUGCGCUUGAUUUUUUUUAUUAAUCCUUAAUCACAAC
rnacentral:lncRNA from 1 species